CAUCUUUUCAAUGUCUUUCGUGAGCAUGAUGGGAAGGAAAAUUGUGCUCAAGUGCUGAAAGAAGAAUUACAUAGAAUGCUUGACAUAGAAUAUGUGAAUGAUGAGCAUGAUUGCAAUGUUGUUAGCAUGAAUUCUUUGAAUACCCAUGAUGCUAAUGAUAUGCAAAGCCACAAGCUUGGGGAUGCUAUAUUUGAUGAAGAUGAUCUUUUUAGUUCUUCCACUUUGAAUGAUCAAAAUCAUUUUGAUGAAAGCAUGCCCCCUAUCUAUGAUGAUUAUUGUGAGGAUACUUAUGCUAUAAAUAAGAGGGAUGAUAAAACUUGUCAUACUCUCGAGAACCACUUUGCUAAACCUUGCUUUUUCAUUGUGGACACAAUUUGUACUGCUCAAGUCUUUUACGAUACUCCCACUACUAUUCUUGAGAAUAGAUUUCCUUAUGUGGAGAGUAGUAAAAUUCCUAUGCUUGUAGAUCAUGAAAAGAAAGCCUUAGGUGUUGGUUAUAUUGUUGAAUGCAUUCAUGAUGCUACUGAACAUUACUAUGAGAGAGGAUCAUAUGCUUCUACUUAUUUCAAUAGUAUCAAGCUUCCUCUCCAUGUGUUGAAAUUUUUGAAGCUAUGCUUGUUUUGCCUUCCUAUGCUAGUUGAUUCUUGCUCCAACAAGUUGUUUGUUCACAAAAUACCUAUGCAUAGGAAGUGGGUUAGACUUAAAUGUGCUAGCCAUAUGCUCCAUGAUGCUCUCGUUGUGCUUCAAUCCUUAUCUUUUAUGUGAGCAUCAUUGAAAUCAUCAUGCCUAGCUAAGGGCGUUAAACAAUAGCGCUUGUUGGGAGGCAACCCAAUGAAUUUAUCUUUUUCUUUUCUGUUUUGUUGCGUCCACACCAUCAUAAUUCUGUUGUGAUUGUGUCUUCUGUGUUUCUUUUUGUGUUUGAGCCAAGCAAAACCUUUAUGACUAGUCUUGGUGAUGGUUGUUUGAUCCUGCUGGAAAAAGACAGAAACUUUUCGCUCACGGGAUUAUUUUUCAUUUUUAUUCAGAAAGAGCUUUUGAGUUGAUUCUUUUUGCUGCUGGUUGAUAUGCCUUUUGCCCAGGCAGUUGUAAUUUUUCAGAAUUGUUGAGUGAUACGUCCAUUUUGCAUCAUGCUUUCAUGUUGGUAUUUAUCGCUUUAUGGACUGUUAUUAUACUUUGUGGUACCAUACUUAUGCCUUUUCUCUCUUAUUUUGCAAGGUUUAUUUGAAGAGGGAGAAUACCGGCAGCUGGAAUUCUGGACUGGAAAAGGAGCAAGUCUGAGUCCUCUAUUAUGUGCAACUCCAAAUGCCCUGAAAAUCAACGUGGAAUUUUUUGGGAAUAUAUAAAAAAUAUUGGGCGAAAGAAGUGCCACAGGGGAGCUGCCACAGGCCCACAAGCCUGGUAGCCGUGGCCUGCCCCCCUGGUCGCGGCUACAGGGCUUGUGGGCACCCAGGUCGCCCACUGGCCCCCUCUUCUGCUAUAUGAAGGGUUUCGUCCGGAAAAAAAAUCAGGGCGGAGCUUUUUCGAGGAGACGUUGCCGCCACGAGGCGGAACUUGAGCAGAACCAAUCUAGAGCUCCAGCAGGACGAUCCAGCCGGGGAAACUUCCCUCCCGAAGGGGGAAAUCGUCGCCAUCAUCAUCACCAACACUCCUCUCAGCGGAGGGGACUCAUCUCCAUCAACAUCUUCAUUAGCACCAUCUCAUCUCCAAACCCUAGUUCAUCACUUGUAACCAAUCUCCGUCUCGCGACUCCGAUUGGUACUUGUAAGGUUGCUAGUAGUGUUGAUUACUCUUUGUAGUUGAUGCUAGUUGGAUUACUUGGUGGAAGAGUUUAUGUUCAGAUCCUUGAUGCUACUCAUUACCUCUCUGGUCAUGAAUAUGAUUAUGCUUUGUGAGUAGUUACUUUUUGUUCCUGGGGACAUGGGAUAAGUCAUGCUAAUAGUAGUCAUGUGAAUUUGGUAUUCGUUCGGUAAUUUGAUAUGUUGUAUGUUGUUUUUCCUCUAGUGGUGUUAUGUGAAUGUCUGACUGGCACUCUCUGGCAAUAGCUAGACGAAUGAUGAUUCUGUGACAACAAACCUUCCCCUGCAACAGCACUAGAAGAAUGCUGCUAGCACUCCCCGGCAACUGAACUAGAAGAAUGUUGUUGACGGCCCACCAGCGCGUGGGAUCGUAGCAGUUUUCGAGGGUAGAGUAUUCGACCCAAAUUUGUUAAUCGCCAGACAGGAGGUGAGAGAAUACUCUCGAGUAUUAGCAGCUGAAUGUAUUAGAUUCAACCACACCUGAAAGAUUAGUAUCUGCAAGCAAAGUAGUAACAGCAAAGUAGUAUGAUAGCAACGGUGUCAGAAACGAUCUGUUGACGACAGACUAUUCCUAACUGUCGUAUCAAUGGCGCCAAGUUGCCUCGUUGUCGGAAAUUGUCUGCUCCCGUCAACGGCCAGCGAAAAAGUAUUGUAGCAGGUAGCAGCAGUGUAACGAGUAAUAGCAGUGGCAAGGAACAACGGUAGUAACAGCAGUAGCAAGUAGCAACAGUAGCAAGCGACAGUGGUAGCAACAGUAGCAACAGAGCAGGACAAGUAACAGCAGCAGAGCAAGACAAGUAACAGUAGUAGCAACAAUAGUAGCAGAGCAGGACAAGUAACAGCAGCAGAGCAAGACAAGUAACAGCAGUAGGACAAACUCGUAGGCAAUGGGUCGGUGAUUUGGUUGGAUGAUAUUCAUCAUGCAACAGCUAUAACACGGAGAGUAUAUAUGGCUAGCUCCCGUUCGUCAAUGUGAUGUAGGGAUGCAUUCCGUGUGUCGUCAUACGUGCUUAGCGAAAAGAACUUGCAUGACAUCUAUUGUCCAUCCCUCCCGUGGCAGCGGGGUCCAAAAGGAAACUACGGGAUAUUAAGGUUCUCCUUUUAAUAAAGAACCGGACCAACGCAUUAGCACUUGGUGAAAAUAUGAACUCCUCAAACUAUGGUCAUCACCGGGAGUGGUUUCGGUUAUUGUCACUCCGGGGUUGCCAGAUCAUAACACAUAGUAGGUAACUACAACUUGCAAGAUCGGAUUUAAAACACACAUAUAUUGCUGACAACAUAAUAAUUUCAGAUCUGAAAUCAUGGCACUCGGGCCCUAGUGACAAGCAUUAAGCAUGGCAAAGUAGUAGCAACAUCAAUCUCAGAACAUAGUGGAUACUAGGGAUCAAUCCCCAUCAAAACUAACUCGAUUACAUGAUAGAUCUCAUCCCACUCAUCACCGCCCAGCGAGCCUACGAAUAGAUUACUCACGAAAGACGUAGAGCUUCAUGGAAUUGGAGAGGGAAGAAGGUUGAUGAUGGCGAUGGCGACGAUUUCCCCUCUCCGGAGCCUAAAACGGACUCCAGAUCUGCCCUCCAGAUGAAGAACAGGUUGUGGCGGCGCCUCCGUAUCGCAAACGCGACGAAAUCUUCUCUCUUGAUUUUUUCUGGGACGAAAGUGAACUUAUAGAGCUGAGAUUGGGGGCGGCAGAGCCACGUGGGCCCCACAAGCUUGCCUACCGCCACCAGGGGGUGGCGGCUUGAGGGCUUGUGGCCCACUCGCCCACCCCCCUCAGGUGGAUCUUUGCGCAGGUAUUUUUCAUAUUUUCCAAAAAUAUUCCCCAUAAAUUUUUAGGACGUUCUGAGAACUUCGAUUUCUGCACAAAAAUAACACCAAGGCAAUUCUGCUGAAAACAACGUUAGUCCAGGUUAGUUCCAUUCAAAUCAUGCAAAUUAGAGUCCAAAACAAGGGCAAAAGAGUUUGGAAAAGUAGAUACGAUGGAGACGUAUCAACUCCCCCAAGCUUAAAACCUUGCUUGUCCUCAAGCAACUCAGUUGACAAACUGAGAGACAAAGAAAAACUUUGACAAACUCUGUUUGAUCUUGUUGUUGCAACUAUGUCUAACUCAUAACCAGGAUUUCAACAAGAUCACAAGUUAACCACAUAAGCAAGUGACACAAAGGUCUCACGGUAAACUAAUAUCAAUGGCAUAAUCAGCUAACGAGCAAAUAAUAAUGAGUUUCGAAUACCAACACUUCAAUCAAAACAAGCAUGAAGCAAUAUGAAAUGGUGGUAUCUCGCUAGCUCUUUCUGAGACCGCAAAACAUAAAUGUAGAGCACUUUCAAAGAGCAAGGGUGAAUAAACAUUGUAAUUCAUAGCAACGAAGAUCCAGUCAUAGUCAUACUCAAUAUCAAUCAAAAGCAAAGCAUAAAAAAUGACAGAGGUGCUCUCUAAUUGGUGCUUAUAAAAGAGGAGGAUGACUCGACAGGAAAAUAAAUAGACGGGCCCUUCGCAGAGGGAAGCAUUGAUUUGCAGAGGUGCGAGAGCUCAAGCUUUGAAAACAGAGAUAAUAAUUUUGGGCGGCAUGCUUUCACUGUCAAUGCAAUGACCAAGAGUUCUCAAUAUAUUCCAUGCUACUCAUGCUAUAGGCGGUUCCCAAACAGAAAUGUAAAGAUUUAACUCCCCCACAACCAAUCAAUCACACUCCACGGCUAGCCGAAUCCUCGGGUACCGUCCAUACUAACAUCAAUCCAGGGGGUCUUGUUUUACAGUUAUGUUUUUGAUUUAAGCGUGGAACUGGGCAUUCCAAUUACCGCCCCCUUUCUCGUGAAUGACAGUGAAUAAACACAUGUCGAGGAUAACACUCCUAGCAUGGAAGAUACCAAUAGCCCCCUGUCACCACAUGAGUGGUUCGGGCAUGCAAAACAGAUUAUUUCUUGGAGGUUUACUUGGAGAUUGGCACAUGCAAAUUUACUUGGAACGGCAUGUAGAUACCGCAAAUAGGUAGGUAUGGUGGACUCUCAUGGAAUAACUUUUGGGUUUAUGGAAGUGGAUGCACAAGCUGUAUUACGCUUAGUACAAGUGAAGGCUAGCAAAAGACUAGGAAGCGACCAACUAGAGAGCGACAACAGUCAUCAAGAUGCAAUGAGUUUGACUAACAUUGAAUGGAAGCAUGAACAGGAUAUAAAUCACCAUGAACACGAACAUCAUAGAGGCUAUGUUGAUUUUGCUUCAACUACAUGCAUGAACAUGCGCCAAGUCAAGCCACUUGAAUCAUUCAAAGGAGAAUACCAUCCUAUCAUACUACAUCAUAGUCAUCUCAAAAUCUAUGUUGGCAUUCAAGACAAACCAUUAUAAACUCUCAGCUAAAUAAGCAUGGCAUCAGAAACUAUGAUCUCUAAGUUGUUAUUGCAAACAUGGUUCUCUCACAACAAAGUUGAAUCUCAAUCGACAAGCUAGUCAUAUUUACAAAAAAAAAUAGAUAGAGUUCAUGCCAGCUUUUCAGUCUUAGUCACUUCAUCAUAUAUCAUCAUUAUUGCCUUUCACUUGCACGAUCGAACGAUGUGAACAAUAAUAAGAGUGCUCGUGCAUUGGACUAAGCUGAAUCUGCAGGCAAACACAAAGGAGAAGACAUAGUAAUAUGGCUCUUUGAAAGCUAAACAGUUAUGCAUGCAAGAACCACUAAACAUUUUAACCAAUAUCUUGUACCUUGACCCAAAGAAAAAGAAAACUAUUUACACGGGAUAACUCCGAGCAUGCAAAAGAAGAAAGAAAAAUCUUUUUUGUUUUUCUCAAAAGGACACAAAACAAGAAAACAAGAAAACGAAAAUAAACUAGCAUGGAUAAUACAGUGGCGAAGUGUAAACACCGGCUAACAAAGUGAAAGCGUAAGCAUGAAUGUGAAGUCGGUGAGAACACGUACUCCCCCAAGCUUAGGCUUUUGGCCUAGCUUGGUCUACUCCCAUGGAUGGUCCUGGCGAAACCCAAAAUCAUAAUGGGUGUUAUACGGGAGUGCUGCAGCCACUGCCUGAAUAGCUGCCUCACGUAGUCGAGCAGCCGUCGCCUCCCUCUCAUACUCCUCUGCCUCUCCUAUGGUUAUGUAGUAUCUUCGUUUUACCUGAAAGUCAAAGAAAGCAGGAGCAGGAAGGGUAAUAUGGAAAACACACUUCCGGUUAAAUAUCAAGCGGCAUAGGAGGGAUCCAUGAUCUCUCUCAAGGAACUGGUAGCGUGUUAGAGCGACACAAUCAAGGUACACUGUACGGAGAGGAGGGUCUUCUGAACGGAUGGAUACUCCAAGAAAAUUUGCUAAGCGUGUAGCAUAAACUCCACCAAAGAAAUCCACCUCAUUGGCAUUAUUAUUCAGCCUCCUUGCUAUUAUAGCUCCCAUACUGAAGCUCUUGUCACCUGUUACUGCGCUCUUAAGGAUACUAAGGUCGAAAGCGCAUAGGUGACAAUGUGCACCCUUGCCGUUAAUGCACCUACCUACGAAGAGGGCAAAGUAGUGCAAGGUAGGGAAAUGGAUGCUUCCUAUGGUGGCUUGCGUGAUAUCUCUGGUUUCUCCAACAGUUAUACUGGAGACAAAGUCUCUGACCGAAGACUUAGAAGGAUCAUUAAUACUACGCCCAUCGGGUAUCUUGCAAAUCCUAUUGAAAUCCUCCAAAUCCAUGGCCUAGGAUUUAUCGUACAAAUAAACAGUAUGGAUGAGUCACGGCCAACUGAAAAUUUAAAUCUACGCACGAAAGAGGCAGUGAGCAUAGCAUUUUGUUCACAUUUAUCUGAGAGGAAUUCUUCUAACCCGGCAUUGCGGACAAGUGUAUAAAACUCAUCCUUGAAACCUGCUUCGAUCAUAAACUCAUCGGAAAGCCAUUCACAUGGUUGUACCGGUGCGUCCCUUAGUUGAAAAGGUUCGGGCUCCCGAAAAGAAAGACGGGGACCCUUCUUACUUGAGGAACCACCAUGAAUCUUCCUCCUGAACAUAAUUUCCUUUUUGCUGAAAUUUUUGAAGUUCAAGAGAAAAGUGAAUGAAGACCAACCACACCUUGUAGCAACUACUCCUACUAGUGCCUAGAGACCGUAUCACGCGCUAAAACUACUUGGGACCAGCUAAAAUCAACAUUUCUAGCUCAAGAACAGGGUCACCAAGGUAGCAAGAAUACGCGAAGGAUAAAGCACUAGAGCAAAAACUAAUUGGACCAAUGGAGGUGUCACUUACCAAGGAGUAAUUUCCCCAAAAUGGUUCGGAGAAUGGUGCUUUGAGCAAGGAGAUGGAAAGUCCCAGCAAGAGGAGCAAGAACACGGGUUUGAACUGCGAAACGAUUUUUUCUGGAGGUAGGAGAAGGAGAUAAGAGCAAGAAUGAGUGGAGGGGGUGCCUGUGGGCCCCACAAGAUUGCUAGCCGCCACCAGGGGGUGGCGAUGGCAGGGCUUGUGGCCCACUGGUCUGGCCUUGAGGCCAGCUCUCAGGCCCAAUAUUUUUCAAAUAUUCCAGAAAAAAUCAUACUAAGUUUUUAGGACCAUCGGAGAACUUCUAUUUUCGAGCUAUUUUUCUCCGGGACGCUAAAACAGAAAACAGGAAAAACUAAACUAAAUCUAUCAUUUUUCUUCUAAGCAACAGAAAAUGAAAUCUCAAAACAGAGGUAUGUGACUCUUUGAUUCAUCCAUUUCAUGGUCAUCGAAAGAAAUCCGUCAAUGGGGUUGAUCAAGUCCUCAUGACAAAACCUUCUCGAAUCGCAAGAGAGAACGGAGAAUUUUCGAAUAGCCACUAAGUCACCUCAAUGGGGAUAUGUAUCUCCCCAACAAGCAAAUCAUACUUCACCUUGACAUGAGGAAUAGGGCAUUCAAAGCUCCCAAUAAGAAUCGAUGAAGUCUUUUCGAUAGCAUUGAUGCAAUGUACUUGAUAUCGUUUCUUCGGAAAGUGCACUGUGUGCUCCUUACCGUUGACAUGGAAAGUGACAUUGCCUUUGUUGCAAUCUAUAACAGUCCGUGUAGUAUUUAAAAAGGGUCUUCCGAGGAUGACAGCCAUGGCAUCGUCCUCGGGAAUAUCCAAGAUAACAAGGUGUGUUAAGAUAGUGGUGUUAGAAACCACAACAGGUACAUCCUUGCAAAUGCCGAUAGGGAAAGCAGUUGAUUUGUCGGCCAUUUGCAGAGAAAUUUCAGUGGGUGUCAACUUAUCCAAUUCAAGUCUACGAUAAAGAGAGAGUGACAUAACACUAACACCGGCUCCAAGGUCACAUAAGGCAGUUCUUACGUAGUUUCCUUUAAUGGAACAAGGUAUAGUGAACACUCCGGGAUCACCAAGUUUCUUAGGAGUUCCACCUUUGAAAGUGUAAUUGGCAAGCAUGGUGGAGAUCUCAAGAUCUGGUAUCUUCCGUUUAUUAGUCAUGAUAUCUUUCAUGUACUUGGCAUACGGAGACAUCUUGAGCAUAUCAGUUAACCACAUCUACAGAAAGAUGGGUCUUAUCAUCUCAACGAAGCGCUCAAAAUCAUCAUCAUCCUUUUUCUUGGAUGGCUUAGGAGGAAAGGGCAUAGAUCUCUGAACCCAUGGCUCCCUUUAUUUACCAUGCUUCCUAGCAGUGAAGUCAUUCUUAUCGUAUCUCUUAGGUUGUGGGUUAUCAGGAUUAACCGAAGGUUCAAUCUCCACAUCCUCAUCAUUGCUAGGUUGAGCAUUAUUAUGAACAUCACUGUCCAUAUUGUCACCAGGUUCAUGUUCAUCACCAGAUUGUGUUUCUGCAUCAGACGCAGAAAUAUCAUUAGGUUCUUAAGGUGUGACAGUAUUUGGUGAACUGGCAUGUAGGUUUCUAUCAUCCUUUUUCUUCUCCUUAGGAUGACUAGGUGUAUCAGCAUUGAUUCCUUGAGAAUCUUGAUCAAUUCUCUUAGGAUGACCUUGAGGAUACAAAGGUUCCUGAGUAAUUUUGCCUCCUCUAGUAAUGACUCUGACAGAGUUGUCAUUUAAUUCAUUGAGAAAGUCAUUCUAAGCUUUAAGUACUUGUUCUACCUGAGUAGUAAUCACCGAGGCAUGUUUACUCAGAAGCUUCAGAUCAUUGACAUUUCUGUCUACACAAGCACUUAGAUGGCUAAGCAUACGAGUACUUUGUUCCAAAUGUCUACUAACAUAAUCAUUGAAACUCUGUUGUUUCGCAACAAAGUUGUCAAAUUCAUCAAAGCAUAGGCUAGCAGGUUUAUCAAAAGGAAUAUCACUCUCAUCAAACCUACGCAGAGAAUUCACUUCUACUACCUGUAUCGGGUUAUCGAGACCAUGGAUCUCUUCGAUAGGUGGUAGGUUUUUGACAUCUUCAGAUCUAAUGCCUUUCUCUUGCAUAGAUUUCUUAGCUUCUUGCAUAUCUUCGGGACUGAGGAAUAGAAUACCUCUUUUCUUCGGAGUUGGCUUAGGAGGUGGUUCAGGAAUAGUCUAAGCAUUAUCGUUGAUCAAGAUGUUAUUCAGUAGGGUCUCAGCUUGUUCUACAGUUUGUUCCCUAAAAACACAACUGGCACAACUAUCUAGGUGGUCUCUAGAGGCACCGGUAAUUCCGUUAUAGAGGAUAUCAAGUAUCUCGUUCUUCUUAAGAGGGUGAUCAGGCAAAGCAUUUUAUAGCUGGAUGAGCCUCCCCCAAGCUUGUGGGAGACUCUCUUCUUGGAGUUGAGAAAAGUUGUAUAUUUCCUGCAAGGCAGCUUGCUUCUUAUGGGCAGGGAAAUAUUUCUCACAGAAGUAAUAGACCAUAUCCUGGGGACUACUCACACAUCCAGGAGCAAGUGAGGUGAACCAGGCUUUAGCGUCAUCCUUUAGAGAGAAAGGAAACAGCUUAAGGAUAUAGUAGUGGCGGAUCUUCUCCUUAUUAGUGAAAAAGGUGGCUAUAUCGUGUAGUUUGGCAAGAUGGGCUACGACCGUCUCAGACUCGUAACCAUGAAAAGGAUCAGAUUCGACUAGAGAGAUUAUCUCAGGAUCGACAGAGAAUUCAUAAUCCUUAUCGGUGAUAAAGAUAGGUGAAGUGGCAAACUUCGGAUCAUAUUUCAUCCUAGCUUUGAGACAUUUUUCCUUCCACUUAAGAAGUAAUUUCUCAGCGUCAUAGGCAUCCUUACACGCAAGAAAAUCCUCAACUAUCUCUCCCUCCAUAACGUAACCCUCAGGUAUAUCAGGCAAUUCAUAUCUAGGAGAGCUAGAUCUAACAGGAGCAAAAGCAGGUUCUAUCUCAAUAGUAUUGGUAGUUUCAGAAGCAUCACGAGCAUUGGCAGUAACUCUAGCAAUAUGAGCAUCAAGGAAUACCCCUAGUGGCAUAUCAGGCAAAGUAGCAUCUCUAGCAGUAUCAAGCAUAGCAUCAUCAGGCAAAAUAGCAUCUCUAGCAUCAUCAGGCAAAGCAGUAUCAGGCAUAGCAUCUCUAGCAGUAUCAAGCAUAGCAUCUCUAGCAGUAUCAAGCAUAGCAUCAUCAGGCAUAGUAUCAAGCAUAGCAUCUCUAGCAGUAUCAAGCAUAGCAUCAUCAGGCAUAGUAUCAAGCAUAGCAUCUCUAGCAGUAGCAUCAUAAGCAUCAUCAAGCACAAGCGACAUAUCAAGAUUUCUAGCAGGAGGUGAUGUCGCAAACUUACUCAUAACUGAAGGUGAAUCAAGUGCAGAACUAGAUGGCAAUUCCUUACCUCCCCUCGUAGUUGAGGGCAAGACUUUGGUUUUUGGGUCCUUCAAAUUCUUCAUAGAGAUCAGCAGAUAUAAAUCCCAAGUAACUCCGAGAAUAUAGCAAUACCUCCCUGGCAACGGCACCAGAAAAAUGCUGACUGGCACUCUCUCGCAAUAGCUAGACGAAUGUUGAUUCUGUGACAACAGACCUUCCCCUGCAACGACACCAGAAAAAUGCUGCUAGCACUCCCCGGCAACAGAACUAGAAGAAUGUUGUUGACGGCCCACCAGCGCGUGGGAUCAUAGCAGUUUUCGAGGGUAGAGUAUUCGACCCAAAUUUGUUGAUCGCCAGACAGGAGGUGAGAGAAUACUCUCGAGUAUUAGCAGCUAAAUGUGUCAGAUUCAACCACACCUGAAAGAUUAGUAUCUGCAAGCAAAGUAGUAACAGCAAAGUAGUAUGAUAGCAACGGUGUCAGAAACGAUCUGUUGACGACAGACUAUUCCUAACUGUCGUAUCAAUGGCGCCAAGUUGCCUCGUUGACGGAAAUUGUCUGUUCCCGUCAACGACCAGCGAAAAAGUAUUGUAGCAGGUAGCAGCAGUGUAACGAGUAAUAGCAGUGGCAAGGAACAGCGGUAGUGACAGCAGUAGCAAGUAGCAACAGUAGCAAGCAAUAGUAGUAGCAACAGUAGCAGCAGAGCAGGACAAGUAAGAGCAGCACAGCAAGACAAGUAACAGUAGUAGCAACACUAGCAGCAGAGCAGGACAAGUAACAGCAGCAGAGCAAGACAAGUAACAACAGUAGUAGGACAAACUCGUAGGCAAUGGGUCGGUGAUUUGUUUGGAUGAUAUUCAUCAUGCAACAGCUAUAACACGGAGAGAUAUAUGGCUAGCUGCCGUUCGUCAAUGUGAUGUAGGCAUGCAUUCCGUGUGUCGUCAUACGUGCUUAGGGAAAAGAACUUGCAUGACAUCUAUUGUCCAUCCCUCCCGUGGCAGCGGGGUCCAAAAGGAAACUACGUGAUAUUAAGGUUCUCCUUUUAAUAAAGAAUCGGACCAAUGCAUUAGCACUUGGUGAACACAUGAACUCCUCAAACUAUGGUCAUCACCGGGAGUGGUUCCGGUUAUUGUCACUCCGGGGUUGCCGGAUCAUAACACAUAGUAGGUAACUACAACUUGCAAUAUCGGAUCUAAAUCACACAUAUAUUGGUGACAACAUAACAAUUUCAGAUCUGAAAUCAUGCCACUCGGGCCCUAGUGACAAGCAUUAAGCAUGGCAAAGUAGUAGCAACAUCAAUCUCAGAACAUAGUGGAUACUAGGGAUCAAUCCCCAUCAAAACUAACCCGAUUACAUGAUAGAUCUCAUCCUACUCAUCACCGCCCAGCAAGCCUACGAAUAGAUUACUCACGAAUGACGAAGAGCUUCACGGAAUUGGAGAGGGAAGAAGGUUGGUGAUGACGAUGGCGACGAUUUCCCCUCUCCGGAGCCCAAAACGGACUCCAGAUGUGCCCUCCAGAUGAAGAACAGGUUGUGGCGGCGCCUCCGUAUCGCAAAUACGACGAAAUCUUCUCUCUUGAUUUUUUCUGGGAUGAAAGUGAACUUAUAGAGCUGAUAUUGGGGGCGGCAGAGCCACGUGGGCCCCACAAGCUUGCCCACCGCCACCAGGGGGGUGGCGGCUUGAGGGCUUGUGGCCCACUGGCCCACCCCCUCAGGUGGAUCUUUGCGCAGGUAUUUUUCAUAUUUUCCAAAAAUAUUCCCCGUAAAUUUUGAGGACAUUCUGAGAACUUUGAUUUCUGCACAAAAAUAACACCAAGGCAAUUCUGCUGAAAACAGCGUCAGUCCAGGUUAGUUCCACUCAAAUCAUGCAAAUUAGAGUCCAAAACAAGGGCAAAAGAGUUUGGAAAAGUAGAUACGAUGGAGACGUAUCAACGUCAACUACAUAACACUUCACCAUUAUUUGUGCCUAGAGGAAGGCAUUGGGGAGUAGUAAGUAGAUGAUGGGUUGCUAGAGUGACAGAAGCUUAAACCCCAGUCUAUGCGUUGCUUCGUAAGGGGCUGAUUUGGAUCCACUAGUUUAAUGCUAUGGUUAUACUUUGUCUUAAUUCUUCUUUCGUAGUUGCGGAUGCUUGUGAGAGGGGUUAAUCAUAAGUGGGAUGCUUGUCCAAGUAAGGGCAGUACCCAAGCGCCGGUCCACCCACAUGUCAAACUAUCAAAGUAACGAACGUGAAUCAUAUGAAUAUGAUGAAAACUAGCAUGACAGAAAUUCCCGUGUGUCCUCGGGAGCGUUUUUCCUCCUAUAAGACUUUGUUCAGGCUUGUCCCUUGCUACAAAAGGGAUUGGGCCACUUUGCUACACCGUUGCUAUUACUUGUUACUUGUUACUUUUCACCUGCUACGUUUCACCUCACUACACCAUCACUUGCUACCACUACUUUCAGUGCUUGCAGUUAUUACCUUGCUGAAAACUGUUUAUCAGAGCCUUCUGCUCCUCGUUGGGUUUGACACUCUUACUUAUCGAAAGGACAACGAUUGAUCCCAUAUACUUGUGGGUCAUCAAGACUCUUUUCUGGCGUAGUUGCCGGGAGUGAAGCGCCUUUGGUAUGUGGAAUUUGGUAAGGAAACAUUUAUAUAUUGUGCUGAAAUUUAUUGUCACUUGUCACUAUGGAAAUUGUUCCUUUGAGGAAUUUGUUCGGGGUAUCUUCACCACGACUGGAAGCAUGAGGAGUUUCUCCUCAACCUAAGGUACCUACUGAAAAUAUCUUUUAUGAAAUUCCUUCGGGUAUGCUUGAGAAACUGCUGGCUAAUCCUUUUACACGAGAUGGAUCAUCACAUCCAGACUUGCAUCUAAUCUAUGUAGAUGAAGUUUGUGGUUUAUUUAAGCUUGCAGGUUUGCCCGAGGAUGAGGUAAAGAAGAAAGUAUUUCCUUUAUCUUUGAAGGAUAAGGCGUUGACAUGGUAUAGGCUAUGUGAUGAUACUGGAUCAUGGGACUACAAUCGGUUGAAAUUGGAAUUUCAUCAAAAGUUUUAUCCUAUGCAUUUAGUACAUCGUAAUCGGAAUUAUAUUUAUAACUUUUGGCCUCGUGACAGGGAAAGCAUAUCUCAAACUUGGGGGAGGCUUAAAUCAAUGCUAUAUUCAUGCCCCAAUCAUGAGCUCUCGAGACAAAUUAUCACUCAAAACUUUUAUGCUCGGCUUUCUCAUGAAGAUCGUACCAUGCUUGACACUUCUUGUACCGGUUCUUUUAUGAAGAAGGAUAUUGACCACAAGUGGAAUUUAUUGGAAAGAAUCAAACGUAACUCUGAAGAUUGGGAGCUUGAAGAAGGUAAGGAGUCAGGUAUGAAUUUCCAGUUUGAUUGCGUUAAAUCUUUUGUUGAAACAAACACUUCUAGAGAUUUUAGCGCUAAGUAUGGACUUGACUAUGAGAUAGUAGCUUCUCUAUGUGAAUCUUUUGCUGCUCAUAUUGAUCUUCCCAAAGAGAAGUGGUUUAAGUAUCAUCCUCCUGUAGAAGUCAACAUAGUUAAACCCAAUCUAGUUGAAGAGAAAGUCAUUGCCUAUAAUGAUCCUAUUGUUCCUUGUGCCUACAUUGAGAAACCACCUUACCGUGCUAGGAAAAAGGAUUAUUCUAAAGCUCCAACUGUGAUACGUAGGGGUUACAUUAGACCACUUGCACCCCCUGAGGAAAUUAGAGUUGAACCUAGUGUUUCUAUUAUCAAAGAUCUCUUAGCCGAAGACAUAGACGGGCAUGUUAUCAAAUUCUGUGAGGACUCUACUAGAAUUGCUAAACCUCACACGAAAGACAAAUACGGACCUGUAGUUGACCUGCCCGUUGUUUCUGUCAAGAUAGGAGAUCACUGUUAUCAUGGUUUAUGUGAUAUGGGUGCUAGUGUUAGUGCAAUACCCCGGUCCCUAUAUGAUGAAAUCAAAGAUGAGAUUGCACCUGCUGAGUUAGAACCCAUUGAUGUCACUAUUACGCUAGCUAAUAGAGAUACUAUCAGCCGUGUGGGAAUUGUGAGAGAUAUAGAAGUCUUGUGUGGUAAGACGAAGUAUCCUACUGAUUUCAUCAUCCUUGCUACUGCACAAGAUAGCUUUUGUCCCAUCAUAUUUGGUAGACCCUUUCUCAACAUUGUCAAUGCUCAUAUUGGUUGCAUUAGACAGACUGUCACUGUUAGUUUCGAGGGUGUGUCUCAUGAAUUUAACUUCUCCAAGUUUGGAAGACAACCCCAUGAAAAAGAGUCGUCUGGUAGGGAUGAAAUCAUUGCUCUUGCCUCUAUCGCUGUGACUCCUACGGAUCCUUUAGAGCAAUAUCUGCUUGAGCAUGAAAAUGAUAUGCAUAUGGAUGAAAGAGAUGAGAUAGAUAAAAUUGUUUUAGAACAAUAUCCUAUUCUUAAGAAUAAUCUGCCUGNNNNNNNNNNNNNNNNNNNNNNNNNNNNNNNGAAUAAUCUGCCUGUUGAACUGCUUGGGGAUCCUCCCCCACCAAAGGGUGAUCCUGUGUUCGAGCUAAAACAUUUACUAGAUACACUUAAGUAUGCCUAUCUUGAUGAGAAGGAGAUAUAUCCUGUUAUAAUUAGUGCUCACCUCUCGAAUCACGAAGAGAAGAAGUUAUUAAAAACUUUGAGGAAGCAUCGUGCUGCUAUUGGAUAUAUGCUUGAUGAUCUUAAGGGUAUUAGUCCCACUCUAUGUCAGCACAAGAUUAAAACCGAUCCUGAUUCUAAGCCAGUCGUUGAUCAUCAACGGAGGUUAAAUCCUAGGAUGAAAGAGGUCAUGAGAAAAGAAAUAUUAAAGCUUCUGGAAGCAGGAAUCAUUUAUCAUGUUGCUCAUAGUGAUUGGGUAAGUCCAGUACAUUGCGUACCUAAGAAGGGAGGUAUCACCGUCGUUCCUAAUGAUAAGAAUGAACUAAUCCCACAGAGGAUUAUUACUGGCUAUAGGAUGGUGAUAGACUUCCGGAAACUGAAUAAGGCAACGAGGAAAGACCAUUAUCCUUUGUCGUUUAUUGACCAAAUGCUAGAAAGGCUAUCUAAACACACACACUUCUGCUUUCUACACGGUUAUUCAGGUUUCUCGCAAAUACCUGUUGCACAAUCUGAUCAGGAGAAAACCACUUUCACAGGCCCCUUCGGUACCUUUGCUUAUAGACGUAUGCCUUUUGGCUUAUGCAAUGCACCUGCCACCUUUCAAAGAUGUAUGAUGGCUAUAUUCUCUGACUUUUGUGAAAAGAUUGUUGACGUUUUCAUGGAUGAUUUCUCCGUUUACGGUUCUUCCUUUGACGAUUGCCUCAGCAACCUUGAUCGAGUCUUAUAGAGAUGCAAAGAUACCAACCUCGUCUUGAACUGGGAGAAGUGCCACGUCAUGGUUAAUGAAGGCAUCGUCUUAGGACACAAAAUCUCCGAGAAAGGCAUUGAAGUUGAUAAGGCUAAGGUUAAUGCAAUUGAGAAAAUGGCUUGCCCCACAGAUAUCAGAGGUAUACGAAGUUUCCUAGGUCAUGCUGGUUUCUAUAGAAGGUUCAUUAAAGACUUCUCUAAGAUUUCUAGGCCUCUUACCAACCUCUUGCAGAAGGAUGUUCCUUUUGUUUGUGAUGAGGAUUGUGAGGAAGCUUUCGAAAUACUUAAGAAGGCCUUGAUAACCUCACUUAUUGUUCAACCACCUGAUUGAAACUUUCCCUUUGAAAUCAUGUGCGAUGCUAGUGAUUAUGCUGUUGGUGUUGUUCUAGGACAAAGAGUUGACAAGAAGUUGAAUGUCAUUCACUACGCUAGUAAAAAUCUAGACAGUGCCCAAAUAAACUAUGCCACUACAGAGAAGGAAUUUUUAGCAGUCGUGUUUGCAUGUGAAAAGUUCAGAUCUUAUAUAGUUGACUCCAAAGUCAUUAUUCACUCUGAUCAUGCUUCUAUUAAGUACCUUAUGGAGAAGAAGGACGCUAAGCCUAGGCUAAUCAGAUGGGUUCUCCUGCUACAGGAAUUUGAUUUGCAUGUUGUUCACCGAAAGGGUGCUGAUAACCCUGUAGCAGAUAACAUGUCCAGGCUAGAGAAUGUCCUUGAUGACCCACGACCUAUUGAUGACAGCUUUACCGAUGAGCAAUUGAAUGUUACCCGCACUUCACAUAGUGCACUGUGGUAUGCUGAUUGCGCAAACUAUAUCGUAGCCAAAUACAUGCCACCUAGUUUCACCUACCAGCAAAAGAAGAAAUUCUUCUUUGAUUUGAGACACUACUUUUGGGAUGAUCCUCACCUUUAUGAGGAAGGAGUAGAUGGUGUUAUUAGACGUUGUGUGCCUGAACAUGAACAGGGACAGAUCCUGCAGAAGUGUCAUUCCGAAGCCUACGGAGGACACCAUGCUGGAGAAAGAACUGCUCAUAAGGUAUUGAAAUCAGGUUUCUAUUGGCCCACUCUCUUCAAGGAUGCCCGUAAGUUUGUCUUGUCUUGUGACGAAUGCCAAAGAAUAGGGAACAUCAGUAAACGUCAGGAAAUGCCUAUGAACUAUUCACUUGUCAUUGAACCAUUUGAUGUCUGGGGCUUUGAUUAUAUGGGACCCUUCCCGAGUUCCAAUGGGUAUAAUCACAUCUUAGUUGCUGUUGAUUACGUCACUAAGUGGGUAGAAGCUAUCCCCACUAGAAAUGUUGAUCACCGCACCUCUAUUAAGAUGCUUAAAGAAGUCAUUUUCCCAAGAUUUGGAGUCCCUAGAUAUCUGAUGACUGAUGGCGGUUCACACUUCAUUCAUGGUGUUUUCAGCAAGAUGCUCGCUAAGUAUGAUGUCAACCAUAGAGUUGCAUCUCCUUAUCAUCCUAGGUCUAGUGGUAAAGUGGAGUUGAGUAAUAGGGAGAUCAAAUUGAUCUUACAAAAGACUGUCAAUAGAUCUCGAAAGAAUUGGUCUAUCAAACUUGACGACGAACUAUGGGCUUAUAGGACUGCUUAUAAGAAUCCCAUGGGCAUGUCGCCGUAUAAAAUGGUUUACGGUAAGGCCUGUCAUUUACCUCUUGAGCUAGAACACAAAACUUAUUGGGCCAUCAAAGAGCUCAACUUCGAUUUCAAACUUGCCGGUGAGAAGCGGUUGUUUGAUAUCAGCUCAUUAGAUGAAUGGAGGGCCCAGGCAUAUGAGAAUGCCAAGUUGUUCAAGGAAAAGGAUAAGAGAUGGCACGAUAAAAGAAUACAAAAACGUGAGUUCAAUGUAGGUGAUUAUGUCCUGUUAUACAAUUCUCGCUUAAGAUUCUUCGCAGGCAAGCUUCUCUCUAAAUGGGAAGGUCCCUACGUUGUUCAGGAAGUAUAUCGUUCCCGUGCCAUCAAAAUCAAUAACACGGAAGGUAAUUUUCCUAGAGUGGUAAAUGGGCAAAGAAUCAAUCAUUAUAUCUCUGGUACUCCCAUAAAUGUUGAGAGCAAUAUCAUCAAUAUCAUAAAUCCAGAGUACAUAAGGGAUGUUUAUCAGCCUGUUUCAGACUCUGAAAAUGAAGAGGUAUGUGUUUCAGUAAGUAAUUGGACUCCAAAACUUUUCUAGUAGGAAAUUUUCUCCCUUUUGGAAUUUAUGGAAAAAUAGAAAAAUAAAAAGCAGUCCGGAGAGCGCACGAGGCGGCCACAAGCUUGGUAGCCGCGGACUCCCCCCUGGUCGCGGCUACAGGGCUUGUGGGCACCUCGUGUGCCUCCCGGACUCUGUUUUCUUGCGGAGGACUCCUUCUGGUCCAGAAAAAAUCAUUAUAUAUAUGCCCGAGGGUUUUGAUCUCCGUAUCGCGCAGUUUUCCUCUGUUUUCGUUUCGAGCAUGUUGUCUGCCGCAGAUUUAGGUCAAGAUGUCUUCUCAAGAUUCAGAAGAAGAGAUCUAUGUGGUCGAUGACCGUGCGAACUCUAGGAUUAAUGGGGACUUAAAGACUUAUGGUUGGACCACAGAUGAGGAAGAGGAUCAUGAACCAAAGGGGAAGGAGCAAACAAGCUCUGACAAGGAGGAGGCUCCUCUACCUCAACCUGCGAACACCCAUGUGGAGUUCAAGAAGUCAAGCCUCCCCAACUCCACGAAGAAGCAUAAGACUUUGUUUAUCCCUUCUCGUUUCCUGCAGGAGAGUAAGCAGGAAUUAUGCCAAAGGGUGUUGAAGCUUGAAGAAGAAAACGACGAUCUGAGGGAGCAGAAUUUCAUGCUCCAUUGGAAAUUAAACAAGCUCAAGACCUCUGCAAAGACACCACCAUCACCACCAAAGGAAGACAAUUAAGCAUUGGUAUGGGCAACUCCCUUGGCUUGUGCCAAGCUUGGGGGAGUUGCCCUGGUAUCGUAUCACCUUUAUAUCUUUUGCUUUUACCUUUCUUUUAGUUCUUUCUUUUUCAGUUUUUACUUUCUUAUCUUAGUGGGAUAAGUCUUUAGUGUUUAGUUUGAGUCUUUUGCCUUGUGUCUUCCCCAAUGUACUCGAGCUUGCGAGCCAUAUAAUAAAGAGUAUCUUAGUCAAGGGCUUUGUUUUGUGCCGUGGUCAAAAGUAUGAAAAGAACGAUAGCAUGAAAGAUCAUGAGAUGAUCUUAUGGAAAGUGAUAGCUUCACAUAUAACAAGUAUGAUGAUUGAAACUUGUUGAGAAUAGACCAACAUAGACCCCAGUCAUUGUUGCAAUUAAUAAGAAGUAAUAAGGAAAGAGAGGUUCACAUAUAAAUAUAUCUUCUUAGACACUUUUUACAAUUGUGAGCACUCACCAAACUAUUACAUGCUUAAAAGUAGAUGUUGGACAAGGAAGACAACAUAAUGAAUUGUGUUUGCUUGAUUCCAAACAAUGUUAUAUGAUUAGAGAUCCCUUAGCAUGUGACGAUUGCUUCCACCUCAUAUUAGCCAAAACUCCCGCACCAAGUAGAGAUACUACUUGUGCAUACAUAAACCUUCAAACCAGUCUUGACAUGAGUGUCCACCAUACCUACCUAUGGAUUGAAUAAGAUCCCUCAAGUAAGUUGUCAUCGGUGCAAACAAUAAAAAUUGCUCUCUAAUAUGUAUGAUCUAUUAGUGUGUGGAAAAUCAGCUUUAUACGAACCUGUGAUGAGGAAGACAUAAAAGCGACAGACUGCGUAAUAAAUUUCUUUAUCACAGGAGGCAAUAUAAAGUGACGUUCCUCCGCACUAAGAGGACACGCAUCCAAACCUAAAAGCGCAUGACAACCUCUGCUUCCCUCUGCAAAGGGCCUAUCUUGUACCUUUACCUUUUGUCCUUGUGAAAGUCAUGGUGAUCAACACCAAUUCCCUAUUCCGUCUUCAUCUUGGUGAACGUCAUAUGNNNNNNNNNNNNNNNNNNNNNNNNNNNNNNNNNNNNNCCCCCCCCCCCCACGGAAAGAUCAAUAUUCAUAUAUCAACUUGGAGAUGGGUACUUAUGCUUUAUUAUUGUUGACUUUACCCUUGAGGUAAAUGGCUGGGAGGCAAAAUUAUAAGCCCCUAUCUUUCUGUGUGUCCAACUGAAACUUUGAUGCCAUGAGUACCACGUGAGUUGUAACAAUUGUGGAAAACAAAAGAGAUGAUUAAGUAUGUGGAUUUGCUUUACGAGCUCUUAUUUGACUCUUUCUGAUGUUAUGAUAAAUUACAAUUGCUUCAAUGACUAUGGACUGUUGUUGGCUACUUCUCGGUAAGGUUUUUGAUUCAUACUUUGCUUUGUGAAGGAAUUGUUACUUUCCCAUAAGAAUCUUUAUGAUGUAUUGUUGUUCUAUGUGUGAUCAUGAUGCCCUCAUGUAUGUAUUAUGUUUUAUCGAAACCUUCAUCCCUAAACGUGUGGACAUGUUUAUGGAUCUUGGUUUUUGCUUAAGGACAAGCGAAGUUUAAGCUUGAGGGAGUUGAUACGUCCAUUUUGCAUCAUGCUUUCAUGUUGAUAUUUAUCGCUUUAUGGACUGCUAUUAUACUUUGUGGUACCAUACUUAUGCCUUUUCUCUCUUAUUUUGCAAGGUUUAUUUGAAGAGGGAGAAUACCGGCAGAUGGAAUUCUGGACUGGAAAAGGAGCAAGUCUGAGUCAUCUAUUCCGCGCAACUCCAAAUGCCGUGAAAAUCAACGUGAAAUUUUUUGGGAAUAUAUAAAAAAAUACUGGGCGAAAGAAGUGCCAGAGGGGAGCUGCCAGGGGCCCACAAGCCUGGUAGUUGCGGCCUGCCCCCGUGGUCGCGGCUAAAGGGCUUGUGGGCACCCUGGUGGCCCACUGGCCCCCCUCUUCUGCUAUAUGAAGGGUUUCGUCCGGAAAAAAAAUAGGGCGAAGCUUUUUCGAGGAGGCGCCGCCGCCACGAGGCGGAACUUGAGCAGAACCAGUCUAGAGCUCCGGCAGGACGAUCCUGCCAAGGAAACUUCCCUCCCGGAGGGGGAAAUCGUCGCCAUCGUCAUCACCAACACUCCUCUCAUCAGAGGGGACUCGUCUCCAUCAACAUCUUCAUCAGCACCAUCUCAUCUCCAAACCCUAGUUCAUCACUUGUAACCAAUCCCCGUCUCGCGACUCCGAUUGGUACUUAUAAGGUUGCUAUUAGUGUUGAUUACUCUUUGUAGUUGAUGCUAGUUGGAUUACUUGGUGGAAGAGUUUAUGUUCAGAUCCUUGAUGCUACUCAUUACCUCUCUGGUCAUGAAUAUGAUUAUGCUUUGUGAGUAGUUACUUUUGUUCCUAAGGACAUGGGAUAAGUCAUGCUAAUAGUAGUCAUGUGAAUUUGGUAUUCGUUUGGUAAUUUGAUAUGUUGUAUGUUGUUUUUCCUCUAGUGGUGUUAUGUGAACGUCGACUACAUAACACUUCACCAUUAUUUGGGCCUAGAGGAAGGAAUUAGGGAGUAGUAAGUAGAUGAUGGGUUGCUAGAGUGACAGAAGCUUAAACUCCAGUCUAUGUGUUGCUUCGUAAGGGGCUGAUUUGGAUCCACUAGUUUAAUGCUAUGGUUAGACUUUGUCUUAAUUCUUCUUUCGUAGUUGCGGAUGCUUGCAAGAGGGGUUAAUCAUAAGUGGGAUGCUUGUACAAGUAAGGGCAGUACCCAAGCGCCGGUCCACCCACAUGUCAAACUAUCAAAGUAACGAACGCGAAUCAUAUGAAUAUGAUGAAAACUAGCAUGACGAAAAUUCCCGUGUGUCCUCGGGAGCGUUUUUCCUGCUAUAAGACUUUGUUCAGGCUUGUCCCUUGCUACAAAAGGGAUUGGGCCAGUUUUCUGCACCGUUGCUAUUACUUGUUACUUGUUACUUUUCACCUGCUACGUUUCACCUCACUACACCAUCACUUGCUACCGCCACUUUCAGUGCUUGUAGUUAUUACCUUGCUGAAAACCGUUUAUCAGAGCCUUCUGCUCCUCGUUGGGUUCGACACUCUUACUUAUGGAAAGGACUACGAUUGAUCCCCUAUACUUGUGGGUCAUCAUUAAGGUCCUAGAAGUAUACGAAGUAUACAGAUUGCUACAGACUGGUCUGUUUUUGAUAGAUUCUGUUUUUGCUGAGUUGGUUGCUUGUUUUGAUGAAACUAUGGAUAUUAUCGGGGGUACUAGCCAUGGAAAAGUGAUAAUACAGUAAUCUAAUACCAAUAUAAAUAGAAAUCAAGAUUGCUACAGUACCUAAAGAGGUGGUAGUUUGUUUUCUUGUGCUAAUGAUAUCACGAGUUUCUGUUUAAGUUUUGUGUUGUGAAGUUUUCAAGUUUUGGGUGAUGUUCUCAUGGAAAAAGAGAUAAGGAGUGGAAAGAGCUCAAGCUUAGGGAUUCCCAAGGCAUCCCAAGCCAAAUUCAAGGACACGAAAAAGCCUAAGCUUGGGGAUGCCCCGGGAAGGCAUCCCCUCUUUCGUCUUCAAUCCAUCAGUAACAUUACUUGGAGCUAUAUUUUUAUUCACCACAUGAUAUGUGUUUUGCUUGGAGCGUCUUGUAUCGUAGGAGUCUUUUCUUUUUGUUGUGUCACAAUCAUCCUUGCUGCACACCUUUUGAGAGAGACAUGCACUCAUCGUGAAUUUGUUAGAAUGCUCUUCAUGCUUCACUUAUAUCUUUUGAGCUAGAUAAUUUUGCUCUAUGUGCUUCACUUAGAUCUUUUAGAGCACGGCGGUGCGUGACUUGGUAGUUAGUUUGUGCUAUGAAUGUAGAAAGAGAAGUUUGAUUCCUCUCAAUUGGUUUUGAGAUAUGUAUAUGGUAAUAUUAGAGUUAUGCUAGUAGGGUGUUGUGAAUCUAGAAAUACUUGUGUUGAACUUAGUGAUUCCCGUAGCAUGCACGUAUGGUGAACCGCUAUGUUAGGAAGUCGGAGCAUCAUUGAUUUAUUGAUUGCCAUCCUUUGUGUGGCUGUCGGGAUCGCGCAAUGGUUAAACACCUACCAACUCUUCCCCUAGGAGUAUGCGUUUAGCACCUUGUUUCGAUUACUAAUAAAAACUUUCGCAAUAAGUAUAUGAGUUCUUCAUGACUAAUGUGAGUCCAUGGUAUAGAUGCACUUUCACCUUCCACCAUUGCUAGUCUCUCUAGUACCGCGCAACUUUCGCCUGUGCACAAACCCACCAUAUACCUUCCUCAAAACAGCCACCAUACCUACCUAUGAUGGCAUUUUCAUAGCCAUUCCGAGAUAUAUUGCCAUGCAACUCCCACCGUUCCGUCUCAUGACUUGUGCCGUCAUUCUCAUAUUGUCAUUGCAUGAUCGUAAGAUAGCUAGCGAGAUGUUUCAACGUCAUACGCCAAGCUAGAUCGUUGCACAUCCCGGUACACUAACGGAGGCAUUUCAUAUAGAGUCAUCAUUGCUCUAAGUAUUGAGUUGUGAGUAAAUAAAAGUGUGAUGAUCAUCAUUAUUAGAGCAUUGUCCCAUGUGAGGAAAUAAAAAAAAAGAGGCCAAAGAUGCCCACCAAAAAAAUAAAAAAAAUAAAAGAGGCCAAAGAGCCCAAACAAAAAAUGAGAGAAAAAGAGAGAAGGGACAAUGCUACUAUCCUUUUCCACACUUGUGCUUCAAAAUAGCACCAUGUUCUUCAUGAUAGAGAGUCUCUUGUUUUGACACUUCCAUAUACUAGUGGGAAUUUUCAUUAUAUAACUUGGCUUCUAUAUUCCAAUGAUGGGCUUCCUCAAAAUUGCCCUAGGUCUUCGUGAGCAAGCAAGUUGGGUGCACACCCACUAGUUUUCCUUUUGAGAUUUCACACACUUAUAGCUCUUGUGCAUCCGUUGCUUGGAAAUCACUACUCAUUCACAUUUAUAUCUAUUUAUGGGCAUCUCCAUAGCCCAUUGAUACGCCGAGUCAAUGUGACCAUCUCCUUCCUUUUUGCCUCACAACCUCCAGCACACUCUAUUCCACCUAUUGUGUUAUAUCCAUGGAUCAUGCUCAUGUAUUGCGUGACAGUUGAAAAAGUUUGAGAAAGUAAGAGUGCAAAAACAAUUACUUGGCCAAUACCGGGGUUGUGCAUGAUUUUAAUUCGUUGUGUGGGGAUGAUGGAGCAUAGCCAGACUAUAUGAUUUUGUAGGGAUAACUUUCUUUGGCCUUGUUAUUUCGAAAGUUCAUGAUUACCUUGCUAGUUUGCUUGAAGUAUUAUUGUUUUCAUGUCAAUAGAAAACUAUUGUUUUGAAUCUUACGGAUCUGAACAUUCAUGCCACAAGAAAGAAGUUACAAAGGACACAUAUGUUAGGUAGCAUUCCACAUCAAAAAUUCGGUCUUUAUCACUUCCCUACUCGAGGACGAGCAGGAGUUAAGCUUGGGGAUGCUUGAUACGUCUCCAACGUAUCUAUAAUUUUUGAUGGUUCCAUGCUAUUAUCUUGUCAACCUUGGAUGUUUUAUAUGCAUGAAUAUGCUAUUUUAUAUCUUUUUUGGGACUAACCUAUUAACUCAGUGCCAAGUGCUAGUUUCUGUUUUUUCCGUGUUUUUGACCCUUUUUCAGACGGAGUCCAAAUGGAAUAAAACUUUACGACGAUUUUUUUGGACCAAAAGAGACCCCCGAAGGUUUGGAAGAAGGCCAGUAGAGCCACGAGGGAGUGACAAGCCCGGGAGGCGCGACCCCCCCUAGGCCGCACCUACUAGGCUUGUAACCUCCUCGUAGGCCCAACCAACGUAAUUCCACCGCCAUAAAUUCCUAUAAAUACAAAAAACCCCAAAAAGAAACCUAGAUCAGGAGUUCCGCCGCCGCAAGCCUCUGUAGCCACCAAAAACCAAUCCGGAGCCCGUUCCGGCACCCUGCCGGAGGGGGAAUCCAUCUCCGGUGGCCAUCUUCAUCAUCCCGGCGAUCUCCAUGACGAGGAGGGAGUAGUUCACCCUAGGGGCUGAGGGUAUGUACUAGUAGCUAUGUGUUUGAUCUCUCUCUCUCUCUCUCGUGUUCUUGAGAUGUCAUGAUCUCGAUGUACCGCGGGCUUUGCUACUAUAGUUGGAUCUUAUGAUGUUCUUUCCCCUCUCCCUUCUUGUAAUGAAUUGAGUUUUCCCUUUGCAGUUAUCUUAUCAGAUUGAGUCUUUGAGAACACUUGAUGUAUGUCUUGCACGUGUCUAUCUGUGGUGAUCAAACUGCGGGUUUGUGACAUUGGGAACCUAUGCAUAUGGGUUGGCACACGUUUGGAUAUUCAUGUGAGUACUUGAUGUAUGUUUAGGUGAUCAACUUGCGGGUUUCAUGACAUUGGGAACCUAUGCAUAUGGGUUGGCACACGUUUUGAAUCUCCGGUAGAAACUUUGGGGCAUUCUUUGAAGUUCUAUGUGUUGGUUGAAUAGAUGAUUCUGAGAUUGUGUGAUGCAUAUCAUAUAAUCAUGCCCACGGAUACUUGAGGUGACAAUGGAGUAUCUAGGUGACAUCAGGGUCUUGGUUGAUAUGUAUCUUAAGGUGUUAUUCUAGUACGAACUCUAUGAAAGAUUAAACAGAAAGAAUAGCUCCGUGCUAUUUUACUACGGACUCUUGAAUAGAUCGAUCAGAAAGAAUAACUUUGCGGUGAUUUCGUACCCGACAAUAAUCUCUUCGUUUGUUCUCCGCUAUUAGUGACUUUGGAGUGACUCUUUGUUGCAUGUUGAGGGCUAGUUAUAUGAUCCAAUUAUGUUAUCAUUGUUGAGAGAACUUCACUAGUGAAAAUAUGAACCCUAGGCCUUGUUUCCACGCAUUGCAAUACCGUUCGUGCUCACUUUUGUUACUAGUUACCUUGCUGUUUUUGUAAUUUCAGAUUACAAGAACCUAUAUCUACCAUCCAUAUUGCACUUGUAUCACCAUCUCUUCGUCGAACUAGUGCACCUAUACAACUUACCAUUGUAUUGGGUGUGUUGGACACAAGAGACUCUUUGUUAUUUGGUUGCAGGGUUGCUUGAGAGAGACCAUCUUCAUCCUACGCCUCCUGCGGAUUGAUAAACCUUAGGUCACCCACUUGAGGGAAAAUUGCUACUGUCCUACAAGCCUCUGCACUUGGAGGCCCAACAACGUAUACAAGGAGAAGGCUGCGUAGUAGACAUCAAGAGGCCCGAGAGGGGUGCAGCGGGUCUUAACUCCGAUGAGCAAUUCCGAUGAUCUAGGGGGUUAGUCAGGUGGUUAGGUGGUCCGGUUCGUACCUACUCAUUGCAGGGGUUCCAAUUUUGGCCUAAAGUCGCUCGGUCAUCGACGGAGGACCCGGGUCGACGGAGCGGGUCUAGCUGUGCAUAGCGACAGCAGAGUUCGUGUUGUGCGCUGCCUGGGGCGUGGCGACAGCAAACACGGCGCGUGUUGGGUUCCGGGACAUCCGGAGGCUUUGGGUGCAAUGGACGAUGCCGGACCGUGCGGGGCUGCAGCAGGGGAGACGCUAGUGGCCACGGCAGCCGCUGCAUAUGCUGCUGUCGGAGCUGACUUGCUCGGCCAGCUCACCACCGACGCUAGCAAGCGUCCAAGGUGAUGCGAGGCGCGUGGAUAAGCUCGGGCACACGAUCGAGCGGCUCUUGCAUCGAUACUGUGGAGAUUGUCACCGCUCAAGACUGAAAUUGAACUCUGAAUGUUGACUGAAUCAAAUUCAGAGAUAGAUAGUGGCAAAAGUGCAUGCUAGGUGUUCGACCAAAUGAAAAUGGCACGCACACAAAAACAAUUGAGCUGAAAUUUUUUGGGGUGGUCUCUCAUUGGGUGCAAAGACUGCCCACAAAUUUUUAGAAUUUUUGAAAUUGUUUUAGUCAGGUUUUUAUUCAAAACAGAGUCUUUUGGGUCAAACUUGAGUGAAAUGAAAUAGGUUUUCAGUGAAAUAGGUUGAGGGUACUAAGGCCUUCUAAGGGUAGGAGUUUGGGUCUCAAAUUCCUAAAGAAUCACUAAGUUCCUUUGUAAAUUUGCUGGGGUCAAAUUUGAUUAGGGAAAAUACUUUUAUUUGAAAUAAAAUACGAAAGGUGGUUAAACCCUUCUAAAGCUUUGGUAAAUCAAUGAAAAUGAAAACCUAGAUGUUAGAGAAGUGCCAAAGGGUCUAAAUCAGAAUGGAGGAAAAAGAAAUCUUGAGGAAUAUUGACAAUUGAACCUAUAGAAAUUAAAUUCCUAGGUUUUGCAAAAGAAUAAAAUAUUCUCCCAAACCAAUUCAUUUUGAGAGGAGGCCAAAAGAAUACUUUUUAAACCACGCAGGUUGAGAAAAGAAAGCUCCAAAAAAAUCUUAAGGAGGUUGUCAAAGAGCUUCAAAGCUUUUUAUUAAAGCAAAAAUUUGAAAAUCCAUUUUGAAAAUGGUUCAAAAAUCAAGAAAUCCAAAUUAAAAAAAUUUGGGUGUUACACAUGACUUUGAACCACAAUGACAUGGACGACAUCAGCAAAGAAUGGCAUGAUAAGACAAGGAGAGAAAUCUUGAAGAGGAGGAUGCUUGCGUGUUAUGGUGGCGAUGGUUUAUCCUCUGGAAUGGGAACCGAUGAUUUCGGCGUCGGAGUAGGAACAAGUAAAGGCAAUGGAUUCGGGGGCGACGAUGACCUCGUUUGUGCAGAAUGAAGAACGACCAUGAUGCAUGAAGUAAUUUUGCGUUUGUCUUUCCAACUAUGCUCUCAUUUCGCGUGCGAACUACUCUUUAUUGUUUAAAUUCAAACUCAUUUGCACGAAUCGCUUUCAAAUUCCAACUAUGUUUUAUUGCGAGGUUUUCCAGUUUGCGGGUCGCCGCGGUGGCGCCCGAAUAGACCUUGUGUUGAAGACCCGUAUAACAUCUUCUGCGAAUAUGCUUUUAUACGGGUCUAUUUUCGGGAGUGUGCACCUCUCCGCACCCGCGCUGGCCCGCAAAACAUGUUUUUCACGAACUGUAAAUGGCUUUUGCAGGUCGGCAUUAUACGGGGUGUGCUAGAGAUGCUCUUAGUGAGCUAUCUUGCAACAGGCUGCAAAACCCUAUAAACAGGAUGAAUACAAUUCACAUGGUGGGUUCUUCGCCCUAGGUGAGUGAGUGACACGGUAUAAAUGAGAGUGAUGUGUUCUCUCAACAAUCAUUUAGAGCAACUCCAAACGGACGACCCUCCAUUUGAAUCAUUGUGGACAUAGAAUUAGGGCACAACGAGACAAUUCGAACAGACACACGUCCGUUUUUAUCUUCCAGUGACCCAUUCCAGGUCGAAAUUUGGGCCGUAUUUGCGUCGGUGCGGAUACGGGACAGACGCCCGCGAUGCUCGCCCUACUCUUCCCCCUGGCCCGCUAGUCAGUGGCAGUAGGCUAGUCUCUUCUUCAUCUCCUUGCCUCAUACUCACCCGAAGCCUCUCGACUGCCUCAUCGCUCGCUGCCGCCACCCAGGCGUGCUACCUUGUCUCGGUCGGGCGCGAAGCUCUUCACUGUCUGACUUCUUCUACAACGCCCGCAAGUUGUUCAACGGUUUGCCCACAAAGUACAAAUGGACUUCGAUGAUGAGUUUUUUUCUACAAUGUUCUUUGUGAUUCAGGUGAUUCUUCGUUCGAUGAUGAGGAGAUUGUGGCAGCUGCAUUGAUCAUCCAUGACCACCUAAGCAUGGAGCGGCCGCUAUUUAGGGGCUCGAUACCGGGGCACACGCCCACACUGAAUCGAGACUGGGAGAGUGGCCAUUUCCUACUUUGGAACGACUAGUUCAAGAACCCUAGUCCGCUCUUCAAACAUCACAUGUUCCAAUGCUGUUUUCGUAUGUCUAGGCAUGUGUUCAACCGUAUUCGGGAGGGGGUCGUGUACGAUAACUAUUUUGAGUGCAAGAGGGAUGCCCUCGGAAAGAUUGGCUUCUCCUCUUAUCGGAAAUGCAUUGCUACCAUCUAGACGCUUGCAUACGGAGUUUCUAGUGAUCUCAUUGAUGAAUAUGUCCGGAUGAGUGAGUCUGCAUGCCUUGAGUCCAUGUAUAGGUUUUGCAAGGUUGUCAUAGCUGUGUUUGGGCCGGAGUACUUGAGAGAGCCAACUGUUGCUGAUACAACACGGCUCAUGGAGAUAAAUGCUAGCAGGGAAUUUCCGAGGAUGCUUGGUAGCAUAGAUUGUAUGCAUUGGAAGUGGGGAAAAUGCCCUUCUACUUGGCAAGGGUGGUAUAAGGGCCAUGUCCGAGCUUGCACUCUCAUGCUUGAGACCAUUGCUUCCCAAGAUCUCUGGAUUUGGCACUAUUUCUUUGGCAUGGCCGGAUCUCACAAUGAUAUCAGUGUGUGAUACACCCAUUUUGCAUCAUGAUUUCCUAUUGAUAUUUAUGUUAUUCUUGGUCAUUAUUCCACUUUUGGUACAAUUAUUAUGCAUUUUCUUUCAGAAUUUACAAGGUACAUCAUAUAGAGGAAAAUUGUCGGGGACUGGAAUUCUCAACCUGAAAACCAAGAAAAGGCUAAAAAUUCACUCGACUCCAAAUGACAUGAAACUGCAUGAGGAUUUUUUUCUGAAAUAUAUGUGAAUUUAUGGAGCCAAAACAUACCAGAGGGGGGCCACCUGUUGGUGCCAAGCCAACAGGGCGCGCCCACCCCCUAGGCCCGCCCUGAUGGAUUGGGACCACCUCCAAGGUUCCCUGGCCUCCCUCUUUUGCUAUACGAUGUGUUUUGACCUAUAAAAAAUAAGAAUAUACUUUCAGGAUGAAGCGCCACCAUCCUGAGGUGGAAACCUGGGUAGAGGCCCUUUUGCUCCCCGACAGAGCGAUUCUACGGGGAAACUUCUCUGUGGGAGGGGGAAAUCAAAGCUAUCGUCAUCACCAACGCUUACUCCUUCAUGGGAGAACCAAUCUUCAUCAACCUUUCAUGGGAGAUAUAACGUAUGUUGUACUAAAAACUCAUAGAUGACCUAUCGAUGUGUCUCAUAGUUGGGUCUGUCCAACUCACACCUUAUCUCGACUCGGAUUCGACUACGUCCACUCCGACCAGAUCUUUCUGAGUCCAUAUUAUCCGACUAGCAUCCAAUUAUGCAUGGUUAGUGAGACCAAACCAUCUGCCAUGUCAUAUGCUAAUAUGAAUGGUUGCGCAUUCACACAACACUUUCGAUUAGGGAUCAUUUAGGACAAUCAUCAUACAAAUGCAUAGUCUCACAAACAAGUCACGUACUUGUUGAUACACAUCAUUGACAAUGUCCAAUGACUAUCCUUAUUCAUAAACACAUAGGAAAUAUCAUCAUACAUGAUUGCCUCUAGGGCACAUCUCCAACACUCCGGUGUGGUGUCGUCAGAGGCCGUCUCCAUCAUAGGGCGUCCUCAUCGAGAGAUCUCGGGAGAGUUGGCCGACAUGCCGGUCUCGAUCCGCCUGCCACGAUGUCUCUGCCAGCUGUCCGCUAGGCCGGCCAUUUCAUGCUUCAUCUCUGCCAAAAGGCUCUCCCAUAGAGCUUUGCCGCCUAUAGUCAUGGUGGACGUGGUGCAAGGGAGGACGGUGGUAGGAGUAUGUGGAGCGGCUUGUGUUGUGGCGUGGAGUUAGCCGGGUGUGCCCGCCUUUAAACAACUAAUUUCGGUGAGGACAAAUGUCUGGGUGUGCCAAUGUGCGGCGCCGGUGUGGGUUUCUGGGCUCGCGAGCCUACUUAAUAGUGGCAUACGGAUGGAUGGGGCAGUGAAACAGGUGUGGUAGAUAUACGUCCCAUCUCGUCCAGUAACGUGUUUCCGGCAUUGAAUGGACGCGGACACCGGGGACGCGUCGCAGGUGGUGUCAUCGGUCGGCGCGUCGCUUUAAUACCGGAGGCAAUGAGAGGCCGCGUGUGCUGUGUGUCGGGUUCAAUGUGGACCGACCGCUCUACAACAACAGAAAUGCAGACAGAUGAUGUCGGCGGGAAUAAAUACAGAUGAGGGAGAAGGGUUUUUGGGUGGGCCAAUGUGGUCAGAAGAGAAAGUGGAUCUUGUCCGGAUGCCCGCAAAGUCUCCCUAAUUUGUCUUCGGUUUACGAGAGAAAGUAUGUCCAGAACACCUAACGGAUCGAUGCAGGACCGCGUUAGAUGACAUAACACGACCGAAGGCGAUCGGACGCUUGUGGACGGUCGAGUGUCGGCGUCGAAGAUGCCCUAAGCUAGGUGGAAACGUUGUUGCCUAACGAAUGAAUGGCUUUUCUAAGAAGGGGUUGCCUAGCGUCAAGCAGGGGAUCAAUAGAGUGUUGCCAACUUGAAUCUAUGGGCCAAGUAUUUUCUACUCCCUCCGUUUCAAAAUAUAAGACCUUUUAGAGAUUUCACUAGAAGACUACAUACAGAACAAAAUGAGUGAAUUUAUAUUUUAAAAUAUGUCUAUGUAUAUCCGUAUGUACAUCCGUAUUUUAAAAUAUAAGUCUUUAAAGAGGUUUCAUUAGUGGACUACAUACGGAUGUAUAUAGACAUAUCUUAGAAUGUAGAUUCACUCAUUUUGUUCCAUAUGUAGACUUCUAAUGAAAUAUCUUAAAAGACAUUUAGAAACGGAGGGAGUAGUUUAUAGUACAAUCUCUAAAAGGUCUUAUAUUAGGAACAGAGGGAGUAUACUUUAGUACUUUGUCCCUGUCACGCCCAAGAUGCGACCCUAUCCUCAAUUUGGCACGAAGGCCUCGUCACGGAUAGAAGCGCAUCUCGUCGUGUCUCAAGAAUGGAUAUCGUUACAAGUACAUGUACUGAAAAGGAGAGUUAUAUAAAGAGUUGGCUUACACUCGCCACAAGCUACAUCAGAGUCACAUCAGUACAUUACGUAAUCAUCAAGAGUAAGAGCAGGGUCCGACUACGGACGAAAACAAACGAGAAAAAUAAGAACGACGUCCAUCCUUGCUAUCCCAGGCUGCCGGCCUGGAACCCAUCCUAGAUCGAUGAAGAAGAAGAAGAAGCAACUCCAAAUGAACAAUCAACGCGCUCGCGUCACGUAACCUUUACCUGUACCUGCAACUGGCGUUGUAGUAAUCUGUGAGCCACAGGGGACUCAGCAAUCUCAUUUCCAAAGGUAUCAAGACUAGCAAAGCUUAAUGGGUGAGGUAUGGUUAAGUGGUGAGGUUGCAGCAGCGGCUAAGCAUAUAUUUGGUGGCUAAACUUACGAGUACAAAAAUAAAGAGGGGGAUGAUCUACGCAUAACGGACGUGCCUACUGAUGAUCAAAUGAAUGAUCCUGAACACCUACCUACGUCAGACAUAACCCCACCGUGUCCUCGAUCGGAGAAGGAACUCACGAAAGAGAUAGUCACGGUUACGCACACAGCUGGCAAGUUUACAAGAUAUUUCGUCAAAGGUAAAACUAAUCCAGCAAGGCCGCCCGACGUGUCGACGAUCCCGAUAGGAGUCGCGUACCUCGUUCUCAGGACACGGCGGAUGAGCUAGACGUCGGGAUCGCUAAACCUCCGGGUGACCAGAGGGGUGCCGGACAUCGCUCACGUGGGACCAACACUCAUGAGGAGCACUGGCCCGGGGGUUGAUUAAAUUAUCCUCGGGGUCCGGAAAGUCCCUAUGCAAUUUUAUUAGGUGCUUAGGCAAAUGUAGAACCAAAGUUGGGCCUUGCCAGACCAGCUUUAAUCUAAAACGGAUUAUCAAGGGGGUCCCCAUAACAACCCCGAUCGUGUUAAAAGCGCUCAUAUAUGGAACAUAACACCGGUAGCCGGAAACUAAGGGGGCAAAGGUGGAACAAAACACCAGGCUAGAAAGGCCGAGCCUUCCACCUUUUACCAAGUAUAUAGGUGCAUUAAAUUAAAUAGCAUUAAAUAUGGUGAUAUAACACGGAACCCAUGCUUUGCAUGGAAGCAACUGCACCUGCAACUAGCAACGCUAACACAGGGUAAAGCAAGCUGUAACAUAGCCAAUCACUGGUUUGCUAGGGUGAACAGGUUGAUGGUUUCAUGGCAUUGUAGAGAGGCUGAUAUUUAACAGGUGGUAGGCAACAAGACGUAAACGAUAGCAACGGUAAAACUAGCAUGGCAAUGAUAGUAAUGGUAUCUGGGGAAAUGAUCAUCUUGCCUGAGAUCCCGCUGGAAAGAAGAAUGCCUCCGUGAAGCAGACGAACCGACGUAGUCGAUCGGGUCCUCACAAUCCGACACGCUGCGGAACUCUAUCGAGACGAAGCAAACCGGAAACACAAAUCAUCACACGGUAUUCACCACAAGAUGCACAACACAUAUGAUGCAUGAGCAGCUGAAACCAUGCAAGUCACGGCAUGACAAAUCACACAAUCAAACACUACACAUUAAAUGAAGUUCAAUAUGCAACGGGUUGCAUAUUGACGAAAAUCCACACAUGAAUUAUUUAGUUCACUCCGAUUAUCUCCACGGCAAUAUUAAUGUUGUCAAACAUGCAGGGGGUGAAGCGGAAAUUAAACUACCUAUCUAGGCAUUUUAAGUGAGGUCGGAAAUGACAUUAAGCACCUCCGAAACGACCUCGCAUGUUAAUUUACAAUUCUGUCCAGAUCUGAAUUAACACAUUUAAUUAGUUGUUAAACAGAAAAACAAUUAGGUUCUCGUGAUUCUACGCUUCAAGGCAAGCAAUCUACACAUAAAGAACAUCUCCAACGGAGCUACGGUUCAAAAGAUACAAGCACCGCAAGAUAUGAUGGCAUGAAUGCAAUAUGUGUGCAACGGCGGUCACGAGCACUUCAAAACAUACAUCACGCAAGAUAAAAUGAAACUACACGAGAUUCUAAGCAACUUUCAUGUAGGACACGAUCAAAACGGAGCUACGGUUCGAAAACUACGAGCAAAACAAGAAAACACUACAAUCUGCCAAAAUCAGCCAGAUAGCAUUUUCUACGCCCCACAACUACGGCUACACAACUCCGAUUUGCUCAAGCAAGGCAUGGCACGGAAGAGGGCAAGAAGCACUACUACAAACUACUAACAACAACUAACAUGGCAGCAAGGAGCACUAGGAAAAGAAGACACAAAAUGGCAUCUCACGCACUAUUUCAGACUUAGAGAAAAUAACACCUCAUGAAAGUGCAGUUUUCAGCCUGAAGGCAUAUUGACAGCAGCAAAAACCUAAGCUACAGGUCUCCAAAUGGCAUGAAACUUCACAGCAUGCUAGAGAAACACAAGGGGUACAACUAACUCCAUUGGACCAACCCCAAAAGAGCUACAUAUCACAAGAUGCAAGCAAGACAAGACAGCAACAAAAUAUAACAGAUUCCAGACUUAGAAAUAUUUCAGCUCCUCCAAAUCAGCACUAUUUCUAGCAACUUGGGAGCAAGCAAACAACACCAAAACAUGCAUUUCUAUUGCAACCAAAAAUACCAGGGACUAAACAAAACAUCUAAGAAGAAUUCCCUAGUUGACAACUAAUUCAAACGAGGCCCGGAAUAAAUCCUACGAAUUAAACAAAAGGGCAUCACGGCAAAAUAUCGCGCCAAUUAACUUACUCAAAAGCUAAAACUAAUUGCACAGAAAAAUCCAUGGGAUUUUUCUACCCCGGAAACAUAUAGAAUAUGUGGGGUUUGCAACAAAAAAUAAUGCCACACAUUAAUGCGAGAUAAAACCUAUAUACGGGAAAAUAAACUACCGGCAAAAUCCUACACGCAAAAAAACAAAUGACCGCUCUAAAAUGUAUGAAAAAAUGGUCCCUAAAGCAUGGGCAUUUCUAAUGCGGCAUACGGGCAAUCCGGCCACGCGUGAAAAAUAAACUACGGGCAAAAACAAUAUAAACAACACACAUAUUCUAGGCAUACGGCGCGUUAACGACGUCAAAUAAAUAUGCAUGUUUCAAAAUCAUAUUCUAUGCGCGAAACUACCACAAAACCAUGUAUAAAACGCGUCGUUCCGACUUACGAUUUAGAAUCUACGGGCAUUUAAAUAUAUCUAUUUUUCUGGAAUUUAAAAAUUCCGAAAAUCCCUAAAAAGGAAAAAUAACUACCGGCCUAACUGUGGGCGUAAAAUAACUAUCACGUAUCUAUGCAUAAAUAGAGAGGCUGGGGGGACUGAUCACCUUGGUGGGCCUGGCCCAUGUCGCGGGGGAGGAGGUCGAGGCUUGGAGAGGGGGAUGGGCCUCGGGGCAGAGGCGGUUGGGGAGCUAGCCGACUGGGCCUUGGUGGCCUGACGCGGGAGUGGGUCGAGCUGUCAAGGCGACGUGGGCCGGCGCUGGCGGACAGGAGGCCGAACUGGGCCGAGGCGGUAGCCACAGGGGCCGGCUGCUCGCGCCCUGGAGGAGGCCGGCUGGAGCAGCGAACUGGGCCGGAUCUGGCCUCGCCAGACCAGGGCGAGCUGGGCCGAGCGGGAUGCCGAGGCUGCUGGGGCGCGUAGCUGGGCCGCAACGGAGGAGGCAGGCCCACGCGCGGUCAACCGCUCGCGAACGGGCGUCACCGCGUCUUCCUCCUCGAUCUAGAGGAGACGGCGGCGCUGAAGCUUCUACGGCGGGCGGCGGCAGGGGUUCCGGCGCGGGGGGANNNNNNNGGCUGCGCUGAAGCUUCUACGGCGGCCGGCGGCAGGGCUUCCGGCGAGGGGGAAGCCGCCCCGGGAGCGCGGCGAGGCAGGGCUGGCCGGAGGGGACCGGAUCCGGGGGUUCCCGGCCCGGAUUUGGCGACAGGAGGCGGCGGCAGUGCUCGGGUUGGGCGAGGCUCCGGCGGCGGCGCUGCGUUCCCACGGGACCGGCGGCGGAGGAAGACUGGCAGCGGGGCACGGGAAAGGCAGGAGGCGGCCGGGGACGACGCGGGCGGCGGAGGAAGGCGGCGCUACGGCCGGCUGGACUCCGGCGAGGCAGCAAGGGGAGGCUGACAUGGGAGGAGGUAGGGGGGCAUGGGAAGAUCCGGUCCGUCGGAUCUUGGAUCUGACAGUCCAGAUCGUCCAGAUCGGAUCUGGAGGAGGAGGAGGAGGAGGAGAUAGUGGUGGGAGGAGAAAAUGGCUCGGUUAGGGUUUCGGGAAUUGCACGCUUUUCGAGGCAGGGUUAGGGGAGACCUAAAAAGGAAGGGGAGGUGUGUUUAAAUAGGAAAGGGGGGCUAGGUUAACCGGAAUCGCGUUCCGGAUCCAACCGCGGGGUCGGAUUCGGACGAUUCCGAACACGGGUAUGGGCACGUGGCCGUGUAGAGGGGAUAUCCGGAGACGAGAGGGAGAACGGGUGACGCGGCACGAAUUUUAAAACACCGACAGAUGUCCGACGUAGACCGAAUACGGUGCCACUAUGGUCAACCGUUCGGGUACCAGAUGGUCUCCGAUCGCGACGAAAUUCAACAAGCGGCCUAGCGAUAACUAAUUAAGACCGCACGUCAAGCUUCGACUCAAUCAGAGAAAGUUUUAAACGCACUUUAAAAACAGGGUUUCGACGGUGCCGCAGGCGCGUGCGAGUGCGGUCGGGCUCAGAACGGACGACGACGCGAACCAGCAACUAACAAUGGAUGCAAGUUUUGAAAACGGGCGGCAACGGAGACGCCGAUGCAAUGCAGAUGAUGCGCAUGAUGCGAUGAUGAUGCGGCAACUGAAAAUACCCACACGACGAAAACGAAAAGAAAAGGGGAAGCUUCUGGAACGUCGGCAUCAGGCUGUCACAACUCUCCUACACUACAAGAGGAUCUCGCCCCGAGAUCCAAGAAUGAAAGGGGGAGAGGAUGAGAAAGAACAAGAGGUAAAAACUUAGUCGCUUCUUUGACAACGAGUGAAAACAGCAAUCCUUGAAGGUUGCAAGGAGAUGAGGACUGAUAUGAGAAGGAAGCAAGAAUUCACGGAAAAUUUCGGCAGCACUUCGGUAGGAAAAUGGGACAAAAAAUUCGAAACGGUAGGAGAAUUAGACAAUAUUCACAACCAACAAGUAAAUAAAGCAGGGGAACACCAAGAUCUUGAUAGAACAACAAGAUAGACCCAAAAAAAGCAAUAUCACAAUGCCUCCGAAACAAUAGAAUAGGAACUAGCUCAAGCAGAAGAAGAGAAUGAAGAGAGGAUGACAACUACCAUCACAAUAGAAUUUAAGAGCCUCCGGACAAAGAAUUGACGUAGCGGUUGGAAACCCAACAAUAGAAACAAGAUACUAGUGGGCUUAAGAAAAUCAUCCCAACAAAUAAGAGGUGACAACCAACCACUAAAAGAAACAAGGAUUGAUUGGGAGAAGCAAGAUAUGAACAAACUUACACCAAGAGGAUGCAUUGAGACCUUAGAUUAAUGACAAGCACCAUGAUAGCAUAAUCCAUAGGAAAAGCUAUAGGUGAAAUCCACACCAAGAUAGCUCAAUGAAGAAAUCCUGGGUUGAAAAUACCCCAUGAUCAAAGAAUUGGUGGGUUUAAUUAUCUCAUUCUUGAAAGGAAAACUCUUCGAGGCUCCUACACUAUCAAGAAGGCUAUAAUACCACCUCAAAGGAUAAAGGAAGAACAAUUGCACAUAGAAACGCAAGAGAACGGAUACUUGAGGUUCUACAACAAGAAUCUUGAAGAACACUUUGAGAAUGAAUUGAUAUGAAGAUAACCACCAAGAAGGACCUCCGUAUGAAUGAAUGAUGCAAAGAUAUGAAGGUAGAAAGAAUAAGAUUAUGAGCUUGCCAAGAUUUAGAUGAAGCUUCACAACGAGAUACUUGAUAAAACUUUGAACUCCGGAAAAGAAAGAUAAGCACUUGAGAAAAGAAUUGAUAUCAUGAGCCACUCCGGGAGAAGAAUUCAGAUUACUAUGAAGAACAAUAAGAAUUAUGUUAUGCUUAUCCUUCAUCAAGUUAAAUUGAUGACAAGCAACGGAUCUAGCAUACAACUUAUUCUUGUGAAAAGAUUGAGGAGAGAUAUGAGCACAAACUAGAAGAAUGUAGCAAGAAACACUGGUAAGAAUUCACAAUUGAAUGGGAACACCACGAAUUAAUGGAGAACAUGAUAAUGAAGAGCUCAUGAGCCACCUGAGAGAAAACUUGAACAAGGCACCGGAUAAUCAAGAGAUGAAUGAAGAGACAACAGUUGAGAAGAAUUGAGGAUGAAAGCUGAAAGCUGAGAACGAAGAAUCUUCUAAAAUGAUGGCCUUCGGAGGAACGAGAAAUAAAAACAACUCAGAAAUGCACCGGGUAGCGAGAAACGAAUACAAAUGAUUGAUAACAACUAAGAUGAUGGCACAAAGCUGAAAUGACGAAUAUCCAAGAGAAUGAACCAUGAUUGAGAGAAACACUCCUCCGAAUUUGCAAGCUGAGAAUGAUGACGAGGAACAACAGCAAGAAUAGCUGAGACACUCCGGAAUAAAGAAGAAUGCAAGGUUGAGCCAAAUAUGAGAAUUAAUUCGAAUAGAUCUUGGAGAAGGGAUAUGACUGAUGAAAAUGAUACUUACGUCACAGUUGAAAAGAAUUAAGGAUCUACGGAAAAGAUUAAAGAGCCAGGUAAGAUCCUGGGAAAACCUGUGGGUUAUGGGCCCACUCAAAGAAACCACCAUUAGAAAAUAUUGCUAGACCGAGAGAUAUUGCACCGGUACAAAUGAAAACUAGAUGAGGUUGAGAACCUCGAAAUAAUUAAAAGAAUUGAAAACUCGAGACUCAGAGAUAUCUUCAGCACUCCGGAUGAAAAGAGAGGAAUGAAUAACCAAGAUAGCCUGAAAGAAUCUCCAACAUGAAAAAGAAUUACAAGGAUAAUUAGGAUAUGAUGAACACGGAUGGCCGAAUUAAAUUCACCGGUAAGGAUGACAGAAUGAACAAAGAUGAACACGAAGCUCCUGAGAAUCUUCACAAUGAAUCACCGGAUAAGAGAGAAAAGAACACAUAGCGGAAGCACAAUGAAAAGAAACUCUUGGGUGGAAAUUGAAUCACUGAGAAAAGGGCGGGAGNNNNNNNNNNNNNNNNNNNNNNNNNNNNNNNNNNNNNNNNNNNNNNNCGCAGAAAAAGGGGGGGGAGGGGGGGGAAAAACAAAGACAACUUGGGCUAGAUGAGAUGAACUCCGGAAUAAACGAGAGAAAGAUCUUGCAAAUUAGAGAGGGUUGAAUUCACUUGGAGAGAAACACAUCGGUUGAAAAGAGUUGAUACGAUGACUCCGGUUGAAAGGAAUUGAUAAGACAACUGAUUAAGCAAAAGGAUUUGCAUUCUCACAUAAAAAUAUGAGAACACCUCUUAAAAAGAUCUGAAAUCACCACUUGACAUCAAAGCAACUGAAUUACCAUAUUUCAACAAAACAAAGGGUGCGGCUUAUGAAACAAGCCAGAACAAACUCAUCAGAAAAAUUUCCGUUCGAUAUUUUUGUGGACAGGAUCGCACGGGCACGAUUUUACAGUAGCCAUCAAGUGCAAGGCAGUGCACCUGACAUACGAAGCGUCCCCGAGUCGUAGCAAGCUACAAGGACUCUUUAAGACACAACGUGUACCGCUGUAAGUCGACCGUGAACAAACGAAUCCACUAGAUGUCGAACCCCAACCUAACAUCAUGCAUUUGUUGGAAGAAUGUCCUAUAAGUAACUACUUGAAUUCCCACCUAUGAAUUCCCGAAAUAUCUGGUCAUGCAAUCUGGUACACGGAUACAAGGAGUAAUAUCACACAACUCCUAUACUAACCCGUCACUUGUAUCACAUCCGUCAACACACGACCAGAAUCUCGGACCUUCAUCUACAACAGACCCUCGUGAUCACAACGAUACAAAGUAUGGCAGUACUCCCGAACAAUCUACACCAGUACUGGGGACAUCGGGGUUAUCUCGCCACUACUAGUAUUGAAGCAAUUACGAACAUCCUUCGUCCUGAGAUACUAAGAAAUCUGAAUGAUAACGAUGUGCUCAAGAAUCCCCUGGAGCUCAACUCCCCGGAAGAAGAUCAAGUCAGAUAGGAGGCACCAAGACAGAACUCCGUCACAUCGGCAUCAUAUAGAUUCCAAGAAUAUCCGCGUGAUCCUAAAAAAAAUUGAGUGAGAAGAGGAGUAUAAUUAAAAUAUUACGUCAAGAUUCCUCACCGGAGCAUAGAAGAGGAGAAAAAAGAAUCCUACUCUCCGAUAUAUAACUAAGACUCAAAUAGUUUAUCACUAGACUCGACUCGGCCAAGUUCGAUCAAUCAAGGGGGCUCCUAGGUCGGUACGGCUCUGAUACCAACUUGUCACGCCCAAGAUGCGACCCUAUCCUCAAUUUGGCACGAAGGCCUCGUCAGGGAUAGAAGCGCAUCUCGUCGUGUCGCAAGAAUGGAUAUCGUUACAAGUACAUGUAUUGAAAAGGAGAGUUAUAUAAAGAGUUGGCUUACACUCGCCACAAGCUACAUGAGAGUCACAUCAGUACAUUACGUAAUCAUCAAGAGUAAGAGCAGGGUCCGACUACGGACGAAAACAAACGAGAAAAAUAAGAACGACGUCCAUCCUUGCUAUCCCAGGUUGCCGGCCUGGAACCCAUCCUAGAUCGAUGAAGAAGAAGAAGAAGAAGCAACUCCAAAUGAACAAUCAACGCGCUCGUGUCACGUAACCAUUACCUGUACCUGCAACUGGCGUUGUAGUAAUCUGUGAACCACAGGGGACUCAGCAAUCUCAUUUCCAAAGGUAUCAAGACUAGCAAAGCUUAAUGGGUGAGGUAUGGUUAAGUGGUGAGGUUGCAGCAGCGGCUAAGCAUAUAUUUGGUGGCUAAACUUACGAGUACAAAAAUAAAGAGGGGGAUGAUCUACGCAUAACGGACGUGCCUACUGAUGAUCAAAUGAAUGAUCCUGAACACCUACCUACGUCAGACAUAACCCCACCGUGUCCUCGAUCGGAGAAGGAACUCACGAAAGAGAUAGUCACGGUUACGCACACAGUUGGCAAGUUUUAAUUAAGUUAACUUUAAGUUAUCUAGAACCAGUGUUAAACAAAGUUUCCACGUUGCCACAUAACCGCGGGCACGGCUUUCCGAAAGACAUACCCCUGCAGGGGUGCUNNNNNNNNNNNNNNNNNNNNNNNNNNNNNNNNNNNNNNNNNNNNNNNNNNNNNNNNNNNNNNNNNNNNNNNNNNNNNNNNNNNNNNNNNNNNNNNNNNNNNNNNNNNNNNNNNNNNNNNNNNNNNNNNNNNNNNNNNNNNNNNNNNNNNNNNNNNNNNNNNNNNNNNNNNNNNNNNNNNNNNNNNNNNNNNNNNNNNNNNNNNNNNNNNNNNNNNNNNNNNNNNNNNNNNNNNNNNNNNNNNNNNNNNNNNNNNNNNNNNNNNNNNNNNNNNNNNNNNNNNNNNNNNNNNNNNNNNNNNNNNNNNNNNNNNNNNNNNNNNNNNNNNNNNNNNNNNNNNNNNNNNNNNNNNNNNNNNNNNNNNNNNNNNNNNNNNNNNNNNNNNNNNNNNNNNNNNNNNNNNNNNNNNNNNNNNNNNNNNNNNNNNNNNNNNNNNNNNNNNNNNNNNNNNNNNNNNNNNNNNNNNNNNNNNNNNNNNNNNNNNNNNNNNNNNNNNNNNNNNNNNNNNNNNNNNNNNNNNNNNNNNNNNNNNNNNNNNNNNNNNNNNNNNNNNNNNNNNNNNNNNNNNNNNNNNNNNNNNNNNNNNNNNNNNNNNNNNNNNNNNNNNNNNNNNNNNNNNNNNNNNNNNNNNNNNNNNNNNNNNNNNNNNNNNNNNNNNNNNNNNNNNNNNNNNNNNNNNNNNNNNNNNNNNNNNNNNNNNNNNNNNNNNNNNNNNNNNNNNNNNNNNNNNNNNNNNNNNNNNNNNNNNNNNNNNNNNNNNNNNNNNNNNNNNNNNNNNNNNNNNNNNNNNNNNNNNNNNNNNNNNNNNNNNNNNNNNNNNNNNNNNNNNNNNNNNNNNNNNNNNNNNNNNNNNNNNNNNNNNNNNNNNNNNNNNNNNNNNNNNNNNNNNNNNNNNNNNNNNNNNNNNNNNNNNNNNNNNNNNNNNNNNNNNNNNNNNNNNNNNNNNNNNNNNNNNNNNNNNNNNNNNNNNNNNNNNNNNNNNNNNNNNNNNNNNNNNNNNNNNNNNNNNNNNNNNNNNNNNNNNNNNNNNNNNNNNNNNNNNNNNNNNNNNNNNNNNNNNNNNNNNNNNNNNNNNNNNNNNNNNNNNNNNNNNNNNNNNNNNNNNNNNNNNNNNNNNNNNNNNNNNNNNNNNNNNNNNNNNNNNNNNNNNNNNNNNNNNNNNNNNNNNNNNNNNNNNNNNNNNNNNNNNNNNNNNNNNNNNNNNNNNNNNNNNNNNNNNNNNNNNNNNNNNNNNNNNNNNNNNNNNNNNNNNNNNNNNNNNNNNNNNNNNNNNNNNNNNNNNNNNNNNNNNNNNNNNNNNNNNNNNNNNNNNNNNNNNNNNNNNNNNNNNNNNNNNNNNNNNNNNNNNNNNNNNNNNNNNNNNNNNNNNNNNNNNNNNNNNNNNNNNNNNNNNNNNNNNNNNNNNNNNNNNNNNNNNNNNNNNNNNNNNNNNNNNNNNNNNNNNNNNNNNNNNNNNNNNNNNNNNNNNNNNNNNNNNNNNNNNNNNNNNNNNNNNNNNNNNNNNNNNNNNNNNNNNNNNNNNNNNNNNNNNNNNNNNNNNNNNNNNNNNNNNNNNNNNNNNNNNNNNNNNNNNNNNNNNNNNNNNNNNNNNNNNNNNNNNNNNNNNNNNNNNNNNNNNNNNNNNNNNNNNNNNNNNNNNNNNNNNNNNNNNNNNNNNNNNNNNNNNNNNNNNNNNNNNNNNNNNNNNNNNNNNNNNNNNNNNNNNNNNNNNNNNNNNNNNNNNNNNNNNNNNNNNNNNNNNNNNNNNNNNNNNNNNNNNNNNNNNNNNNNNNNNNNNNNNNNNNNNNNNNNNNNNNNNNNNNNNNNNNNNNNNNNNNNNNNNNNNNNNNNNNNNNNNNNNNNNNNNNNNNNNNNNNNNNNNNNNNNNNNNNNNNNNNNNNNNNNNNNNNNNNNNNNNNNNNNNNNNNNNNNNNNNNNNNNNNNNNNNNNNNNNNNNNNNNNNNNNNNNNNNNNNNNNNNNNNNNNNNNNNNNNNNNNNNNNNNNNNNNNNNNNNNNNNNNNNNNNNNNNNNNNNNNNNNNNNNNNNNNNNNNNNNNNNNNNNNNNNNNNNNNNNNNNNNNNNNNNNNNNNNNNNNNNNNNNNNNNNNNNNNNNNNNNNNNNNNNNNNNNNNNNNNNNNNNNNNNNNNNNNNNNNNNNNNNNNNNNNNNNNNNNNNNNNNNNNNNNNNNNNNGGGGGCGGCGGAGGAAGGCGGCGCUACGGCCGGCUGGACUCCGGCGAGGCAGCACGGGGAGGCUGACAUGGGAGGAGCUCGGGAGGAGGAGAGUCACGGGCAUGGGAAGAUCCGGUCCGUCGGAUCUUGGAUCUGACGGUCCAGAUCGUCCAGAUCGGAUCUGGAGGAGGAGGAGAUAGUGGUGGGAGGAGAAAAUGGCUCGGUUAGGGUUUCGGGAAUUGCACGCUUUUCGAGGCAGGGUUAGGGGAGACCUAAAAAGGAAGGGGAGGGGUGUUUAAAUAGGAAAGGGGGGCUAGGUUAACCAGAAUCGCGUUCCGGAUCCAACCGCGGGGUCGGAUUCGGACGAUUCCGAACGCGGGUAUGGGCACGCGGCCGUGUAGAGGGGAUAUCCGGAGACGAGAGGGAGAACGGGCGGCGCGGCACGAAUUUUAAACACCGACAGACGUCCGACGGUAGACCGAAUACGGUGCCGCUACGGUCGACCAUUCGGGUACCAUACGGUCUCCGAUCGCGACGAAAUUUGACAGGCGGUCUAGCGAUAACUAAUUAAGACCGCAUCUCCGAUCGUGACGAAAUUCGACAGGCGGCCUAGCGAUAACUAAUUAAGACCGCACGUCAAGCUUCGACUCAAUCAGAGAAAGUUUUAAACGCACUUUAAAAACAGGGUUUCGACGGUGCCGCACGCGCGUGCGAGUGCGGUCGGGCUUAGAACGGACGACGACGCGAACCGGCAACUAACAAUGGAUGCAAGUUUUGAAAACGGGCGGCAACGGAGACGCCGAUGCAAUGCAGAUGAUGUGCAUGAUGCGAUGAUGAUGCGGCAACUGAAAAUACCCACACGACGAAAACGAAAAGAAAAGGGGAAGCUUCUGGAACGUCGGCAUCAGGCUGUCACAACUCUCCUAGAAAAAAAAGAGGAAGCUUCUGAAACGUCGGCAUCGGGCUGUCACAGUCCCAGAGUUAUUACCUUUGUAUUUCUUCGUUUUUCUCCGAGGACUCGCUAGCGCCAUUGCAUGAGUUAAAAAGACUAGGCCCUAAAAAGGAGUUAAAAGACCAGAUGGUGUGUGUUAAAAAUUGUAUCAGGUUUUGUAAAAAGUGCUCCUUCUGUAUUAAAAAUACAUGCAUCAAUUUGUUUUUAAAACACACAAUUUCAGGAAAAAAAUCACGACUUUUCCAGCAAAACAUUCACACAUGUAUAAAUUUUUUGAUGACAUUUAAGAGACGUUCAUACCAUUCAACCAAGAUGUUCACAAUAUGUAAAAAAAAAUCUGGCCAUUUAAAAAAUCAUAGUAUGUAAAAAUAUAUUUGUAUCAUUUAAAAAAAAUGUCACAUGUAUAAAACUGCUUAUGAUAACAGGACACACGCAUUGAAAAAAAAUCACGAAAUAUAAAAACUUGUUUCUACACUAAAACUAGAAGUGUAGCAACAAGCAUCAGCCCAUGUUUGUGCACUAAAACUACUAGUAAGUUACACGUACAACGCACAUUUCAACUAAUAUUACUGGUUGCUGUGAGAAUUAACAUGUUCAGAAAGAUACUUCAAUGAUACUAUUAUUUUAGAAAUAAACUGUAACUUAAAUGAGCUUUAAGAUAUGCUACAGUUUAACCCCCACACUAUUGUGAAGACACAACUAAUUAUCCUAGUAUUUCUUAUGUGUUUACGCAAUUCUUAACGUUGCAAAAGCUUACAAGGUGCAAUGCAUGUCUAGAAUGUUAUAAAUUAUAUUUGCAGGUGCAUGAAAAUUUUUAGAAACAUAACGAAAAUUUAGGAAACCUCAAGACACCAUAUAAAAACUACAAGAUAGAAAUCUUUCCAAUGCCGUAAUGGUUCAUUAAUUAGAUGUAGCUUUUCAUAGUUCAUGUAACACAUAUAAAUCACAAAUGUCGACAGGAAAAAAAAUCUCUAAGUCCACAUUUUUUCUCAGGUAGAGAAAACAUAGUUGUUAUGAGACAAUUGCUCUCCUAUUCUACACGAUGAGAAAACCAUGAGCUGAUGAGUAACCAAAAAUAAUAGUGGGAAAAUAUGUACUCACGCUACUUAAAUAUUUUUUAUCACGCGUACAAUUGAAUUAGUACUCAAGGUAAAUAUCACUCUGAGGUGCCAAAUUCGCUAUACAGAAAAAUGUUGCAAUGGCCAAUGGGAAGUAUUUGUUAAGUUCCUUCAAGACACGGCAAAAAAUAAAAGCUUAAUUCCAAGAGUGGUAGCAGGAUUAUCUAGGGCAGGUGAUGUAGGUUCAUUGCACAUUUGUUAUGAUAAUUUUCAAGUUCGCUGACCGAAUAUCUUUAUCCUGGAGUCUUUUGAAGACUGUACACUAUUGCACACUAUAGCAUGAUACUACUUCAGCCAUUUUUUGCUUUUGCUUAAAACCAAGCCCCUAACUUCUUCAUAUCUCUGUUCAAGGAUGUACCAGAGCACCCCAUUUUUAUAUUAGCUUUGGUAACAAUAUAAAUGAACUGAACAUACCAACAAUUAAACAAGAAUUUAGUAAUAUUACAUCAUUCAAAUAGUGUUUGCACCACUUUUAAUUAAUAAUUUUAUGAAAAGAAUAGUACAUGGCACAAGAAAAAAGAAUGAGAAUCAAUCAGCACUGGUAUGCAAAUGGAAUGAUCUCUCAUCAUUGGACUAUGCAACACAGGAACACUUGAACUGGGGCGGAGCAAGCGUGCGGGGCGAGGGGUGGUUAAUGCGCGGACGAGGUGUGGGGGCGAGACGAUGUGCGAGAUUAGCGAGCCUUUCGAUUAGCGCUAACAAAGAUUCGUUAGUUUCGUUAACAAAGAUUUUAGAGCAUUGAUUUAGAUAUUAGACGGCCUAGAUGUAGAGUUGGAUCUGCCCUCUCGUGCUUUUAAUAGUAGAGAUACGUGUAGCAGCAUCGGCCCAUGUUUGUGCACUCCUUCGAUCAUGUGUACGUAGGUGCAGCCAUGAGAGCUUUUCCCAACGCUCCCGCAUGCAUGAUACUAUAAGAUACUUCCUCUCUUUCUAAAUAUAAGUCUUUUAAGAGAUUUCACUAAAUGACUACAUACGAAGCAAAAUGAGUUAAUCUAUACUCUAAAGUAUGUCUAUAUACAUCCGUAUGUAGUUCCCUACUAAAAACUUUUAAAAGACUUAUAUUUACGAACGGAGGGAGUAUGUAUCAAUUAUUAUCACAGAAAUAAAACUCCGAACAAAUAAUUCUUGAUGUGAUUUUAUUUUUAAAGAGCGAGCCGUUAAUGACGAGACUUAUAGUUUAGCUAUAUAUAAGCACUCUCUCACUCUCUGUCCGGAAUGCCACGUUUGAUUGGUCAAUCCUCACGAUUAUGUCCCGCCUCAUGUGAACUAUCAUCAGCUUAGCUUUUUUCUAAAAAAAAAAGAAUAUUCCCCCGCGGAUUCUCAACAAAAAUCGUUCCCCCGCAGCUUCCGGCAUGGCCCUCGCCUCCUACCGACCAACCACGAGGCACCAGCGACCAGGCGAUGGUACGAAAUAAACAACCCCGUAAAAUAUCCCGUGGGCCCCCGUCUGGACCCACCGACCAGUCCCACGCCCGCCGGUGGAGGAGUAGGAUGGGGGGUAGGACGCGGCCUGGUCGUGUCGGGGCAGGACCGGUCUGGUCAGUCAUUCGGCCCCUUUUGCGGCCCACGCGGAAGAUUCGCCGGGCGCGGGCCCACCGGUCGAUUCGCCUCGCCCCGCGCCCUCGCUCCGGAUUGCUGAGCAGAGAGACCGCAGACCGGGGACGGCGGUCAUCACUCGCGUGAGUCGCUGUGGAUCGCCUCUCGCUGUUGGGUGGUCGCGGUCCAUUGGGCGGAGCGGACCUGCAGGUGGGGGCCGUUGCGGCACGGGCCGCUCGGGCUGUUUAAAAUUCCGGUUCGGGCCGGGGAAGGCGAAAAAGAAAGGGAAGAAACGCGCACGUGCUUUGCUUGCGGAACGGUGCUUGCUGCCGGAUGCGUGCGUGGCUGGUCAUUUUGUAAUUAUUGCGCAUGUUCCUUCUGAAAUACUCGUACGGAGUACUGCUCCCCCUGGACCGUGCUGGCUACGGCCGCGAUCCGCAGCACAGCUCACAUGAACUCAGACGGUUGCCUUGAUAUUUCAGAGCCACGAUCCACACGGCAUAGUGUGCAUGAUCACACACUGUUGCAAAUGAUUGAGAAUGUAUUUGGUCAUGGGAUAUCCGGCCCUGUCAGACCGACCUGACCCGACCCGGUCCGGUCUUGCCUGUGGGGCGGGUCUGGACCUAAAUUUUGAGCCCGAAGCACACGUCGGGCCGGGCCUAGGAUUGUCAUUUUUUUACUUUAGGAAAGGGGCCCAGCCCGAGGCCCGAUGGGAUUUCUUACUGCUGGGCUGGGCUUGGACCUAAAAACCUGGCCCAACAACCGGGCCGGGCCGUGCUCGGACCUAGGUUUUUUACAUUGGGCUUGGUUAGACCCGGCCCGACCCGGUCUUGCCUGCUGGUCGGGCUUGAGCCUGAAUUUUGAGCCCGAAGCACACGUCGGGCCGGGCCUAGGCUUGCCAUUUUUGUAAUUUAUGAAAGGGGCCCGGGCCAAGGCCCGAUGGGAUUUCUUAGUGCUGGGCCGGGCUUGGGCCUAGGUUUUUUACGUCGGGUUUGGUCAGGUCCGGCCCGAAACCCGACCCGGCCCGAUGGAUGGCGAGGUAUAAUUGAGAUUGACUCAACUCAUGGCUUAAGUUAAUUUCAAAAAAAAACUCACGGCUUAAUUUCAAAAAGUGGAUUUUGAUGAUUUUUUGGGAUAUCAAACCUGGGUGCUUAUCCUACUCCACCAUUAUUUUUCAUGAGGAAUGGAUGUUCGUGGUAUCUGUGGAGAAGAAAAUACGGUCUAACAUACGAAUUUUAGUUUUUUUCUACACAAACGAUUUUUUUUACUAAGAAUACGACAAGCAACCAUUCCUCAUGGAACUAAAGACAGGAGUAGAAUGGAUACCCAUGUUUGUUAUCCCAAAACUUGAGUCUUUUUUAGAAAAAAUAUUGGUAUUUUUAUUUAAUAUUUAUAUAAGGAUGUGUAGCACCCGAGAGCCACAAAUCCUCCAUUGUCAAACAAUAUGUUGUAUUAUACUCCCUCCAUCCGAGUUUAUUGGGCCUUUCAGCCAAAGCAGCGGAACCAAGACGAGUUUGAUUUAUUCUGCAGUAAGUGCAGUCGUUCCUCGAAACACAGUGAGCGGCUUCGCUUCUCAUGCCCGCACUUCCUCCCACACGUGCAUGCGCCAAGCAGUGCCCAAUCAGAGCCCAAACACGCAUGCAUGCAUGUCCAAUUCAAUUAGCGCAACAUUAAAGCUCUUGCAUUUUAGGUGUUAUUCAGCUAUUUUUUCAACAAGGGCCCUUAUAAAUCCACAUGCCUAAUAAACCCGGACGAAGGGAGUAGGAUACAAGGAGUAGUACUUUCCAAUGAAUGCUACGACCCUCACAUAUAUGUUUGUUUUUUCAUAAUUCUUGUUUUUUGUGAGUUUUAUUGCAUUGUCCAGCGACUGUUCGUCUACCUUGCUCACACAAUCCUCAUUGUCAUCCUCACAAUAUACGCGUUUAUAGAGGAAACGACUAUGUCACAUGACAAUGAUGAUCCGAGUUUUACCCUUGCACACCUUUCCUUCCAUUUUCUUCGCCCGCAUUUCAUUUAUACUCUAUCUAUUCUGGUUGAAAUCCACAUCAUGAGUGAGAGAUUGCCAGAGUACAUGUCCAUUACGGGUCCUAGAAUUGUCAGGGUCACUAAGUGGAGAUUGAUGCACACACUCUAAAUCUGUCUAAAUCCACACCAUUAUUGAUUCAUCCAUGUAUAUGAAUCAAGAUUUGUCUUAUCAGUUCAAUGAUUAGACCCUCUAUGUAUGUUAACUACUACUCCUAUAUCUAUACUUAAAUAAUUGUAGUUGAAGAGAACUGGAGUUUUGUUUUUCCAACCACAGUUAUUUAGGUAUAGCAGGAUUAACUUAAAGUUCAUGAGAAUUACUGUAACUAGGAAGUUUUUUAAUAAAAAAAGAGAGUUGGUGCAUGUUAAGAUAAAUUAUAAUCUGUCCAGAAACUAGUAAAAUAAGAAUGGAACUCAAAGCAGCUCACCAAGAAAGGAAAAGGAGCCCUCAAAAAAGAAAAGGAAAAGAAAAGAAGGAGCCCAUCAGAGUCGAAGCAGGUAGGGGAGGACGAUCUACUGGUCCACCAUAGACGCGGCGCACGACGAAAGCAGCAGUCUUCCUUCUCCACGACGACCCCUCCUCCAUCUCCGCUCCGCUCCCUCCCUCCCUCGCGCAUGCUCCAAAAAGCUACUCUCUCCUCUCCACCUUUCCCCUCUCCCCACGUCUAGGGUUCCCCACCUCCCCCCCCCCCCCUGCCGCCCCCCCCCCCACCCCAGCUCCGCGGGGGGUGGCGCCCAGGCGGUCGCCGACUCCCCGACCUCCGUCAUCGAGAACCACCACGCCGCCGCGCACCACUCCGCCGAGCUCCCCUCCUCCCCCUCUGACGCCGACGACGACGACAAGGAGGAGGAGGCGGGGAUGCCGUCGGUCCCCCACCAGCCCACCGUCUCCUUUGCCGAGACCAGCUGCUCCCUCCUCGAAUCGUCUGAGGAGGAGGAAGAGGACGAUGACGACGAGGACGAAGCCGCCGACGAGGCCAUGCCUGCCGCAGCUCGAUCCAGCGGCUCCCUCUCGCCGGCGCAUUUCGAGGCGGGGAACCACCCCACGGGAGCCAAGUCUCGGGGCUGCUACAGAUGCGGGAAGGGAGGCGGCUUCUGGGGCCGUGGGGACAUGGAGUCGUGCCUCGCCUGCGGCGCGCGGUACUGCUCGGCUUGCGUGCUCCGGGCGAUGGGGUCUAUGCCGGAGGGGCGCAAGUGCUUGUCCUGCAUCGGGCGUCCUGUGGCCGAGUCGAGGAGGAACGCGCUGGGCAGAGGCUCACGCGUGCUGCGGCGGCUGAUCAGUGCGGCGGAGGUGCAGCUCGUCAUGAGAAGCGAGCGUGAAUGCACAGCGAACCAGCUGCGACCGGAGGACAUUUACGUUAAUGGGGCUAAGUUGUCACCGGAGGAGCUAGCUUUGCUGCAGGGAUGCUCGUGCCCUCCUUCUAGGCUCCGCCCUGGCUUCUAUUGGUACGACAAGGUAUCCGGCUUCUGGGGCAAGGUACGUGGGUCAAGGUUUUGGCACAAGAAUUAAUCUGAUCGUUUGCUUUGUCUGUCAGUCUUCUUAGUGAGCCUAUUUUGGGUGGCCUCUUUAACCGUAUAGUAUGAUGUCACAAUUGUAUUUUAGCCAAUCAGUAGUGAUUUUUUCGUCUGCAUUUCCACACAUUUGUCGGACAUGGACAAAUGUUUUUCCAACAGCAUGGUAACUACCAGUGCCCGCCACUCUCACUCACAUCAUCCACGCGUCAUCCAAAAAUAGAAACAGCUUUCGACCAAAAAUAUAGGCGGUUUCUACCCAAACACAUUCACUUUCUAUUCGACAUCCAUCUAGAGUUCAGGCCCGAGGUUUUCCCUCUUUUUUGAAAGAAAUCCAUCUAGAAGUAUAUUUCAACCAUGAAUCUGUCCAACCUCCACUCCCCAACUUUCAACCCUUGCUUCCAACUAAUGAACAACGCCCUUCAACUAGAUGAACUAGAGUUUUCAAUCGAUCAACUAGAAAGGCCCCCUCAAAUCAGAUAACUUAAAUACUAUGAAAGACAGCAACUUCUAAAUUCAUAAUUAAUUUCCAUGAAAAUAAAUAAACCGAAUUGAAGGUAAAGUCAGCCUCAAAUCCCGAGAUCCGAGCUUUAAACCUCCCACAAACCAGCUUCCAAUCAUCUUGGAGAACUUCAAUCCAAUAUAAUCGAGAGAAAAAAAAUCAAGAACCCGUCCCCUAGGAGGGUCUUGCCUUUCUCCUCUUUCUUACCUCCUUGGUGACCUACUCAGCCAGUUGUGGUGGCGUUGCCUGUUGGCACAGGCAGUCGGCUCCCCUCUGCGCCCUUGCUGGCAGCACGUGGCGGUGCCCCUAGCCGGCUUCCUUACCAGAGAUCCAUGCUAGGGUAGAUUAUUGGAGGUGAGAAUGGAAGAAAGGAAGUGCAAGAGACACAAGAAACAAGUGUUGCCACUGAACUGGAAGAAAGGAACGGAUGAGAGAGACGAGAAUGGGAAGAGAGAUAGGGAGACAAUAAAGCCCUGAUUGUUAGUCAAGUGCCCCACCACGAACAUACAAGGGAUAUCUUGAGGUUUCUGUGUAUGGUUCUGAACUUCUCAUAGGAGAUGUGGAGUAAUUUGGAAUAUUCUGUUGAAUGCUUAGGUUUAACAUUUAUGGUUAUUAAAGGUGGAACAUAGGUUGUUGGCUUGUUGCCCGUUGUCUAUUCUGCAAACUGGCAGUGAAAGAUCACUCCUUUGGGGUCUUUGUGUGGGUUUUCAGCGGAUAGUUAUGAUAGAGCUGUGUAGGUUCUGUAUUGGAUGAAAAUCAUGAGACUCAGAGACUGUAUAUUUAAUUAUUCUUGGUGGGAAAUAUGUUGGAAGAUCUGGAGGGAUAGUGCUGUUGAGCUUUGAUAUUGUCAAAUACAGUAUCUACUGUAGUUGACUAUUUUGAAUAUUGAUGUUUUUUUAGUGAGUUGGUAGAACCAUGAUGUCUUAUGAUCUUAUCAUGGUUUGAACAAAUUAUCAAAAUCCUAGGUAUCAGGGUGGUUGGUAUUGUCCCUAAAUCAGGAGAAGUUGCUACAUUUUUUUUCUAGUUGAGAGUAGUACGCAGUUGCAUACCAAGGUUAGCACAUGUUAGCAGUAGUAUGUAUGUAAAAUAGUACUUCAUCCGUCCGGAAUUAGUUCAUCCAUUUGAGCGUCAACUAAUUCCGGAAGUAUCUAGCACUGAAAUACGUCUAGAUACAUCCAUUCCGUACGGAUGUAUCUAGCACUGAAAUACGUCUAGAUACAUCCAUUUGAGCGUCAACUAAUUCCAGACGGAGGGAGUACAUCAUGGUAUAUGGGAAUAUGGCAGUGUCUGGGUGUCAUAGCUUGUGCUGACUUGUUUUUUGGGGACAUGGAAUUUCAAGUUAUAAAAUGUCCCGCACAUGCCAUUUCAGAAUUUCGAUCAUUGCAUGAUUAUUUUUGCUUGCUUCUUUGCAUAAAUGUUGAUGAUGUAAACUUUUCUUCGAUAAUGUUACAGGAGGGACACAAACCCCAUUGCAUAAUAAGCGCAAAUCUAAAUGUUGGAGGUGCUUUAGCUCAAAAGGCGAGCAAUGGGAGCACCGGAAUCUUGGUAAAUGGCCGUGAGAUUACAAAAUCUGAGCUGCAAAUACUUAAGGUUCGGAAUUUAUUUACUCCUAUUUCAUUUUUAGAUUCAUGAGUUGCAUAUUUUCUUACAUAUAUCUUUGGUUUCAGUUGGCAGGAGUUCAGUGUGCUGGGAAACCUCACUUUUGGUUGAAUGCUGACGGGACUUACCAAGAGGAAGGCCAAAAAACUGUUAAAGGGAAGAUUUGGGAUAAGGUAGUUCUAGAAUUCAUCUUUCUUAGGUGACCUAUAUUUGCACGCGAGGAAUCUGACCAAGGUUAAAUUUAUCUGCACUUUUCACCAGCCUAUAGUGAAGCUGCUUAGUCCUGUCCUGUCAUUGCCAACUCCUAACAAAAUGACUAAUCAAUGCGGUGAAGAGGCUAUUAAUGUGGUAAAUCGACCUGACUACUUGGAGCAAAGGAUGACCCAGAAGCUUCUGUUAGUUGGAUCAGGGACAAGCACCAUACUCAAACAGGUACAUAUGGCUAUUGAUGUCUAUUAUGUUCAUGUUCACGAACUGAUAAGUUGACUAGCUGCAUUGAGGCCACCGUCCAAUUACAACCAUUAUUCACACUGUUACAUUAGUAUUAAGAUUUAUGUUCCACAUGUGCAUUGACUAAAUCUUCUGCAGUGCCAAAUGUCAUUUGCAAUACUGUUGUAGACUAGCAAUUAAUUCUGAAUCUCUUGAAUUUCAGGCUAAACUCUCAUACAAGAGUAAACCAUUUUCGAUGGAAGAGUGUGAAGAUCUCAAACUAAUCAUACAAAGUAACAUAUAUCGCUACAUUGGUAUACUUCUUGAAGGCCGUGAACGGUUUGAAGAGGAAGUUUUAGCUGAUAGAAGUAAACUCUGCCAACAUGAUCAUUCUAGCUCUGGUAUGAUCAUGUCUAUCCACCAUUUGUUGUGCUUUAUAAUAAAUACUUAGUCUUGGAUUCAUGGUACCUCUCAUUAUUUACCUUGGUAAAGCAACUGAAACCAAGGGGAAGACUCCUAUGCUAACUGUUUGGCUAGAACUGAUCCUAACAGCCACAUGUUUUUUGCAGGGCGUUCUGAGUCGGGGUUCUGUGAUGAAGAAGUUACUGAGUACUCCAUUGUCCCACGCUUGAAAGCAUUCUCGGAUUGGAUUCUAAAGGCCAUGGCUUUGGGUAAUCUUGAAGACAUUUUCCCUGCAGCUAGUCGUGAAUAUGCACCACUGGUUGAGGAACUAUGGAAAGAUCCUGCUAUUCAAGCUACAUAUAGACGAAGAAAUGAACUGCCGUUCCUUCCAUCUGCUGCCAGUUACUUCCUUGACAGGGUACUAUUGCUGUUCUAUUGAAAAUUUUGCUCGUUUACCUGGUUUGAUGUUUUCGUAUCCAUUCCUAUCAUUGACUUCCUUAGUAGUGAUCUGGUUAUCAAAUUGUGAUCAUUCAUUCUUUGGCCUUUGUGCAUUUGAAAUGAUCAGGUGGUUGAUAUUUCUCGAACGGAAUAUGAGCUCUGUGAUAUUGAUAUCCUCUAUGCUGAUGGAAUAACAUCCUCGGAUGGAUUAGCAUCUACAGAUAUCUCUUUCCCGCAGCUGGCUUUGGAUGUGCGGAUUGCUGAUGAGCUUGAUCCACAAGACACGUUGCUAAGGUAGGUCUUUUGUCACAAAAGGAAGGGAUGGUCUGGUAUUUGUGUUACAUGUAUUUUUCCCAUAAAUUACAAUAUUUCAGCACCAUUAGCUAAUUAUGUAACAAAAAAUGCAUAUAUGCGUGGGUUCCUGUUAGUCUUUUCCUUAUGUUGUCAUGAAGCCACUUUCUAUGGUAUUUUGUCAAGUGUCUGUCGCGAUGGAAAGCACACAUUCUAUGUUGGAUUCCUAUAUUACUAUUAAGAACUGUGAUAGUAAUACUGGCAAUGAAAAUUUCUGUUUUGUUAUCAGGUACCAGCUGAUCAGAAUAAGCAAUAAAGGAUUGCGGGAGAACAGCAAAUGGCUGCAGAUGUUUGAUGAUGUCAGCCUUGUCAUCUUCUGUGUUGCCGUUAGCGAUUACGACGAGCAUUACGAGGAUGCAAAUGGCACAGUUGUCAACAAGAUGAUAGAGAGCAGGCAGCUAUUUGAGAGCUUCGCCCUUCAUCCAACAUUCGAACAGAUGAAUUUUCUCCUACUCCUGACCAAGUUUGAUCUUCUAGAGCAGAAGAUUGGUAAAUCCCCGCUAACCGCAUGCGACUGGUUUGCCGAAUUCACCCCGUUGGUAAGCCGCAACCUGAUUGAUGGAACCAGCAGAAGCAAGCGCGGCAGCCACAACGGUGCGUCGCUGGCGCAGAUGGCGGCGCACUACAUCGGCAUGAAAUUCAAGCGGCUGUUCCACUCGCUCACAGAGCGGAAGCUCUAUGUGUCCUACGUGAACGCCCUGGACCAGCAGUCUGUCUGCUCGGCGAUCCGCUACGGCCGGGAGAUCGUCAAGUGGGAGGAGGAGAAGCCCGUUUUUGGCUCCAGCGAGACGGUAUACAGCGGCGACGAGCCGAGCUCCUACUCCCACUGACGGCGACCAAACAUUUGCUCGCGUGACAGAAGACGAAGAAGAGGUGUAAAUAGUUGUGCAUUUCCCUCUCCGGCGACGACCUUUUUUUUUUAGAGCUUUGCCCAUUUUGGUUCUUCUUUCCCAGCUCAUCUUCUGUUUGUAAUUUAUUGUAUGGUUUGUUUGUUUAUUAGUUGUUCACACGUAGAAUGAGAGGCAAGAGGCCUGCCUGAUUCCGAUUAAUUCUUGCAUCUGUAUGUAUCAUUAUCGGUCUCCUUCACAUGGUGGCACGUCCGAUUUCUUGUACAAUUGUUGUGUGGCGCAUCUCAACAGGUCGAAAAUAAUGAAUGUAGCUGCUUCGUCAUGUACUACUCGGAAUGAAGCGGCCGAGCAGGAGGGCCGUCCGCACCUGUUAGAAAAGCGUGACCCGGCCGACCUCCCCAAAUCAGUCCUAUGUGCGGACUGGUCAAUACUCCUUAAAUCUAGCUCAAAUCUCAGAUGAGUAUAGGAAGGUACGGAUACGUCUCCUGGUCGAACGAACCUUAGACCACUGUCAAAACACACUCUUCCCUCCUCAUCUCUUUCUCCCCUUACCCCUCGUUCUUGCUGAAUUUGUCUUUUUCAUAGCUCACAUUUUGUAAUGCGUUUUAAUUUAAAAUAAUACUUCAUUCGUUUUUAAAUAUAAUUUUUUAGAGGUUUCACUGGAAGAUUAGAUAUGGAUGUAUAUAUACAUUUUAAAGUGUAGUUUUACUUAUUUCAUUCCGUAUGUAGUCCCUUAGUGAAAACUCUAGAAUGACUUAUAUUUAGGAAUGAAGGGAGUAUGUUUUAACUUAAAUUUUUGCGUGACAAUAAAAUAUUAUCCUCUUAACAUCUUAUAGUUUUUUUAUAUUUUUUCAAAACUUUAAAAUAUGGUUUUCAUAAACACUUCCUUUUUGCUGUCCAAGUGUAAGGGCAACUCUAAUGCCAUGCAUCAAAACAUCUUUAAAUGUCCGAACAGUGUGGUUCGAACAUCUUUUGUCAUCCAACACUAUGUAUCAAAUGGCGGACGUGUGAAUCUAGGUGGUGUUUCUUUUCAAGGACUAGACUUUUUUUAGUUCCAGAAACUAAAGAAAAAAGUCCCUUCAAUAGAGUCUUUUUCUAGUCCCUUAGGCUGCUCAUAGUGAAGAGUAACAUAUAGUAGUAUCAUGCAUAUGUUACUAUUGUAUGAUACUACCUUCAUAGUGUAUAGUAACAUAAACUAGUACUCCCUCCAUCAUGGUUUAGAAGGUGUGCAUGCAAAUUCUCUAGGACCUAGGUGGUUAUUGAUUGGCUGUGAAAUGAGUUAAAAAAUAACAUUCACACUACGCAUGCAUAUAGAAAUAGUACAACGGAGUACUAAUUAGCUGUUAGGAGUAAAUGCAAUGCGCCUUAAUCUUUGUCUAUUUUGAAAACGCACGCAAGUCUAACUGUGCCUUCUAAACCGUGACGGAGGGAGUAUCAUAGGUGAUCUCAUUUAUUGACAUGCAUGACACAUAGUAGCAUAGCAUUUAACAUGUUACAGUAUCUACCUACUCCCUCCUUUUUGGUUUAUAGGGCUCAAAUCUGAAAUCUCAUCAACCAAGGUGAAUUGUGAGUGGAUGACACUAGUUUAAACUAGCCAAUGAAAUAUUUCUCACAUAUUCAAUUUCCAAGGCAAUAAAUGUAGCAUCUUUCUUUUCAUUGGACUUGCAUGGUGGAUGUAGAAAACGAUGCAUGCAUAGCCAUUCAUCUCCUUUCUUUAAACUCUAUGAAUUAAAUAUGGCAUGAGACUCAAAGCACUUUAACUCACUUAGACUUAAAAUGAGCCUAAUAUAAACCGGAAAUUUUUGAGAUGAACCCUAUAAACCGGAAAGGAGGGAGUAUGUUACUCUAAUCCUCUCUCUCUUCUUUAAUUACUUGCCACAUCACCAUGUUUGCUAGUCCCAAGACUAUGUUACUAGCUAUGAUACUCCCACUAUGGCCAGCCUAAAGAAAAAGUCCCUCAUGUUUCUUUACCUAGGGACUAAAAUGGACUUUUUAGUCUAGUCCCAAGGUAAAGAAACACCACCCUAACAAGCCAAAAACAAAUCAUGAAAUCUGGGUAGGUUUAUAGGCAUCUGGAUGUGUGCCACAUUUGUGUCAUGCAACAUGGUCUCAACCUAAGCACUCGCUGCGUGUUCCGCUUCAGGAUAUUCGCCGCACAUUCAUGUCGCUCAAAAGCCGACAUGACGUGGCUGUGGUCUACCACAUUUACGUCUAUCAGGCGGGCGUGACCGGACGGCUGAUCGACGCUGUUUAAAAGCAGACACGGUGAUCGAGAAGCCUACUUCGAUCGCUACAUCCACACUGAAGCGGCGCUGGACCGCCUGCCCAGGUUAUUUAAGAAUUUCCGUCUGUGACUACAAACCCUACCUCCUCUCCUGUGCACACUGCUGCUGCCUCACUUCUCCUUCCUCCGAGUUAAUUGCAAGAGAGUGCCAUAAUUCGGGCCGUAUUCACAAGUUGGUGCCAUCUUUCAAUUUUUUUGCAAAUACGUACCAAGAUACAAGCCGUAUUUUGCAGAUCGCGUAUUUAUACGUAUAGAUGCUCUUUCUGACAUACAUGGCCCACCUGUCAGCCUCUUAAAGAAAAAACCGCCCGGACCGCUGCGGCUGGGGGGAAAACCGGCUGGCUGCGGGGAAAACCGGCUCUCUGCCGGUCGAGUAUUCCUGCCGGUCGCACUUCUUCUUCGGCUGGGGACUGCUGCGGCUGGCUCUCUUCUUCUUCGCUACUCCCGCUGCUCCUCUCCUGCUCUUCUUCGCCGCCGGCAGCCGAGCUCCGCCGUGCCAUGGAGUUUGAGGAGGAAAGCAGCGAUGACAACAACCAGGAUUACUCUCAGAUGCUCUACGGAAACAGUGAGGACGACGAAAAGUACGAGGUUAGUGCUCACAGCUAGGGUUAGGGUUCUAUCCGGGUGCAUUUGGGGAUUUUAGUGUCUGUUUUAGGGUAUAGUGCAGCUGCAUUUGGGGAUUUAGGUUAGGUUGGGAUUUAGUGGUGCUUAGGAUUUGAGUGCAGGUGCAUUUGGGGAUUUAGUGCUGCUGCAUUUGGGGAAUUAGUGCUGCUUAGUUAGGUUUUAGUAGGUUUGUUAGGAUUUUAGUUAGGUUUGGUGAUUUGGUGAAUUAUGUUGUAGUUUGGUAGCCUGAUUAGGAUUUGGUGAUUUGAUUAUUGUUGUAAUUUGGUAGGGGUUAGGGUUUUAGUAUGGUUUCUUAGUAAUGAUUUUUUUUCUUGCUUUAGAUUCAUGAUAGUAUUGAAGAUGAGGAUUACAGAGGGCUUGAGUUGGAUCUUAUGGUUUUCUGCCGGAAGCAUGGCAAAGCAACAGAAAGAUUUGUAGCUUUUGAAGGAACCAGCAGUGGCAGGAGGUUCUUGGCAUGUGCUGAGCAGGUAACUAUUGCACAGUUCUAUUUAUCAGUUUGAUGAAAGUAAAAUAUGCUAUGCUUACUAUGCUUUUUGUAUUGUUUAAUUUACAGGGAGCUGAUAACUGUGGAUUUGUUGAAUGGGUUGAUCCAUAUUGGCCUACACCAAUGCAGAAUGCCUUGUUGAAGCUUUGGCAAAUGUAUGAAGAUGCCAAAGCUUACCGGAGGAGUGACAAUCUGAAUAGUGCACUAACAAUUCAGACUUUGACAUGUGAGAAGAAGAGUCUUGAAGAUAAAUUUCAGGAACUAGCUAAACAUGUGGACACCCUUUUUCAGGCCCAAGAAACUAGGACAAAAGAGCAUUUGUAUGUGGUCAGUGAGUACAAAAAAGAAUUUGAAGAGCAGAAGGCAGAGAUAGCAAGGAAAGAGGGAGAGAACCAGAAGUUGAAUGAGAAGUAUGUCAUUCUUGAAAACCUUUCAAGAGCUCAAGGGAAAAUGAUCAAAAAUGUGAAGUGCAACCAUUUGAAAGAAAAGGAGAGGCUUAUUGAAGAGAGGAGGAAAAUGAAGUUGCAGAUCAGUCAACUACAUGAGGUCCUAGCCAAUUCAGAAGCACAAAUCAUUGAUGAAGUGACCAAGUUGAAGAAUGAACUUGCUUGUAUGACACUUUCAAAUGAAAAGCUCACUGAAGAAGUUUCUACAAGUUCAAGUUGGAACCAGCUUCUCAAUGAAAAGAUGAAGUGACUUAUGUUUGAACCAGUUAUUUGUUAUGUUUGAGUCAUGUUGUUGUUUGAUUUUUGUUGUUCUUGCUUUAUGACUUAUGUUUGAACCAAUUAUUUGUUAUGUUUGAACCAGUUACUUGUUAUGUUGGAACCAGCUACUGAAUGAAUGGGUUAUGUUGUUGUUGCUUCUAAAAUUUGAGUUAAUUUUUAUCCAGUCACAUUUGAGUAAAUUUUCAGUAUGUAUACUGAAACAGUGCUUGCAUUUGGCCAUGUUGUUAUGUUGGAGUAUAAUUGAGUUAAUUUCAGUAUAUAUAUCCAAGCAAAAUUUCAGUAUAUAUAUCCAAGUAUAAUUGAGUGUAUAUAUAUCCAAGUAUAAUUGAGUAUAUAUAUCCAAGUAUAAUUGAGUGUAUAUAUAUCCAAGUAUAAUUGAGUGUUGGAGUAUAAUUGAGUUAAUUUCAGUAUAUAUAUCCAAGUAUAAUUGAGUAUAUAUAUCCAAGCAGUACACAAGCAAAAUUUCAGCAUAACUGUCACCUAGCUCAUAUAUUACCAAACACCACAAAAGUUCUCAAACACCACAAUAGUUCUAAAACACCACAAUAGUUCUCAAACAGACCACUAGCAUUACAAAACAUCCACUAGCAUUACUGUCACCCAGCCUUACUGUCACCUAGCUCAUCUAUUACCACUAGCAUUGAAGUAACUAGCCCAUCCAGUAUUGCCAGAAGUAGAAGCACUAGCAGCCCAUCUUGGGGCUGAGAAACCUCCUCUUCCAGCACCUAUACCAGCACCAGCACCUCUACCAGCACCAGCACCAGCACCUCUACCAGCAGUAGCACCAGCUCCUCUUCCAGCACCUCUACCAGCAGCAGCACCUCUUCCAGCAGUAGCACCAGUACCUCUUCCAGCAGGAGCAGGAGCAGUUGUUGNNNNNNNNNNNNNNNNNNNNNNNNNNNNNNNNNNNNGAGCAGUUGUUGCAGGUGCAUGUGCAUUUCUUGCAGGUGCCUAUUAAAUAAAUAAAGAAAGAGGGAAACAAAUCAUUGAAUAUAUAUGUCAAGUGCAAAAUAUUAAAGAAAGAAAGAAAGAAAGAAAGAGGGAAACAAAGUAAAAAAAGUGUUACCACAUGUUUGUUUUUCCUCAAAAGCAAUUCUGGUUUCAAGUUUUUGUUGCAGCUUGUGUAUCUGUGACCUUGGAGUCCACAAUUGCUACAUGUUAUUGUACCCAAUCUUGAUGUAUCCUUAGGCUUGGGCACUUCAAAUCUUCCCUUUGCCCUCUUCUCUUUCUUUCUGCCUUUCUUAAUUUUAAAUUCAGGGGGGUCUAUGUCUGGCCCUGUACUUUUUGUCCAGUUAUGUUCACCAGGAACAGGGUUGACACUUCCAAGCCUUUUCACUCUCUUUUUUCAUAUGAUCCAUUGCAAGUUCAAACUUGUGGUCAUUAUAAGCAUAACUGACAUUAUCCAUGUACUUCUUAAGAUCUUCCCCCCUAAACCCAACAUUAUGGAAAUUUGCAUACAAGUGUCUAAGGCAAAAUCUUUGGUGGGAGUUAGGAAAAACUUGAUUCACUGCAUUCAGUAGCCCCUGUUCACACAUGACACGACUAUAAGAUACAAUUCUAAGAUACAAUUCUAAGAUACAAUUCAUAACUACAGUUGUAAGCUAGAAUUCAGUAUUACCUUCUGUCUAUCUGACAUGAUUGUGUAUGGACCAAACUGUCCAGUUUCUCCUCCUAGGCAGAUCUUCAGUUGGUGGAGAAACCAACACCAACUUUGUGUAUCCUCUUGUCCAACAAUAGCAAAUGCCAGGGGAUAUAUAUUAUUAUUCCCAUCUCUACGAGUGGCAGCAAGGAUUUGGGCACCAGUGCAUAGCUUUACAAAACAUCCAUCAACACCUAAUAUAUUGCAACACAAAAUUUUCACUAUAAUAUCAAAUUCACAACUAAAAUAACAUAAUAAUUAUAUAAAUUUGAACUAACCAAUGAAGGGUCUGCAUCCCUGAAGAAAACCCUCCCUUGCUCCAUUGAGGCAGAAGAACAUUGCAUGAAACCUUGGCCCAGGAUGUGGAAUUUUUGCAGUAGGUGUUGGAGUUACUGUUGUAACUAUAACCCUACUACCAGGGUUUGUAUCCAUCACAAUCCGAGCAUAGUCUCUAAUCCUGGUAUAUUGCUUCUUGUGCUCUCCUAGAAUAUUCUCAAUAACUUGAUUUUUUGCCCUAUAUGCCAUUGCCUUUGGAACUUCUACACCAUACUUCUCUUGGCAGUUGUCAAUCAUUGUCUGAAUGCUAGUAUUGAGAUCAGAUCUAAACAAUGGCUCAUAUGUCUUUGCAAGCCACUUUGCAGUGACCCUACUCUUAUAUGUAGUAGUAGGGCAAGUGUGUUGCAAUCUCAUUUUCUUUAUUGCAAAUGUUUUCUCUCCUUUUAUAACUGCUGCCACCAUAAAGAAUUUGCAUAUAUUCUUUGUUAUGCAUUCCACAAUUAUUCUUUUAUCUGAAUUCCUGUGAUACUGAAAAGACCUACUCUGACUGAUGUGCAAGCUCAACAAAGCAUCCCUAACUUGGUGUUGAUCUCUGAAACACAUUUUCAGACAUAGUUGAUUAUGUGGCUCUUCCCUAUUUUCAUCAUACCAUUUCCUAGGUGGCAGUUUCUUUGCCCUGCUCUUUCUUCCUUUAGGUGGUACAAAACUAGCUGGCUCAAACCCAUCAUCAUCACUUUCCUUAAGGAAACCUUUCUCCUCUUCAUCUGAUGAGGGUUUAAAAUUUGGUUCAUAUAUUUGUAUGGCACUGGAAUGUGACCUGCUUGUGGGUCCUCUACCCAAUGGCAGUUUCCUUCUCUUCACUACAGGUUCAGUAAUGUGUUCUCCUUCUUGAACAACUUGAUCCUCCUCAUCCAGCUCAAAUAAAUCUUCCACAUUUGUUUCACCAUCAUAAUGAUGUAAGACCUCUGGUAGCACUUCAUCAUCAAGUCCACUGCUGUCUGUUUCAUCAUCAUUUGUUUCUUCCUGUUCAAAUUCUUCUAAUGUAAGCCCUCUUCCCUCAUUUGCGUUUGGCCUAUACCCCCCCAUGAAGUAAGGAUCAUGUUCAAUAUCUAUUGGACCCUCUGAAUCAAAUGAAGAUGCAUCAGUACUAUCUUCUUCCACUACUUGUUUAAGCUUCAGCUUGCCCUUCUGCUCUCUCUCCUCAUUUCUGAUCUCUUGUCUUCCAACCAAAAUUUGGCUCUCUUGUGUCACAAGCACAUCUUCAAAGACAGGUGCACUCCCCCUAUACACAGACAAAUUCAGCAACUUGGCAUUCUUGUGCUGCCUCUUUAGUUGUUGCAACUUAGCAUUGCUAUCUAUUUUCUCCAAACCAUCAACUCAUAUGCCUUUAUCAAAAUACACUGAGUCAGUGCUUCCAUAGCCUUGUGUCUCCAUCAGUGCUACCACACUAGGAAGGACAACAUCAUCACUGCACAGUUUCAACUCUAAACUAUCCAGAUCUUGAAAAUGAAUGGCAACAUCCCAAAUUUCUGGAUAUAAACUGCAAUUUCAGAAAAAAUGUCAAUUGUCAGUGAUAAAUUCACAUCACAUGACAAUGCAACACUAAAUUUCACAAACUAGAGAACUGUAACUAAUUAAAUCUAAUAGCAGGACAUAAUUUUAACUGAGCAGCAGGAGACAGUAGCAGGACACAGCAGCAGGAGAUUUUGGGCAUAUUCAAAAACUGGACUGGGAACCUAAUCCUAAAUCUCCAUUUCAUUCAAUCCUCAAUACUAUAAAUUGAUGAAGAAAACUUACUCAACGCCGCCGAUCCCAGACGUCCAAUGAUGGCUUGUGCUUGGAUUCGCCACCCAAAUCUGUGCUAGCCUCAACAUCCCCGCCUUGGACACAGCAGGCUCGGAGAAAUCGCAGGAGCUCUCGUCAUCGGACGAAUAAGAGUCGCCGUCGUCGUCGCCAUCAACGUAGCCGUUGCCGCCAGCACGAACUAUGCUUCCAGGGGCCGCCGCCGCCAUGGCUGGGAUAGAGGAGAGGGAGUAGGGUUGGGAACAGAUGCGAGAGGAAGGAGAGAUGGAUAGAGCCGGUUUUCCCCGCAGCCGAUCCGAUACGAGAGGAAGCAGAGAGCCGGUUUUCCUCCCAGCCGCAGCGGUCCGGGCGGUUUUUUCUUUAAGAGGCUGACAGGUGGGCCUUGUAUGUCAGAAAGAGCAUCUAUACGUAUAAAUACGCGAUCUGCAAAAUACGGCAUGUAUCUUGGUACGUAUUUGCAAAAAAUUUAAAAGAUGACACCAACUUGUGAAUACGGCCUGAAUUGUGGCACUCUUUUGCAAUUAACUCCCUUCCUCCACACACACCGUCAUUGUGGGCAAGUUUGAUAGCGACGAUUCUCCGGUUGCGUGGGCAAUGGUCAUAACAGGGGGCGUGUUGUAACGGGAGAACUCUCUUGAUCCCUUCUAUGUUAAUUAAUGAAUCGGAUCCUAAAGACCUGUUCGGUAACCCUCUACGGAGCGGAGCAGGCGGAGCGCCCUUUCAGCCACUCUCCAAAUUUGAACUGAAUGCUGCUCUGCUCCGGAGCGGAGUUAGAGAGCGGAGACAGUCCGAACAGGUGCUAAGAAACCGUCUUUUCAGAAAAGAAGAAGGGGGAAAUCACAUGUCCAACCAGAGUUUCUGCAUAAUGUCUCUGAACAGUAAGGGGAUAAAGAAACAGAAACGUAGUUACAUAUACAGUGGAGGUACACGAGCAUGCACCGGCUAGCUGGGUGCGAAGCGGUCGAGCAGCAGGUACACCGUCGCGUCCGACAUCCCGCCGCCGCCGGCCCCCUCCAGGUCGGCGACGGACGGCUUCGUCGCCGCGGCUGCCGCCUUGUUGCCAUGAGCGGCCCCUCCCAUCUGGUGUUGGUGCUCGGCGUGGCUCAUCGCCGGCACGGCCUGCCGCUUCUUCCCACGCAGGGCGGCGGAGAGCUCGCCGAAGAACCAGGCGCCGGCGACGUCGGAUGCCGCCGCCACCGUCGUCGUUGAAGACAUGUCCAUGGGUUGAUCUCAACUAACUUGUUGGCCGGACGAACCAACUUUUUAUGAUUGCAGGAACGAAAUGGAUGAUCUGGAUGCCAGCGAACGAGGCUUUGCGAAUGUGAUGGAGCACCAUGGGUGCUGGCUGCCGCUUAUAUAGGGCGCCGUGCAUCGCUGACGGGAAGGUGGCCAGGUAGGAAUAGGAUAGGCAUUGCAGCUGGGGGUGGCUCCACAGUCCACACGGUAACUAUACCGUGGGCGUGCCGUGGCAACGUUGGACUCGUUUGCGCUGCGGGUUCGGGUAGUUGUUGUUGGAUCGGAUCUGAGGUCUGAGCCGCGUUCAGGGUCGCACUCGGAGGCACACUGAUCCUGACCAAAACCGGCGGACCGGCCGGGUUUAUUUGUCUGGGCACGGAGACGAGAUAGAGGGAGCUGCGAUGGCACAUCGUCGAUGAGAUGAUUAUGUUUCAACCGUUGUCAUCUUUUCGUUCUAGUAGAAUUUUUUGACUUUUGGAAAACCAGCACGACCCUAGAACUAACCUAAGUUAAUUAACUUGGAAUUGGAAGAGGUUAUAUGAAAAAAAAAGUUCACUUGGAAGUUGGAAGAGUAGUUUUCAACCUUUUUUUGGUGUGAUUCAGGGAGCUUUAUUGAUUUUUAUUAAUAGAUAACCCUCGUUCAUGUCUCGAUCUGAAAGGAACAAGCUGUCGCGUUCAUUCGCAAGAGAGUGAAAUCGGCAAAGCAGGACCCGACCCGUUAAACCGCUAUAUCAGCACCAACCAGGGAGCAGGUCAAAUGAACGCAGAUGCUGUCGUCGUCUCUUCCUAUCGUUCGCGCGCGUGGCAGUGACGCGGACCGACGGCCACGUUGUCUCCACGAGUGAUCACGGUCGGUGCGAUAGAUGAUGUUCCACGUUCGCACCACGCGGUAAAGAAAGCACGCAACGCCCAGAUAACGUGAUAGAUUUUAUUUUUUGAGAACGGACAACGUGAUAGAUGAUCACCCUUAUGUACCGCGUUGAUAGACGAUCACGAUCUGGUUUGCUUCAACUGUGCCUCUCAUUCUCAAAAACAUAAAAAUAAUAGAACUAUGACGACCGACGAAUCCUAGGAGGGAGAUCGGCGUAAGGUAGGGGAAUUGGAGUAGGUGAGGAGAGCAGGGGAAAGACACACGAAGAGGGAUGAGAUCGGUUGAAUAAAUUCGCUUUGUCGAAAUCCCUAUAAUGAGUUGCAUUUGCGGCUGCCGAAUAAACCAUUCUUAAUUGGUAUAAUGGCCCUUUCUUACAAUACAAGAGUUUCUUACAGGAGUGAAACCAAACUAAAGAAAAAGAUUAAAGAAUAACGUUUGACAAAAUAAUUAAUGCAAAACGAUAUUCUCUCUGUUCAUGCCCAACUCAAUGAUACACAAAGAAAGUUAAGUAUUCACGCACACAGGCCACAUGCGGCCCAAAGACCCACGGGCUCCAGCCCACUUAACAUACGAUACGCUUGUAUAAUGUGUGACAGCCCCCUUCCCUUGAGAUUCCAAUUUAUUUGUUCAGUAUAGUGUCUUCGGAUAACGAUGUCGCAUCACAUUGUAGUCUUCCCCAGGUUGCCGAUUCCGAUGAAAGUGUAGACUACUAGACACGCACCUGGACAACCGAGAUGUUGCCCUUAUUGACCAUCCUUCGAUCCAGAAUGGCGAUUGGUUGAAGUGACCUGGACGACCGAGCUGUUGCCCUUAUUGACCAUUCUUUGAUCCAGAAUGGCGAUUGGUUGGAGUGACCUGGACGACCGAGCUGUUGCCCUUAUUGACCAUCCUUCGAUCCAGAAUGACGAUUGGUUGGAGUGACCUGGACGACCGAGCUGUUGCCCUUAUUGGCCAUCCUUCGAUCCAGAAUGGCGAUUGGUUGGAGUGACCUGGACGACCGAGCUGUUGCCCUUAUUGACCAUUCUUUGAUCCAGAAUGGCGAUUGGUUGGAGUGACCUGGACGACCGAGCUGUUGCCCUUAUUGACCAUCCUUCGAUCCAGAAUGACGAUUGGUUGGAGUGACCUGGACGACCGAGCUGUUGCCCUUAUUGGCCAUCCUUCGAUCCAGAAUGGCGAUUGGUUGGAGUGACCUGGACGACCGAGAUGUUGCCCUUAUUGACCAUCCUUCGAUCCAGAAUGGCGAUUGGUUGGAGUGACCUGGACGACCGAGCUGUUGCCCUUAUUGACCAUCCUUCGAUCCAGAAUGGUGAUUGGUAUCCAGAAUGGCGAUUGGUUGGAGUGACCUGGACGACCGAGCUGUUGCCCUUAUUGACCAUCCUUCGAUCCAGAAUGGCGAUUGGUUGGAGUGACCUGGACGACCGAGCUGUUGCCCUUAUUGACCAUCCUUCGAUCCAGAAUGGCGAUUGGUUGGAGUGACCUGGACGACCGAGCUGUUGCCCUUAUUGACCAUCCUUCGAUCCAGAAUGGCGAUUGGUUGAAGUGACCUGGACGACCGAGCUGUUGCCCUUAUUGACCAUCCUUCGAUCCAGAAUGGCGAUUGGUUGGAGUGACCUGGACGACCGAGUUGUUGCCCUUAUUGGCCAUCCUUCGAUCCAGAAUGGCGAUUGGUUGGAGUGACCUGGACGACCGAGCUGUUGCCCUUAUUGACCAUGCCUCGAUCCAGAAUGGUGAUUGGUUGGAGUGGUGCUAGUGAAGAUGUUGAUGAAGAUUGAUCCUCCCAUGAAGGAGGAAGCGUUGGACGAUGGCUUCGAUCUCCCCCUUCCGGAGAGAAAUUCCCGAGCAGAAUCUCUCCACCGGAGAGAAAAAGGGACUCUGCCCAUGUUUCUGCCUCGAGACAGCGACUCUUCGUCCUGAAUGAAUGCUUAUUAUUUUUUCUAGGUCAAAACAUACCAUAUAGGAGAAGAGGGGGGGGGGGGGCGGAAGACCUGAUGGGCCCCCAUGAGGCAAGAGGGCGCUGCUAGGGGGGUGGCCACGCCCUAUUGGCUUGUGGCCAGCGGGUGCCCCCCUCUUGUAUAUUUGGCCUAAUUAUUCUUAUAUAUUCCAUAAAAAUCUCCCUGAAAUUUUAGGUCAUUUGGAUUCCAAUGAUUUUGCACCCUUUCUCUUGGUUUUUCAGGUCGAGAGUUCCAGUUUCCGACAGUUUCCCUCUUCAUGGUGUACCUUGCACAUUCAGAGAGAAAAAACAUAAGAAUUGCAUCAUAAUGAGGAAUUAUGGAGAAGAGUAACAUAAAUAGCAAUAAGAAUUCAUGAUGCAUAAUGGACGUAUCACAUAUAUACACAUAAUCACUCACGUGAAUAAAUAUUGCAUAACUAUGCACUUUCCUAUCAAUUGCCCAAUAGUAAUUUGGUUACCUACCAUGUGCCUUUUUCGAGAGAGAUGCCACUAGAGAACGCUAUGCCCCCCGGUCUAUUCACUUAUAAAUUUAGAAAAAAUACCUUUCUGCCUUUUAUUAUUUGCAUUUAUUUUUUCUAUUUAAUAUAUUUCAACUAUCUAUCUACACUACUUAUCUUCUUGCAAGUAACGAGUUCAAGGGGAUUGACAACCAUCUUGCUCGUGUUGGGUGCAAGUAUUUGCUCUGUUGUGUGUAGGCGCUGAAGACGUGAGUUGUGUGGUCCUUCUAUUGGUUCGAUAAUCUUGGUUCUCACCGAGGGGAAUAUUUAUCUAUACUGUGUUGCAUCAUUCGGUCCUCUUUAGGGAAAAACCCAACGCAGAACAGAAGUAUCAGAAAUACUAAAGAGAAGAACCACCGAAGGGGGGCCACCUGCUAGCCACAAGCCAACAGGGAGCACCGAGAUAGCUUGUUGGCCCCUCGUGGCUGUAGUUAGCGUGAUUCCAAAGCCAAAAAAUCCUAUAUAUACAGAAACCCUCAGAAAUAAACCUAGAACUUCCACUCCGCUCCCGCAAGCCUCUAUACCGAAGAAAACUCAUCUGGAGCCCUGUUCCGGCACCCUACCGGAGGGGGCAAUCAUCAUCGGAGGCCAUAUUCAUCAUCCCGCGGUGACCAUGACAAGGAGGGAGUAGUUCACCCUCGGGGAUAAGGGUAUGUACUAGUAGCUCUCUCUCUCUCUCUCUCUCUCUCCCUCUCAGUCGUGUUCUUGAUAUGUCAUUAUCUUGAUGUAUCAUGAGCUUUGUUAAUAUAGUUUUAUCCUAUAGUGUUCAUCCCUUGCUAUGUUGAUGUGAUAAACUGAAUCUUUCCCAUUGAAUUUUUUAUUUCGCAUUGAAUAUUGGAUUUGAGAUCACUUGAUGUAUGUCUUGCAUGUAUAUACCCAUGGUGAAAAUGGGGUGUUCUGUUGAUUCACUUGAUAUAUGUUUUGGUACUCAACUCGCGGAUUCCCUAGGUGACAUUGGGGUAAUAUGUGCAUAGGGGUUGAUACACAUCCUUGUCCUACUUUCCUCGAUUGAAAUCUUGGGGUACUCUCUGAAGUUCUUUGUGUUGGAUUGAAUAUGGUGAAUAUGAAAUUGUUCGAUGCAUGUCGAAUAUUAACCCAUGGAUAAUUGAGGCGAUAUUGGAGUAUCUACGUGACAUUAGGGUUGAUUGAUGUGUAUCAUAUGUGUUAUUCUAGUACGAACUCUAGGGCUGUUUAUGACACUUUUAGGAAUAGCUCAAUUGAUUGAUCGGUGGUGCGUCCGGUUGGUGGUGGAUGGCGGCUCGGCUGCCGGCAUGCAGUAACGCGGUGGCGGGGCUUUACGGGCCCAAUCUUGUCCCGGUCGGGCCUGUUGGAAAUAUGCCCUAGAGGCAAUCAUAAAUUAGUUAUUAUUAUAUUUCUUUGUUCAUGAUAAUCUUUUAUUAUCCAUGCUAUAAUUGUAUUGAUUGGAAACACAAUACUUGUGUGGAUACAUAGACAAAACACUGUCCCUAGUAAGCCUCUAGUUGACUAGCUCGUUGAUCAAAGAUGGUCAAGGUUUCCUGACCAUAGGCAAGUGUUGUCACUUGAUAACGGGAUCACAUCAUUAGGAGAAUCGUGUGAUGGACUAGACCCAAACUAAUAGACGUAGCAUGUUGAUUGUUUCAUUUUGUUGCUACUGUUUUCUGCGUGUCAAGUAUUUGUUCCUAUGACCAUGAGAUCAUAUAACUCACUGACACCGGAGGAAUGCUUUGUGUGUAUCAAACGUCGCAACGUAACUGGGUGACUAUAAAGAUGCUCUACAGGUAUCUCCGAAGGUGUUCGUUGAGUUAGUAUGGAUCAAGACAGGGAUUUGUCACUCCGCAUGACGGAGAGAUAUCUCGGGGCCCACUCGGUAAUACAACAUCACACACAAGCCUUGCAAGCAAUGUGACUUAGUGUAAGUUACGGGAUCUUGUAUUACGGAAUGAGUAAAGAGACUUGCCGGUAAACGAGAUUGAAAUAGGUAUGCGGAUACUGACGAUCGAAUCUCGGGCAAGUAACAUACGAAGGACAAAGGGAAUGACAUACGGGAUUAUAUGAAUCCUUGGCACUAAGGUUCAAACGAUAAGAUCUUCGUAGAAUAUGUAGGAUCCAAUAUGGGCAUCGAGGUCCCGCCAUUGGAUAUUUACCGAGGAGUCCCUCGGGUCAUUUCUACAUAGUUCUCGAACCCGCAGGGUCUGCAAACUUAAGGCUCGACGUUGUUUUAUGCGUAUUUGAGUUACAUGGUUGGUUACCGAAUGUUGUUCGGAGUCCCGGAUGAGAUCAUGGACGUCAUGAGGGUUUCCGGAAUGGUGUGGAGAUGAAGAUUGAUAUAUAGGAUGACCUCAUUUGAUUACCGGAAGGUUUUCGGAAUUACCGGGAAUGUACCGGGAAUGACGAAUGGGUUCCGGAUGUUCACCGGGGAGGGGCAGCCCACCCCGGGGAAGCCCAUAGGCCUUAGGGGUGCCGCACCAGCCCUUAGUGGGCUGGUGGGCAAUCCCAAGAAGGCCCCUGCGCAGGAUAAGAAGAAAUCAAAGAGAAAAUAAAAAAGGGGAAGUGGGAAGGAAGGGAAGGACUCCACCUUCCAAUCCUAGUUGGACUAGGAUUGGAGGAGGAAUCCUCCUCCCCCCCCUUCGGCCGACCCCCUUGGGGCUCCUUGAGCCUCAAGGCAAGGCCCCUGCCCUCCCACCUAUAUAUACGGAGGUAUUAGGGCUGAUUUGAGACAACUUUUCCACGGCAGCCCGACCACAUACCUCCACGGUUUUUCCUCUAGAUCGCGUUUCUGCGGAGCUUGGGCGGAGCCCUGCUGAGAUUAGAUCACCACCAACCUCCGGAGCGGCGUCACGCUGCCGGAGAACUCAUCUACCUCUCCGUCUCUCUUGCUGGAUCAAGAAGGUUGAGAUCAUCGUCGAGCUGUACGUGUGCUGAACGCGGAGGUGCCGUCCCUUCGGCACUAGAUCGGAGCGGAUCGUGGGACGGAUCGCGGGACGGUUCGUGGGACGGUUUGCGGGGCGGAUCGAGGGAGGUGAGGGACGGAUCGCGGGACGGUUCGUGGGACGGUUUGCGGGGCGGAUCGAGGGACGUGAGGAUGUUCCACUGCAUCAACCACGUUUAUUAACGCUUCUGCUGUGCGAUCUACAAGGGUACGUAGAUCUGAAAUCCCCCUCGUAGAUGGACAUCACCAUGAUAGGUCUUCGUGUGCGUAGGAAAUUUUUUGGUUUCCCUUGCGACGUUCCCCAACAGUGGCAUCAUGAGCUAGGUUCAUGCGUAGAUGUCAUAUCGAGUAGAACAAAAAAGUUUUUGUGGGCGGUGAUGUGCGAUUUGCUGUACUCCUUAGUCUUUUCUUGAUUCCGCGGUAUUGUUGGAUCGAAGCGGCUCGGUCCGACAUUACUCGUACGCUUACAAGAGACUGGUUUCAUCGCUAUGAGCAACUCCGUUGCUCAAGGAUGACUAGCGAGUGUCGGUUUCUCUAACUUUAGUUGAAUCGGAUUUGACCGAGGAGGUCCUUGGAUGAGGUUAAAUAGCAAUUCAUAUAUCUCAGUUGUGGUGUUUGCGUAAGUAAGAUGCAAUCCUACUAGAUACCCAUGGUCACCACGUAAAACAUGCAACAACAAUUAGAGGAUGUCUAACUUCUUUUUGCAGGGUAUGCUUGUGAUGUGAUAUGGCCAACAACGUGAUGUGAUAUAUUGGAUGUAUGAGAUGAUCAUAUUGUAAUAGUUAAUGUCGACUUGCAUGUCGAUGGUACGGCAACCAGCAGGAGCCAUAGGAUUGUCUUUAAACUAACGUUUGUGUUUGCAGAUGCAUUUACUAUAUUGCUAGGACGUAGCUUUAGUAGUAAUAGCAUGAGUAGCAUGACAACCCCGAUGGCGACACGUUGAUGGAGAUCAUGGUGUGACGCCGGUGACAAGAAGAUCGUGCCGGUGCUUUGGUGAUGGAGAUCAAGAAGCACAUGUUGAUGGCCAUAUCAUGUCACUUAUGAAUUACAUGUGAUGUUAAUCCUUUAUGCACCUUAUCUUGCUUAGAACGACGGUAGCAUUAUGAGGUGAUCUCUCACUAAAAUUUCAAGCUCAAAUUGUGUUCUCCCCGACUGUGUGCCGUUGCGACAGUUUGUCGUUUCGAGACACCACGUGAUGAUCGGGUGUGAUAGACUCAACGUUCACAUACAAUGGGUGCAAAACAGUUGCACACGCGAAACACUCGGGUUAAACUUGACGAGCCUAACAUGUACAGACAUGGCCUUGGAACACGAACACUCGGGCUAAACUUGACGAGCCUAGCAUGUACAGACAUGGCCUCAGAACACAUGAGACCGAAAGGUCGAGCAUGAAUCAUAUAGUUGAUACUAUUAGCAUAGAGAUGCUUACCACUGAAACUAUUCUCGACUAACGUGAUGAUCGGACUUGAGAUAGUGGAUUUGGAUCAUGUACCACUCAAAUGACUAGAGAGAUGUACUUUUUGAGUGGGAGUUCUUAAGUAAUAUGAUUAAUUGAACUAAUUAUCAUGCACAUAGUCUAAUGGUCUUCGCGAAUUACGAUGUAGCUUGCGCUAUAGCUCUACUGUUUUUAUAUGUUCCUAGAGAAAAUUUAGUUGAAAGUUGGUAGUAGCAAACUUUGCGGACUGAGUCUGUAAAACUGAGGAUUGUCCUCGUUGCUGCGCAGAAGGCUUAUGUCCUUAAUGCACCACUCGGUGUGCUGCACCUCGAACGUCGUCUGUGGAUGUUGUGAACAUCCGACAUACACGUUUCUGAUGACUACGCGAUAGUUCAGUGCAAAAUACUUAAUGGCUUAGAAGCAAGACGUCGAAGACGUUUUGAAACGUCACAGAACAUAAGAGAUGUUCUAAAGAGAUGAAAUUGUGAUUUCAUGUUUGUGCCCUUGUUAAGAGGUAUGAGACCUCCAGCAAGAUUCUUUGUCCACGAAGUAAAGGAGAAAAGCUCAAUCGUUGAGCGUGUGCUCAGAUUGUCUAAGUACGACAAUCGCUUGAAUCAAGUGGGAGUUAAUCUUUCAGAUGAGAUAGUGAUGGUUCUCCAAAGUCACUGCCACCAAGCUGUGAGAGCUUCGUGAUGAACUAUAACAUAUCAAGGAUAGAUACAAUGAUCCUUGAGCGAUUCGCGAUGUUCGACAUUGCGAAAGUAGAAAUCAAGAAGGAGCAUCAAUGGUUGAUGGUUAGUAAAACCACUAAGUUUCAAGAAAGGCAAGGGCUAGAAGGGAUACUUCGUGAAACGGCAAAACAGUUGCUACACUAAUGAAGAGACCCAAUAUUAAACCCAAACCCGAGACUAAGUUCUUCUGUUAUGAGGAGAACGGUCACUGAGGCGGAGCUACCCUAGAUGCUUGGUAGAUAAGAAGGCUGGCUAAAAUCGACAGAAGUAUAUCUGAUAUACAUGAUAUUGAUGUGUACUUUACUAGUACUCCCAGUAGCACGAGGGUAUUGGAUACCCGUUCGGUUGCUAAGUGAUUAGUAACACGAAAUGAUAGCUACGGAAUAACAGGAGACUAGCUAAAGGCAAGGUGACGAUACGUGUUGGAAGUGUUUCCAAGGUUGAUAUGAUCAAAUGUCGCACGCUCCCUCUACCAUCGGGAUUGGUGUUAAACCUAAAUAAUUUUUAUUUGGUCCUUGCGUUAAGCAUGAACAUGAUUGGAUCGUGUUUAUUGCAACACGAUUAUUCCUUUAAAGAGAAUAAUGGUUACUCUAUUUGCUUGAAUAAUCACCUUCAAUGGUUUAUUGAAUGUCGAUCGUAGUGUUGCACAUGUUCAUGAUAUUGGUGACAAAAGAUACAAAGUAAUAAUGAUAGUACCACUUAGUUGUGGCACUGCCACUUGAGUCAUGUUGGUAUAAAAUGCAUGAAGAAGCUCCAUGUCGAUGGAUCUUUGUACUCACUCAUUUUUGAAAUGAUUGGGACAUGCAAACCAUACCUGUUGGUAUAAAAUGCAUGAAGAAACUCCAUAGAGAUGGAUCAUUUGGACUCACUUGAUUUUGAAUCACUUGAGACAUGCAAAACAUGCCACAUGAAACAAGGGAGUAACUUGUUGGGAAUAACGCAUUUUUGAUGUGUGCAGUCCAAUGAGUGCUAAGGCAUGCAGUGGAUAUCGUUAUGUUCUUACUUCACUGACGAUUUGAGUAGAUACAGGAGUAUUUACUUGAUGAAUCACAAGUCUGAAAUAUUGAAAAGUUCAAAGCUAUUUUAGAGUGAAGAUCGUCGUGACAAGAGGAUAAACAGUCUACGAUAUGAUCACAGAGAUGAAUAUCUGAGUUACAAGUUUUGGUACGCAGUUAAGACAAUGUGGAAAUUGUUUCGCACUUCAUGCCACCUGGAACACCAUAGUGUGAUGAUGUGUCCGAACGUCAUAGUCGCGCCCUAUUUGAUAUGGUGUAUACUAUGAUGUCUCUUAUCGAAUUACCGCUAUCGUUUAUGGGUUAUGCAUUAGAGACAACCGCAUUCACUUUAAAUAGGGCACCGCGUAAUUCCGUUGAGAUGACACAGUAUAGAAUGAGGUUUAGAGAAAUCUAAGCUGUCGUUUCUUGAAAGUUUGGGGCUGCGACACUUCUGUGAAAAAGUUUCAGUCUGAUAAGCUCGAACCUAAAGCGGAUAAAUGCAUCUUCAUAGGAUAUCCAAAACAGUUGGGUGCAUCUCCUAUCUCAGAUCCGGAAACAAAAUGUUUGUUUCUAGAAACGGGUCCUUUCUCGAGGAAAGGUUUCUCUCGAAAGAAUUGAGUGGGAGGGUGGUAGAACUUGAUGAGGUUAUUGAACCAUCACUUCAACCAGUGUGUAGCAGGGCGUAGGAAGUUGUUCCUGUGGCGCCUACACCAAUUGAAGUGGAAGCUGAUGAUGGUGAUCAUUGAGCUUCGGAUCAAGUUACUACAAACCUCGUAGGUCGACAAGGUCGCGUACUACUACAGAGUGGUACGGUAACCCUGUCUUGGAGGUCAUGUUGUUGAACAACAAUGAACCUGCGAGUUAUGAAGAAGCAAUGGUGGGCCCAGAUUCCAACAAAUGGCUGGAAGCCAUGAAAUCCGAGAGAGAAUACAUGUACGAAAGCAAAGUGUAGACUUUGGAAGAACUACUUGAUGGUCGUAGGACUAUUGAGUAAAGAUGGAUCUUUAAAAGGAAGACAAACGAUGAUGGUGAUACGUCACUAUUAAGAAAAGCUCGACUUGUCGCAAAGAUGUUUUCGACAAGAUCAAACAGUUGACUAUGAUGAGACUUUCUCACUCGCAGCGAUGCUAAAAGUCUGUUAAAAUUAUGUUAGUAGUUGUUGCAUUAUUUAUGAAAUAUUGCACAUACGAUGUCAAAACAUUGUUUCCUCGACGGUUUCCUUGAGCAAACAUUGUAUGUGAUACAACCAGGAGGUUUUGUCGAUCCUAAAGACACUAACAAAUAUACAAGCUCCAGCGAUCCUUCAAUGUACUGGUGCAAGCUUCUCGGAGUUGGAAUAUACACUUUGAUGAGAUGAUCAAAGAUUUUGGGUUUGUACAAGGUUUAUGAGAAACUUGUAUUUCCAAAGAAGUGAGUGGGAGCACUAUAGAGUUUCUGAUAAGUAUAUGUGGUUGACAUAUUGUUGAUCAGAAGUAAUGUAGAAUUUCUGUGAAGCAUAAAAGUUUGUUUGAAAGGAGUUUUUCAAAGGAAUACCUGGAUUGAGCUACUUGAACAUUGAGCAUCAAGAUCUAUGGAGAUAGAUCGAAAACGCUUAAUAGAAGUUUCAACAAGAUGCAUGCCUUGACAAGUUUUUGAAGGAGUUCAAAAUAGAUCAACAAAGAAGGAGUUCUUGGUUGCGUUGUAAGGUGUGAAUUUGAGUAAGACUCAAAACCCGACCCCGGAAGAAUAAAGAGAAUGGACGAAGGUCGUCUUCUAUGCCUUGGACGUAGAGUACCACACUUGAUGUGUGCCUUGCCUCAAAGUCUGUUGAGAGGUACAGAGAGUGAUCCAUGAUUGAAUCACUAGCAGUGGUCAAAAUUUAUCCUUAGUAACUGAUGGAAUAAGGAAUUUUUCUUGAUUAUGGAGGUGUUUAAAGAGUUUGUCGUAAAGGGUUACGUCGAUGCAAGCUUUGACACUAAUCUGAAUAACUAUGAGUAGUGAAACAGAUUCGUAUAGUAGAGUAGAUAUUUGGAGUAUUUCCGAAUAGCACAUAGUAGCAGCAUCUAUAAGAUGACAUAAAGAUUUUUAAAGAACACACGGAUCUGGAAGUUUCAGAACCGUUACUAAAACCUCUCUCACGAGCAAGACGUGAUCAGACCCCAGAACUAUAUGGGUGUUGGAUUCGUUGAAAUCACAUGGUGAUGUGAACUAGAUUAUUGACUCUAGUGCAAGUGGGAGACUGUUGGAAAUAUGCCCUAGAGGCAAUAAUAAAUUAGUUAUUAUUAUAUUUCUUUGUUCAUGAUAAUCGUUUAUUAUCCAUGCUAUAAUUGUAUUGAUUGGAAACACAAUACUUGUGUGGAUACAUAGACAAAACACUGUCCCUAGUAAGCCUCUAGUUGACUAGCUCGUUGAUCAAAGAUGGUCAAGGUUUCCUGACCAUAGGCAAGUGUUGUCACUUGAUAACGGGAUCACAUCAUUAGGAGAAUCGUGUGAUUGACUAGACCCAAACUAAUAGACGUAGCAUGUUGAUCGUUUCAUUUUGUUGCUACUGUUUUCUGCGUGUCAAGUAUUUGUUCCUACGACCAUGAGAUCAUAUAACUCACUGACACCGGAGGAAUGCUUUGUGUGUAUCAAACGUCGCAACGUAACUGGGUGACUAUAAAGAUGCUCUACAGGUAUCUCCGAAGGUGUUCGUUGAGUUAUUAUGGAUCGAGACUGGGAUUUGUCACUCCGUGUGACGGAGAGGUAUCUCGGGGCCCACUCGGUAAUAAAACAUCACACACAAGCCUUGCAAGCAAUGUGGCUUAGUGUAAGUCACGGGAUCUUGUAUUACGGAACGAGUAAAGAGACUUGCCGGUAAACGAGAUUGAAAUAGGUAUGCGGAUACUAACGAUCGAAUCUCGGGCAAGUAACAUACGAAGGACAAAGGGAAUGACAUACGGGAUUAUAUGAAUCCUUGGCACUGAGGUUCAAACGAUAAGAUCUUCGUAGAAUAUGUAGGAUCCAAUAUGGGCAUCGAGGUCCCGCUAUUGGAUAUUGACCGAGGAGUCUCUCGGGUCAUGUCUACAUAGUUCUCGAACCCGCAGGGUCUGCAUACUUAAGGUUCGACGUUGUUUUAUGCGUAUUUGAGUUAUAUGGUUGGUUACCGAAUGUUGUUCGGAGUCCCGGAUGAGAUCAUGGACGUCACGAGGGUUUCCGUAAUGGUCCGGAGACGAAGAUUGAUAUAUAGGAUGACCUCAUUUGAUUACCGGAAGGUUUUCGGAAUUACCGGGAAUGUACCGGGAAUGACGAAUGGGUUCCGGAUGUUCACCGGGGAGGGGCAGCCCACCCCGGGGAAGCCCAUAGGCCUUAGGGGUGCCGCACCAGCCCUUAGUGGGCUGGUGGGCAAUCCCAAGAAGGCCCCUGCGCAGGAUAAGAAGAAAUCAAAGAGAAAAUAAAAAAGGGGAAGUGGGAAGGAAGGGAAGGACUCCACCUUCCAAUCCUAGUUGGACUAGGAUUGGAGGAGGAAUCCUCCUCCCCCCCCUCGGCCGACCCCCUUGGGGCUCCUUGAGCCUCAAGGCAUGGCCCCUCCCCUCCCACCUAUAUAUACGGAGGUAUUAGGGCUGAUUUGAGACAACUUUUCUACGGCAGCCCGACCAUAUACCUCCACGGUUUUUCCUCUAGAUCGUGUUUCUGCAGAGCUCGGGCGGAGCCCUGCUGAUAUUAGAUCACCACCAACCUCCGGAGCGCCGUCACGCUGCCGGAGAACUCAUCUACCUCUCCGUCUCUCUUGCUGGAUCAAGAAGGUUGAGAUCAUCGUCGAGCUGUACGUGUGCUGAACGCGGAGGUGCGGUCCCUUCGGCACUCGAUCGGAUCGUCGAGCUGUACGUGUGCUGAACGCGGAGGUGCCGUCCCUUCGGCACUAGAUCGGAGCGGAUCGUGGGACGGAUCGUGGGACGGAUCACGGGACGGUUCGUGGGACGGCUCGCGGGGCGGAUCGAGGGACGUGAGGACGUUCCACUAUAUCAAUCGCGUUUAUUAACGCUUCUACUGUGCGAUCUACAAGGGUACGUAGAUCUGGAAUCCCCCUUGUAGAUGGACAUCACCAUGAUAGGUCUUCGUGCGCGUAGGAAAUUUUUUGUUUCCCUUGCGACGUUCCCCAAUAGGGCCCGGGUGGCCUGGUUUUCCUCGGCUGCCGACGUCCGGACGGCGACCCAUGUCAGUGCUGGAGGCAAGGGUCUCCGACGCGAUGAGGGUGGUGGUAGCUCCCUCCCGUGCGGCUCCCGUGCUCCCGUCCUCGCUGCUGGACGCUCCUCCGCUCUUAUCUCGUGACCUGGUGGCGGUGUUCGCAGCAAGGCGGCGUGGAUGGGUCCAAGACCAUGGUGGUGCGUGCUUGCGGGUGGUAAGAUGGCUGUAUGGCUCCGGUUCGGGUGGCGGUGCAUGGGGUGCGGGAGAAUUCCCAGCCGGUUCAUCCAGCUUCGACGCGGUGACACCUGAGGGUGAGGCCAUUCCUUCGUGAAGGGUAUCGAUGCUUCCCGUCCUCUGCUCCACGUCGCGUGUCGGGGGAAACCCUAGGUCAUGUCUGGGCAGCAGUGUCGUUGGCGUCGCAUUCCUUCUUGGAAGUGCUCUUUAGGUACAUGAUGGUCCUGAGCCAUGGCGCGUGGUGGGACAAACACGGAGGGCACAGUGGCGGUAGUUCAUCUGUGCUUGCCGAGCUGCCGUUGUUGGCAUUUACUUCUUUUUUUCAUUUGGGUUUGAUGUGCUGUUCGCCUGAGAAAUUACCAUGUGAUCGAUGGUCGGUGCUUUAUAAUAUAAAGCAGGGGAAACCCUAUUUCAUGAAAGGAUAACUUUGAGGUGGUUUGCUGCCUACAACAAUCUCAUCUUAUGUUCUUUGCUACUUACAAACUUUGGAUUGAUUAAUUGUUGCAUAUUGAGGGAUGAUCAUAUGAUUCUAUUUUAUUAGUAUUGUUGAGAGAUUGCACUAGUGAAAGUAUGAACCCUAGGCCUUAUUUCCAAGCAUUUAUACAACAUUUUUCUUGCUGUUUGCCACUUGAUACCUUGCUGUUUUUAUUUAUUCAGAUUAUAAAAAUCUAUUUCUACUAUCCAUAGUAGACUAGCUUGUAUCACCAUCUCUUCGCCGAACUAGUGCACCUAUACAAUUUACCAUUAUACUGAGUGUGUUGGGGACACAAGAGAUUUCUUGUAUUUUAUUGUAGGGUUGCUUGAGAGAGAACAUCUUCAUCCUACACCUCACACGGAUUGAUAAACCUUAGGUCAUCCUCUUAAGGGAAAUUUAUUGUUGUCCUACAAAAACUCUGCACUUGGAGGUCCAACAACGUCUAUAAUAAUAACAUUGCAUAGUAAACAUCAGUAAUGUCCUGUCUACUAAGGGCGACGUGUAUAAUGAAGUUGGCCAAAAUUAUACAGAAUACAUGCCACUAGUACAUAGGUUGAGUGCUGAUAACAUUCGUGCAAAUAUCUUUGUAAGAGUUGCUGACUACAUUACUAUUAUGUAAAUUACAUUGCUAAUUAUGCUACUACUAUGUAAAUUACAUUGCUAACUAGGCUACUAUUAUGUUCUUCAACAGAAACUGCUAAAUGAUGUUGUGCCUCCGUUGAUGCAUGACAAAGGUGAGCUGGCAAUUACUUGUCGUACGAGUGUCACUUUCGUUUUUCCAUACCCGACUGAGCGCAAACUACAAGGUAAACUCCAAAUUGAAACAUGAAGAGAAAUAAAGAAGUACCACAAGCCACAAAUUUGGAGACCGUCGAAUCUCUUUGCUUCAUCGUGAAGACCUAGAUGUUUUUCUAUUAUAUGAUAUUUAUGUUGGAAAUAUGCCCUAGAUGCAAUAAUAAAUUGGUUAUUAUUAUAUUUCCUUGUUCAUGAUAAUCGCUUAUUAUCCAUGCUAGAAUUGUAUUGAUUGGAAACUCAAAUACAUGUGUGGAUACAUAAACAACACACUGUCCCUAGUGAGCCUCUAGUUGACUAGCUCGUUGAUCAAAGAUGAUCAAGGUUUCCGGACCAUAGGCAAGUGUUGUCACUUGAUAAUGGGAUCACAUCAUUAGGAGAAUAAUGUGAUGGACAAGACCCAAACUAUAAACGUAGCAUAUGAUCGUGUCAGUUUAUUGCUACUAUUUUUUGCAUGUCAAUGUAUCCGUUCCUAUGACCACGAGAUCAUGCAACUCCCGGACACCGGAGGAAUAGCCUGUGUGUAUCAAACGUCACAACUUACUGGGUGACUAUAAAGGUGCUCUAUAGGUAUCUCCAAAGGUGUCUGUUAGGUUGGCAUGGAUCAAGACUGGGAUAUGUCACUCCGUGUGACACAGAGCUAUCUCGGGGCCCACUCGGUAAUACAAAAUCACAACAAGCCUUGCAAGAAAUGUGACUAAGGAGUUAGUUACGGGAUCUUGUAUUACGGAACGAGUAAAGAGACUUGCUGGUAACGAGAUUGAACUAGGUAUGGAGAUACCGACAAUCGAAUCUCAAGCAAGUAACAUACCGAAGGAGAAAGGGAACAACAUACGGGAUUAACUGAAUCCUUGACAUAGAGGUUCAACCGAUAGAGAUCUUAGUAGAAUAUGUAGGAGCCAAUAUGGACAUCCAGGUCCCGCUAUUGGUUAUUGACCGGGGAGUGUCUCAGGUCAUGUCUGCAUAAUUCUCGAACCCGCAGGGUCUGCACACUUAACGUUUGGUGACAUUAUGGUAUUAUUGAGUUAUGUGUGUUUGGUACUCGAAAGUUGUUUGGAGGCCCAGAUGAGACCCCGGACAUCACGAGGAGCUCCGAAAUGGUCUGGAGGUAAAGAUUGAUAUAUAGGAAAGUGGGUUUUGAACUCCGGAAAAGUUUUGACCAUUUCCGGCAGUGUACCGAGAGUGACGAAUGGGUUCCGGGGGUCCAGCAGGUGGGCCCACCCACCCCAAAGGGUCUCAUGGGCUGUGGGAGGACGUGGACCUACCCUUAGUGGGCUGGCCGAAGCCUCCACUAAAUCCCAAGGCGGAUUCGAGGUGGGAAGGAAAGAAACCCAAAGGUGGAAAAGGCGGAAAGGGUUUCCAAGUGGAGAGGAGGAAUCCUACUCCUAGUAGGAUUGGAGUAGGACUCCUACACCUACAAUUUCGGCCAAACCGUGAGGGUUUGAGGCUGCCUCCUUGUCACCCCAAGAUGCGACCCUAUCCUCAAUUUGGCACGAGGGCCUCGUCAGGGAUAGAAGCGCAUCUCGUCGUGUCGCAAGAAUGGAUAUCGUCACAAGUACAUGUACUGAAAAGAAGAGAUAUAUAUAGGGUUGGCUUACACUCGCCACAAGCUACAUGAGAGUCACAUCAGUACAUUACAUAAUCAGCAAGAGUAAGAGCAGGGUCCAACUACGGACGAAAACAAACGAGAAAAAUAAGAACGACGUCCAUCCUUGCUAUCCCAGGCUGCCGGCCUGGAACCCAUCCUAGAUCGAUGAAGAAGAAGAAGAAGCAACUCCAAAUGAACAAUCAACGCGAUCGCGUCAAGUAACCUUUACCUGUACCUGCAACUGGUGUUGUAGUAAUCUGUGAGCCACAGGGGACUCAGCAAUCUCAUUUCCAAAGGUAUCAAGACUAGCAAAGCUUAAUGGGUGAGGUAUGGUUAAGUGGUGAGGUUGCAGCAGCGGCUAAGCACAUAUUUGGUGGCUAACUUACGAGUACAAGAAAUAAGAGGGGGAUGAUCUACGCAUAACGGAUGUGAACUACUGUUGAUCAAAUGAAUGAUCCUGAACACCUACCUACGUCAGACAUAACCCCACCGUGUCCUCGAUCGGAGAAGGAACUCACGAAAGAGANNNNNNNNNNNNNNNNNNNNNNNNNNNNNNNNNNNNNNNNNNNNNNNNNNNNNNNNNNNNNNNNNNNNNNNNNNNNNNNNNNNNNNNNNNNNNNNNNNNNNNNNNNNNNNNNNNNNNNNNNNNNNNNNNNNNNNNNNNNNNNNNNNNNNNNNNNNNNNNNNNNNNNNNNNNNNNNNNNNNNNNNNNNNNNNNNNNNNNNNNNNNNNNNNNNNNNNNNNNNNNNNNNNNNNNNNNNNNNNNNNNNNNNNNNNNNNNNNNNNNNNNNNNNNNNNNNNNNNNNNNNNNNNNNNNNNNNNNNNNNNNNNNNNNNNNNNNNNNNNNNNNNNNNNNNNNNNNNNNNNNNNNNNNNNNNNNNNNNNNNNNNNNNNNNNNNNNNNNNNNNNNNNNNNNNNNNNNNNNNNNNNNNNNNNNNNNNNNNNNNNNNNNNNNNNNNNNNNNNNNNNNNNNNNNNNNNNNNNNNNNNNNNNNNNNNNNNNNNNNNNNNNNNNNNNNNNNNNNNNNNNNNNNNNNNNNNNNNNNNNNNNNNNNNNNNNNNNNNNNNNNNNNNNNNNNNNNNNNNNNNNNNNNNNNNNNNNNNNNNNNNNNNNNNNNNNNNNNNNNNNNNNNNNNNNNNNNNNNNNNNNNNNNNNNNNNNNNNNNNNNNNNNNNNNNNNNNNNNNNNNNNNNNNNNNNNNNNNNNNNNNNNNNNNNNNNNNNNNNNNNNNNNNNNNNNNNNNNNNNNNNNNNNNNNNNNNNNNNNNNNNNNNNNNNNNNNNNNNNNNNNNNNNNNNNNNNNNNNNNNNNNNNNNNNNNNNNNNNNNNNNNNNNNNNNNNNNNNNNNNNNNNNNNNNNNNNNNNNNNNNNNNNNNNNNNNNNNNNNNNNNNNNNNNNNNNNNNNNNNNNNNNNNNNNNNNNNNNNNNNNNNNNNNNNNNNNNNNNNNNNNNNNNNNNNNNNNNNNNNNNNNNNNNNNNNNNNNNNNNNNNNNNNNNNNNNNNNNNNNNNNNNNNNNNNNNNNNNNNNNNNNNNNNNNNNNNNNNNNNNNNNNNNNNNNNNNNNNNNNNNNNNNNNNNNNNNNNNNNNNNNNNNNNNNNNNNNNNNNNNNNNNNNNNNNNNNNNNNNNNNNNNNNNNNNNNNNNNNNNNNNNNNNNNNNNNNNNNNNNNNNNNNNNNNNNNNNNNNNNNNNNNNNNNNNNNNNNNNNNNNNNNNNNNNNNNNNNNNNNNNNNNNNNNNNNNNNNNNNNNNNNNNNNNNNNNNNNNNNNNNNNNNNNNNNNNNNNNNNNNNNNNNNNNNNNNNNNNNNNNNNNNNNNNNNNNNNNNNNNNNNNNNNNNNNNNNNNNNNNNNNNNNNNNUAAUUGGUUGUUAAACAGCAAAACAAAUAGGUUCACGUGAUUCUACGCGUCAAGGCAAGCAAUCUACACAAAAAGAACAUCUCCAACGGAGCUAGGUUCAAAAGAUACAAGCACCGCAAGAUAUGAUGGCAUGAGUGCAAAAAUGUGUGCAACGGCGGCUACGAGCACUUCAACACAUACAAACAGCAAGAGAAAAUGAAACUACACGAGAUUCUAAGCAAGUUUCAUGUAGGACACGAUCAAAACGGAGCUACGGUUCGAAAACUACGAGCAAAACAAGAAAACACUACAAUCUGCCAAAAUCAGCCAUAUAGCACUUUCUACGCCCCACAACUACGAGCUACACAACUCCGAUAUGCUCAAGCAAGGCAUGACACGGAAGAGGGCAAGAAGCACUACUACAAACAACUAACAACAACUAGCUUGGCAGCAAGGAGCACUAGGAAAAGAAGACACAAAAAGGCAUCUCACACACUAUUUCACACUUAGUGAAAAUUACACCUCAUGAAAGUGCAGUUUUCGAUCUGAAGCAAUAUUGACAGCAGUAAAACAUAUAGCUACAGGACUCCAAAUGGCAUGAAACUUCACAGCAUGCUAGAGAAACACAAGGGUUACAACCUACUCCAUUGGACCAACCUGAAAAGAGCUACAGAUCACAAGAUGCAAGCAAGACAAGACAGCAAGAAAAUAUAACAGAUUCCAGACUUAGAAAUAUUUCAGCACGUCCAAAACCGCACUAUUUCUAGCAACUUGAGAGCAAGCAAACUACACCUAAACAUGCAUUUCUAUUGCAACUAAAAAUACCAGGGGCUAAACAAAACAUCCAAGAUCAACUCUCUAGUUGACAACUCCAUCAAACUACGCACGGAAUAAAUCCUACGAAUUAAUCAAAAGGGCAACAUGGCAAAAUAUCUCGCGAACUAACUUGCUCAAAAGCUAAAACUAAUUGCAAAGAAAAAUCCAUGGGAUUUUUCUACCCCGGAAACAUAUAAAAUAUGUGGGGUUUGCAACACAAAAUAAAGCCACACGAAAAUGAGGGAAAUAAACCUAGACACGAAAAAUAAUUUAGCGGCAAAUCCGUACACGCAAAAAAAUACCAAAGACCGCUCUAAAAUGCAUGCAAAAAUGAUUCCUAAAACAUGAACAUUUCUAUCAUGGCAUUCGAGCAAUUCAAACAUGCGCGGAAAAUAAAUGCGGGCACUUUCCUAUUGAGGCAGCACGGUAAAGAGUGCAUUUGGCACGUUAACUAGCUCAAAUAAUUAUGCAAGUUUGAUAAACGGGUUCUACUUGAGAAACUGCACGUUUUACAUAUAUAAUACUCUCCGAUCCGACUAACGGAAUAAAAGAUACGGCGUUUUAAUAUCCGACAAUUUUCCUGGAAUUAAAUUAAUUCCAAAAUCCUAAAUAAACUAAACGGGCCAAACUGGUAGGCGCAAAAUUGCAACAUGGUGCAUGGGGCGCUGGUGAGAGGGGCUCACCUUCGGGCCAAAGUGGGCCGGCCUCGGGCGGAUGAGGAGCAGGAGGCCUCAAUCUGGGCCGGCUCGGGGAAGGCGGAGCUGGGCCGGGGCAAGGCUCUGGGCAAGCCGGCCCACGUUGCCAGCAUGGGGAGCAGCCCAGGCGACGCUGGAGCGGGGCGCUCGGGCGGCUCGUCUCUCCCUCGAGAAGACACCGCCAUGGCGACGCAGAGCUCGGGCCUCCGGCGGGAAUCGCUGCACGAGGGUGGUUGGCGACGGAGGGAGGCACAGCCGGCCGGAUCUGGCCGGUCUUCGCCGGAUCUGGCCGGCGGCGGGGGCGAGGCAGCAAGGCGGCGCUGGGGCGCUGCUGCGUGCACGGGAUGGUCGGCGGGGCUCGAUGGGAGAGGGUCUCCGGCUGGCGGCCCCGGGUAGAGGACGGCGCGGGACUCCGGCGAGCUGCUGGCGGCGGGCAUGGGGUAGGCGGCGGAGGCGCUACAGGGAGGCAGUGACGGCGCAACGAGGAGGCUCGGCGCAGGGACGAGAACGGGGCGGCGGCGGCGGCGGCCGGAUGGGCCUGCCCGGGCCCGAUCUGGGCUCGGCGGGGCCGCGGCGGCUGGGGGGGGGGGGGNNNNNNNNNNNNNNNNNNNNNNNNNNNNNNNNNNNNNNNNNNNNNNNNNNNNNNNNNNNNNNNNNNNNNNNNNNNNNNNNNNNNNNNNNNNNNNNNNNNNNNNNNNNNNNNNNNNNNNGCUAUAGAAACGGGGGGGGGGGGGGGGGGGCUAGGUUAGCCGGAAUCGCGUUCCGGAUCCAACCGCGGGGUCGGAUUCGGACGAUUCCGAACGCGGGUAUGGGUACGUGGCCGUGUAGAGGGAAUAUCGGGAGACGAGAGGGAGAACGGGCGGCGCGGCACGAAUUUUAAAACACCGACAGACGUCCGACGGUAGACCGAAUACGGUGCCGCUACGGUCGACCGUUCGGGUACCAGACGGUCUCCGAUCGUGGCGAAAUUCGAUACGGUCGACCGUUCGGGUACUAGACGGUCUCCGAUCGCGACGAAAUUCGACACGCGGUCUAGCGAUAACUAAUUAAGACCGCAGGUCAAGCUUCGACUCAAUCAGAGAAAGUUUUAAACGCACUUUAAAAACAGGGUUUCGACGGUGCCGCAGGCGCGUGCGAGUGCGGUCGGGCUCAGAACGGACGACGACGCGAACCGGCAACUAACAACGGAUGCAAGUUUGAAAACUGGCGGCAACGGAGAUCCGAUGCAAUGCAGAUGAUGCGCAGGAUGUGAUGAUGAUGCGACUAAUAAAAUAAGCCACACGACGAAAAUGGAAAGAGAGGGGAAUCUUUUGGAACGUCGGCAUCGGGCUGUCACAACUCUCCUACACUACAAGAAGAUCUCGCCCGAGAUCCAAGAAUGAAAGGGGGAGAGGAUGAGAAAGAAGAGGUAAAACUUAGUCGCUUCUUUGAAAAACGAGUGAAACGAACGAUCCUUGAAGGUUGCAAAGAGAUGCGGAAUGAUAUGAGGAAGAAGCAAGAAUUCACGGAAAAUUUCGGCAGCACUUCGGUAGGAAAAUGGGACAAAAAAUUCGAUAAGAUGGAAGAAAUAGACGAUAUUCAUAACAAACAACUAAAUAGAGCAAGGGAACACCACAAUCUUGAUAGAACAACAUAAUAGACCCAAAAGAGCAACAUCACCAAGCCUCCGGAACAAGAGAAUAUGAACUAGCUCAAGCAGAAGAAGAGAAUGAAGAAAAGAAUGACAACUAUAUCACAAAUGAACUGCAGAGCCUCCGGACAGAGAAUUGACUUAGAAGUUGGAAAACCAACAACGAAAAGAACAAGAUAGUAGUGGGCUUACGAAAAUCAUCUCAACAAAUAUGAGGUGACAACCAACCACUACAAGAACCAAGGAUAGAAGAAAGCACAGAUAUCAAAACUCUUAGACCAAGAGGGUGCAUUGAGAACUGGGAUUACUGACAAGCACCAUGAUAGCAACAAUUCAUAGGAAAAGCUUUAGGUGAAAUCCAAACCAAGAUAGCUCAAUGAAGAAAUCAUGGGUUGAAAUAUCUCAUGACCAUAGAAUUGGUGGAUUUAAUUAUCUCAUUCUUGAAAGGAAAACUCUUCGAGGCUCCUACACUAACAAGAAUGCUAUAAUACCACCUCAAAGGACAAAGGAAGAACAAUUUGCACAUAGAAAUGCAAGAGAAAGGAUACUCGAGGUUCUCCAACAAGAAUCUUGAAGAACACUUAAGAAGGAAUGAAAUCUUGAUGAACCACCAUGAAGGACCACCGUAUACGAAUGAAUGAUGCAAAAUUAUGAAGGUGGAAAAGAAUAAGAUUAUGAACUGCCAAGAUUUAGAUGAAGCUACACAAAGAGAUAGUUGAUAAAACUUGGAACUCCGGAAAAGAAAAGAUAAGAACACUUGAGAAAAGAAUUGACAUCAUGAGACACUCCGGAAGAAGAAUUCAAAAUACUACGAACAAGAAUAAGAAUUAUGUUAAGCUUAUCCUUCAUCAAUUUAAACUGAUGACAAUCAACGGAUUUAGCAUACCACUUAUUCUUCUUGGAAUGAUCUUGAAGAGACAAAGAGAUAAGCACCACUUGAAGCAUAAUUGAAGAAAGCACCGGUAAGAAUUCACAAUUGAAUGGGAACACCACGAAUUAAUGGAUAUACAAGAGAAUGUAAAGAUCAUGAGCCACCUAACAGAAAACUUGAACAAGGCACCGGAUAAACGAGAGACAAACGAAGAGACAACAAUUGAGAAGAAUUGAGGAUGAAAGCUGAAAGCUGAGAACGAAGAAGUCUUCUGAAAUGAUGGCCUUCGGAGGAACGGGAAAUAAAAACAACUCAGAAAUGCACCGGAUAGCACGAAAGGGAUUACUCACGAUAGAAACAAUUGAGAGGAAAACACGAAGCUGAGAUGAUAAUCUUCACAAGAAUGGAGCAAGAUUGAGAAUGAUGACGAGAAACAACCCACGAAUAACUGAGACACUCCGGAAUAAAGAAAAUUGCAAGGUUGAGCCAAACAUGAGAAUUAAUCCAAAUUGAUCUUGGAGAAAGAAUAUGACUGAUGAAAAACAUACUUACGUCAUAGUUGAAAAGAAUUAAGGAUCUACGGAAAAAGAUUAAAGAGACAGGUAAGAUCCUGGGAAAACCUGUGGGUUAUGGGCCCACUCAAAGAAAAUCACCGUUGAAACAAUAGCUAGAACGAGAGAUAUUGCACCGGAAUAAGAAAACUAGAUGAGGUUGAGAACCUUGAAAUAAUGAAAGACCUGAAACAAGAAACUCUGAGGUAUCUUCAACGCUCCGGAUGGAAUAGCGAUAACUGAAUAAACAAGAUAGGCUGAAACGAAUCUCCAACAUAGGAAAGAAUUACAAGCACGAAAAGGAUAUGAUGAACACGGACAACUAAAUUAAAUUCACCGGAUAAGAGAGAAAAGAACAGACAGCGGGAGCACAAUGAAAAGAAAACUCUUGGAUGAAAAUUGAAUCACUGAGAAAAAAGGUGGGAGGGCGGGGAAAAACAAAGACAACUUGGGACGGAUGAGAUGAACUCCGGAUGGAAUAAGAGAAUGAUCUUGCAAAAUAGGAGAGGAUGGAAUUCACUUGAAGAGAAACACACCGGUUGAAAAAGAAUUGAUAUGGCGACUCCGAUUGACAAAAUUGAUGAGGCAAUUGAUUGAGCAAAAGGAUUAGCACUCUCACAUAAAAAUAUGAGAACACCUCUUAGAAAGGUCUGAAAUCACCACUUGACAUCGAAGCAACUUGAAUUACCAUAUUCAACAAAACAAAGGGUGCGGCUUAUGAAGCAAGCCAGAACAAACUCAUGAGAAAGAUUUCCAUUCUAUAUUUUCGUGGACAGGAUCGCACGGGCACGAUUUACAGAAGCCAUCAAGUGCAAGGCAGUGCACCUGACAUACGAAGCGUCCCCGAGUCAUAGCAAGCUACAAGGACUCUUUAAGACACAACGUGUACCGCUGUAAGUCGACUGUGAACAAAUGAAUCCACUAGAUGUCGAACCCCAACCUAACAUCAUUCAUUUGUUGGAAGAUUGUCCUAUAAGAAACUACUUGAAUUCCCACCUAUGAAUUCCCGAAAUAUCUGGUCAUGCAAUCUGGUACACGGAUACAAGGAGUAAUAACACACAACUCCUAUACUAACCCGUCACUUGUAUCACAUCCGUCAACACACGACCAGAAUCUCGGACCUUCAUCUACAACAGACCCUCGUGAUCACAACGAUACAAAGUAUGGCAGUACUCCCGAACAAUCUGCACCAGUACUGGGGACAUCGGGGCUAUCUCGCCACUACUAGUAUUGAAGCAAUUACGAACAUCCUUCGUUCUGAGAUACUAAGAAAUCUGAAUGAUAACGAUGUGCUCAAGUAUCCCCUGGAGCUCAACUCCCCGGAAGAAAAUCAAGUCAGACAGGAGGCACCAAGACAGAACUCCAUCACAUCGGCAUCAUAUAGAUUCCAAAUAUAUCCGCGUGAUCCUAAAAAAAAUUUGAGUGAGAAAAGGAGUAGAGAAAAUUAUCACGUCAAGAUUCCUCACAAAGCAUAGAAGAGGAGAAAAAAGAAUCCUACUCUCCGAUAUAUAACUAGACUCAAAGUAGUUUUUUACUAAAUUCGACUCGGCCAAGUUCGAUCAAUCAAGGGGGCUCCUAGGUUGGUACGGCUCUGAUACCAACUUGUCACGCCCAAGAUGCGACCCUAUCCUCAAUUUGGCACGAGGGCCUCGUCAGGGAUAGAAGCGCAUCUCGUCGUGUCACAAGAAUGGAUAUCGUCACAAGUACAUGUACUGAAAAGAAGAGAUAUAUAUAGGGUUGGCUUACACUCGCCACAAGCUACAUGAGAGUCACAUCAGUACAUUACAUAAUCAGCAAGAGUAAGAGCAGGGUCCAACUACGGACGAAAACAAACGAGAAAAAUAAGAACGACGUCCAUCCUUGCUAUCCCAGACUACGGAUGAAAACAAACGAGAAAAAUAAGAACGACGCCCAUCCUUGCUAUCCCAGACUGCCGGCCUGGAACCCAUCCUAGAUCGAUGAAGAAGAAGAAGAAGCAACUCCAAAUGAACAAUCAACGCGCUCGCGUCAAGUAAUCUUUACCUGUACCUACAACUGGCGAAAUGAACAAUCAACGCGCUCGCGUCAAGUAACCUUUACCUGUACCUGCAACUGGUGUUGUAGUAAUCUGUGAGCCACAGGGGACUCAGCAAUCUCAUUUCCAAAGGUAUCAAGACUAGCAAAGCUUAAUGGGUGAGGUAUGGUUAAGUGGUGAGGUUGCAGCAGCGGCUAAGCACAUAUUUGGUGGCUAACUUACGAGUACAAGAAAUAAGAGGGGGGAUGAUCUACGCAUAACGGACGUGAACUGCUGGUGAUCAAAUGAAUGAUCCUGAACACCUACCUAUGUCAUACAUAACCCCACCGUGUCCUCGAUCGGAGAAGGAACUCACGAAAGAGACAGUCACGGUUACGCACACGGUUGGCAUGUUUUAAUUAAGUUAACUUCAAGUUAUCUAGAACCAGUGUUAAACAAAGUUUCCACGUUGCCACAUAACCGCAGGCACGGCUUUCCGAAAGAUUUAACCCUGCAGGGGUGCUCCAACUAGUCCAUCACAAAUUACCACAAGCCGCAUAGAAAUCCUCAAUCACGAAGCUCGCGAUCUCGUCGGAUUCCCUAGUGGAAAACCUCAACUCUGAGAUUACCCAAAGCAUCACCGGAAUCCCGAUGCACAAGAUAUCUCGUCAAAGGUAAAACUAAUCCAGCAAGGCCGCCCGACGUGUCGACGUACCCGAUAGGAGCCGCGUAUCUCGUUCUCAGGACACGACGGAUGGAACUAGCUACGAGUGCCAAACCUCGAGUUUCCUCGCGGUGGCCCCGCAGGCAGACCGUUUGGGACCAACACCAUCAACACUGGCCCCCCUGUUUAUGUGAAAUUACUCCUCGGGUAGCGCUAACUCCCUAUGCAUUUCAAUGUAACAGAAUUAUUAUGUUGGGCAAAAGUAAAACCAAUGUUGGGCCUUGCCAGACCAGCUUUAAUCUAAGACGAAUUAUCAAGGGGGUCCCCAUAACAACCCCGAUCGUGUUAGGAGCGCUCGUUUAUGGAACAUAACACCGGUAGCCAAAACUAAGGCGUCAAAGGUGGAACAAAAUACCAUGCUAGAAAGGCCGAGCCUUCCACCUUUUACCAAGUAUAUAGGUGCAUUAAAUUAAAUAGCAUUUAAUAUGGUGAUAUAACAAGGAACCCAUGUUUUCACAUGGAAGCAACUGCACCUGCAACUAGCAACGCUAUCAACAGGGUGAAGCAAGCAGUAACAUAGCCAAUCAAUGGUUUGCUAGGUCGAACAAGUUGAUGGUAAUCAUGGCAUUGUUGAGAGGCUGGUAUUUAACAAGUGGUAGGUAACGAGACAUAAACGAUAGAAGCGAUAAACUAGCAUGGCAAUGAUAGUAAUGGUAUCUGGGGAAAUGAUCAUCUUGCCUGAGAUCCCGCUUGGAAGAAGAAUGACUCCGUGAAGCAGACGAACCGAUGUAGUCGAACGGGUCCUCACUUCCCGACACGCUUGCGGAACUCUAUCGAGAAGAGGGGAACCGGAAACAAGAAUCAACACACGAUAUUCACCACGGAAUAUGCACGACAAGAUGCAACUCACAUAUGAUGCAUGACCAGCUGAAUAUAUGCAAGACAUGGCAUGUCAAAUCACAACAACCAAAUACUACACAUUAAAUGAAGUUUAAUAUGAACGAGUUGCAUAUUGACGAAACUCCACAUACGAAUUAUUUAGUUCUAUCCCGAUUAGGUACACGGUAAUAUUAAAUGUGGUUAAACAUGGCAAGAGGUGAAGCGUAAUUAAACUACCUAUCUAGGCACUUUAAAUGAGGAUGGAAAUGACAUAUAGCACCUCCGGAACGACCUCACAUGUUAAUUUACAAUUCUGUCCAGAUCUGAACUAACACGUUUAAACGUUUGUUAAACAGAAAAAUAAAUAGGUUCACGUGAUUCUACGUGUCGUUACAAGCAAUUUACACAUAGAGAACAUAUCCAACAGAGCUACGGUUCAAAAGAUACGAACACCACAAGAUAUGAUGGCAUGAAUGCAAAAUGUGUGCAACGACAGUCACGAGCCUUUCAAAACACACAACCAGUAGGAUAAAAUGAAACUACAUGAGAUUCGAAGCAAGUUUCAUAUAGGACACGAUCAAAACGGAGCAACGGUUCAACAACUACGAGCUAAACAAGAAAUCACUACAAACUGCCAAAAUCAGGCACAUAACAUUUUCUACACCCCAAAACUACGAGCUACAGAAAUCCAAAAUACUCAACCCAGGCAUGAGGCAAUAGAGGUCAAGAUGCACUACAACAUACAACUAACAACAACUAGCAUGGAAGCAUGGAUCACUAGGAAAAGAACUCACAAAAUGGCUUCUCACAGACACUUUCAGACUUAGUGAAAAUGUCAGUUUAUGACAGUGCAGUUUUCGAUCUGAAGGCAUAUUGACAACAGAAAAACCAUAAGCUACAGGACUCCAAAUGGCAUGAAAGUUGACAGCAUGCUAGAGAAUCCGAAAGUGUCAAACGACGCACGGAAUAAAUCCCACGAAUUAAUCAAAAGGGCAACAUGGCAAAAUAUCUCCCGAACUAACUUGCUCAAAAGCUAAAACUAAUUGCACAGGAAAUAAAUGCGGGAAACAUAUAAAAUAUGUGGGGUUUGCAACACAAAAUAAAGCCACACGAAAAUGAGGGAAAUAAACCUAGACACGAAAAAUAAUUUAGCGGCAAAUCCGUACACGCAAAAAAAUACCAAAGACCGCUCUAAAAUGCAUGCAAAAAUGAUUCCUAAAACAUGAACAUUUCUAUCAUGGCAUUCGAGCAAUUCAAACACGCGCGGAAAAUAAAUGCGGGCACUUUCCUAUUGAGACAGCACGGUAAACAGUGCAUUUGGCACGUUAAACUAGUUCAAAUAAUUAUGCAAGUUUGAUAAACGGGUUCUACUCGAGAAACUGCACGUUUUACAUAUAUAAUACUCUCCGAUCCGACUAACGGAAUAAAAGAUACGGCGUUUUAAUAUCCGACAAUUUUCCUGGAAUUAAAUUAAUUCCAAAAUCCUAAAUAAACUAAACGGGCCAAACUGGUAGGCGCAAAAUUGCAACAUGGUGCAUGGGGCGCUGGUGAGAGGGGCUCACCUUCGGGCCAAAGUGGGCCGGCCUCGGGCGGAUGAGGAGCAGGAGGCCUCUUUCGGGCCAAAGUAGGCCGGCCUGGGGCGGAUGAGGAGCAGGAGGCCUCGAUCUGAGCCGGCUCGGGGAAGGCGGAGCUGGGCCGGGGCGAGGCUCUGGGGAAGCCGAUCCACGUUGCCACCGUGGGGAGCGGCCCAGGCGGCGCUGGAGCGGGGCGCUCGGGCGGCUCGUCUCUCCCUCGAGAAGACACCGCCAUGGCGAUGCAGAGCUCGGGCCGCCGGCGGGAAUCGCUGCAGGAGGGUGGUUGGCGAAGGAGGGAGGCACAGCCGGCCGGAUCUGGCCGGUCUUUGCCGGAUCUGGCCGCCGGCGGGGGCGAGGCAGCAAGGCGGCGCUGGGGAGCUGCUGCGUGCACGGGAUGGUCGGCGGGGCUGCGGGGCUCGACGGGAGAGGGUCUCCGGCUGGCGGCCCCGGGUAGAGGACAGCGCGGGACUCCGGCGAGCUGCCGGCGGCGGGCAUGGGGUAGGCGGCGGUGGCGCCAUAGGGAGGCGGCGGCGGCACUACAGGGAGGCAGCGGCGGCGCAACGGGGAGGCUCGGCGCAGGGACAAGAACGGGGCGGCGGCGGCGGCCGGAUGGGCCUGCCCAGGCCCGAUCUGGGCUCGGCGGGCCCGCGGCGGCUGGUGGGAGAGGCUGCGGAUCUGGCUAGGGUUAGGGUAGGGUCGCACGGAAUUCGAGGAGGGGGUUGUCUAAAUUAAGAGGGGGUCUAUAUAUAGACAAACGGGGGGGACUCGGACGAUUCCGAACACGGGUAUGGGUACGUGGCCGUGUAGAGGGAAUAUCCGGAGACGAGAGGGAGAACGGGCGGCGCGGCACGAAUUUUAAACACCGACAGACGUCCGACGGUAGACCGAAUACGGUGCCGCUACGGUCGACCAUUCGGGUACCAUACGGUCUCCGAUCGCGACGAAAUUUGACAGGCGGUCUAGCGAUAACUAAUUAAGACCGCAGGUCAAGCUUCGACUCAAUCAGAGAAAGUUUUAAACGCACUUUAAAAACAGGGUUUCGACGGUGCCGCAGGCGCGUGCGAGUGCGGUCGGGCUUAGAACGGACGACGACGCGAACCGGCAACUAACAACGGAUGCAAGUUUGAAAACUGGCGGCAACGGAGAUCCGAUGCAAUGCAGAUGAUGCGCAGGAUGUGAUGAUGAUGCGACAAAUAAAAUAAGCCACACGACGAAAACGGAAAGAGAGGGGAAUCUUCUGGAACGGCGGCAUCGGGCUGUCACACUCCUCCCCUCCCUCCCUCCUAUAUAUACUAGAGAUUUUAGAGGGAAGAGCUAACCAUAAUUGCCACGUGUUCCCUCUAUUUCAUCUAGAUCGGUUUCUCCUCUAGUCUAGUUCGGCGGUGCUUAGGCGAAGCCCUGCUGGAUUAGUUCACCACCACCACCACCACCACCACGCCGCCGUGCUGGAGAACUCAUCUACCUCUCCGUCCCUCUUGCAGGAUCAAGAAGGCGGGGAUCGUCAUCGAGCUGUACGUGUGCUGAACGUGGAGGUGCCGUCCAUUUGGCACUAGAUCGGGAUGGAUCGUGAUGGGAUCGCAUGACGGAUCGUGAUGAGAUCGCGGGAUGGGCUGCGAUUUGGAUCGCGAAGAUGUUCCACUACAUCAACCGCGUUAUAUACGCUUCCGCUUAGCGAUCUACAAGGGUAUGUAGAUUCACUCUCCCCUCUCGUAGAUGAUCAUCACCAUGGAUAGGUAUUGCGUGUGCAUAGGAAUUUUUUUAUUUUCCCAUGCGACAUUCCCCAACAAUUUACCUAGGAGAGAGGACUAGGUCCUAUGAUAGACGAGUUUUUCUGGUUUAUGACAUUAUGUAGUAGUGGUAAACUUGGCAUGAUUAACAUGAUGAUGACUUGUUAGAUGAUUAAAAGGAUGAUAAGUUAUAUGAUAUAUGAGAUUAAAGUGGGUAAUGAGCUAUUAUAUGACAUAUAUUAGAUUAAAGUGAAUGACACAACAUCGUAUUUUUCUGUAAUUCAACUUGGGCACUUGGAUCCAUUCAUUUUACUCUAAUGUUCUCAACAUUGUAGUUUCCUCCAAUUCACAUUGGUCUGUUGCAUCCAUCUACUUUAAUCUAAAUGAUAUUUCUUCCAUAAUUAUUAUUUAUAUUUUAUAUUAAUUUGUAUAAUCGUGUGAAAAUAUAAUAUAAAUAUAAAAAAAUACACGCAAUUAGUAAUGGCGCGGGGUAUAGACACACACUGCUAAUAGUUAGCAGUAGCGAUGAUACAAAACAUACUAUUGUUUUCUCGAGUAGAGUGAGGACGAUGACGCGGACGCAAUGAAAGCAGUCGGAUAAGGUGUGGCUUGGUGAGGCGGACGGCGAAGAAGGAGUGCGCGAGGGCCACUUCUUUUCUCAAGUUCCAAUAGCAUGUGGAAAAAAUCCCUUAUAAGGAGGUUCAAUGUUUUUCUACACUAGCGGGAUAUGACUAAACUUCUCACCUUCAUCAUGACACCUCAGAAGCAUAGGGUAUCUAAUGAAAAAUCAGUAUUCCAAAUAUAUAAGUCAUCAUGCGUGGAAGAAGCUCCUCAUUUCUACCGAUCUUUAAUUUUCAUUUUAUAUGUUGCUAUUUUCAUCGGCUGACCCAUUAAUAGGAGUUGCAUGUUGUUUUUUAGAAAUUAAUUAUAUGAAAAAUAAUAGAGUUGUUGGCUCCUUCCAAUUUUCCAAACAGGUCAGAUAGAAAUCAUCAUUGUCAUUGAUUUUUAUUUUAAUAUUCUUUUUAAUAUUCUCAAUCCAGUCUUUAUGUAUCUAGGUUGCGAUGUAACUCUUUAGAUGCCCUAUGCACCUGAACGAGUAAAUUGCCAAAAACUACCACAUUUCACGCAAAUGUAAUAAGUGGCUACCAAUUUAUGGUUAUUAGCGAAAAACUAUCAAAAAUUUUCUAAUCCGUUGCUAAAAACUAUUAAAAAUUUAACUGUCCGAUUUAGCUCUUUUAACCUUUUUUCUGGCAAGGCUGGCCCACAAGUCACAUGCCAGCAUGACCCGUUGCAUUUUAUCGAACACCUUCAGCGCGCGUUGAGGUCGUGCUCCAGCCCGUGGCCGACGAGGAGCCGGGCGGCGCCCACCAGCGUCAGUCUCGUCUUGGGCGAGGUGGCAGAGGAGGACGCCAACGCCAUGGCCGCGGUAGCGUCGGCGAGGGCGGUGACCUGGAGGAAGACGGACAUCGAUGCGGCCGCCGUGUCGCUCACGGCCUGGGCCACGGUUCGCGCUACCUCGACCCCUGACGAGGAGGAGGAGGUGGCGUGGGUAUGCACGGGCGCGCAACGGGCGACGGCGGCGGCGAGGCCGGCAAGGUCCUUGGCGGCGCGGCGCUGAGCGCGGGCUGCGGAGGCGAGCUUGACGGGGUCACGGCGGCGAACGGCUGCGCGGAGGUCGGCGGUAUGGCCGCGGAGCGCGAGCAGGGCGGCCAGGAAGGAGCCGUAGGCGUCCGCGAGGGCGAGGAAGCCGUCGAGCAGGGCGUCAGCCGGGGCGAGCGCGAGCGGCACGUACGAGUGCUCCAGCAGCUCAUCGGCUCACACUUGGACAGCGGAAGCGGAGGAUGCUGUCCAAGACCGAGCUCGGCGUGCAGUUCGCGCAAGAAAUCAGCCGCCGCCGCCGCGUUCUUCAUCUGGUUGGUGGGAGAUUCGUUGGGGCCUCGGGCGAGACCACCAGGGCCACGAGCGGCAUCCUGGAGCGCGAAGAAGGCGCCGGCUUCCUGCACCGGAGCGGCACGGUGGGCGGCGUCCUGGAGCGCGAAGAAGGAGUCGGCUUCUUGCACCGGAGCGGCACGGUGGGCGGCGUCCUGGAGGGCGAAGAAGAGGCCUGCCGGCUGCGGCGAGGACACGCACAGGGACGCACAUAACCUGUUCGAUGUAAUGCACAUGAGGAUGAAGAGAGGUGGAAGAAAGGUCUAACGUGUGGGUCCUAUCUGUAAUAACGGUCAAAGCUAACAGUCAAUCUGACAUGUGGGCUUGUCAGAAGAACGAUUAAAAGAGCUAAAUCGGGCAGUUAAUUUUUUUGAUAGUUUUUAGCAAUGGAUUAGAAAAUUUUUGGUAGUUUUUUGCUAAUAAUCGUAAAGUGUUAGCCACUGGACACAUUUACGUGAAAUGUGGUGGUUUUUGAACGGAGGGAGUUGUUAAUUAUCCAACAACAUAUUAAUCAGCACUUAUAUAUGAUCGUGGAUGCACCAGGUGCAAUACCAACCACACUCUUAUUACAAUAAUUUCACAAGCACUUAAGGAUCGGGGUUAGCUCUUUGGAGGCCGACGCCGAGGGCUCCAUCUGCUCCCACCCCUGCCUCCCCAGCCUCAUCUCCAGGCUCGGAGCCAUAACCAUGGCCACGUCGUGCAGCCCACGGUCGCGUGCACAAUCCCCAUGGCCAUCGUCGUCGUAGCGCCGCGGGGGCAACGCCAAACAUCCGAAGCUCUCGGUCCCAUCGACGUCGUCGCUGCUGCUGCUGCUGGUGUUGCUCGCUGACGGCUUACGACGGCGUGGGGCUGCUGGCGGCGCCAUUCCGUUCUCUGGCAUGAUGUGUUCAUGAUCAUGAGGUUCGGAGGUCGUCAGGUAAGGUGGCACCAUUGCUGCUGCUGGUGCUGCCGCUUGUCUCCUCCAAGCAUCGUGAUGGUCUUGCCCUCCAGCUGGUGACUCCGACCUCCUGCAUGCAGUACGAAUCAAUCAGUUAAUGCACACAUAUAUGAGUCGGAGCUUCACGUCGAGGGGUGUCAGGUGUGGCGUCAGGCAAACACCAGAAACAUCACCAUACGGUGGCCUCUGUAAAAUUACCCUAGACCAUAGCUAGUAGCCGGACGUUCAAAGGUACCAUCUGGACGGAUUCCAGCUUUACAGACUCGUUCCUUUUCCUAUUUUAUUUUACCGACAUAUUGAGCAUCUUCAACCCGACUCUCAAAUUGUCCAUAUAUGUGGGCGAAGACACUUUUGGAUCCACCACGGGAGUAACUCUCGGGCGAAAGGAGGCGAUCGGUAGGCGAUCCCGGGCUGCCGCUAGGGUUAGGGUUUCUCGCCGGGGGUGCGAAGGGUUCCGGUGGGGAUCUGGAUGACGACUGCGUCCUCCAAGAUCACCGACCGACGCGGGAUAGGCUCUCCUGAGGGAGGAGCUAUGGCGGAGAAGGAAGACAGGAGGAAGACGGUUUCACCGGAUGGCCAAGGUACGAAGCCGAGACAGGAGGUAAGCCGGGGAUCCAGGAAAAUAGGAACGCCGGUGAAGGAAAGGAAGGAGAACGCAGAUGGGGUAUCGCCGGUGACCAGUAGGACUCCGGACGCAUCGGCUAGCCUCUCGGCAAAACUUGGUGGGAUGGCAUUGACGGAGAAGGAAGCGCAAGGUUUGAUGUUUUCGGGAACCAAGGAGGCCGCGCCGGCGGCGAAAAGAUGGACGUUGAUUGGAAAAGCUUGCACCCCUAGGGUCAUGAAUUUCGUGGCACUAGAACGAUCACUGAGGAGAGCUUGGGGCCUGCAUCAUGAUGCGCAGUUUCGUGAUCUCGGGAAUAACCUAUUUUUGGUCCACUUUGGAGGGGAAGGAGAUUGGAAGCAUGCUAGGAACAAUGGGCCGUGGCAAUUUGAUUUCAAUGUCUUAAUUCUUAAGGACUAUGAUGGGAAGACGAGGCCGUCGGAGAUGAUCUUUGACACGGUGGAUGUCUGGGUCAGAGUAGAGGAUCUACCCCUAGAUAAAAGAACCAAGGAAUUUGGGGAGGUCCUUGGGAACUGGCUUGGGGAGGUUGUGAAAGUGGAUGUGGAAAGCGAUGGAUUUGCUAAAGGGAAAUACCUUAGAGUUCGGGCGAAGAUAUUAGUCUAUGAGCCGCUGGUUCGAUACUUCAAUCUGAAGGAGUCAAAGGAAGAUGACGAAGGAACAUGGUUUAAUUUCUCCUAUGAGAAAAUUCCCCACUUUUGCUUUGAAUGUGGAAGACUUGUGCAUGCAGAAGGAAAAUAUGACCCACCAGUAGACAAGUCUGCCCAAUGGGGCGAAUGGCUGAGAGCAUCCCCUGGCCGAAUCUCGAUUGGCAAGGGAGGAGGAUAUGGAGGGGCUGCUAGCAGUAGUUUUAGUGGGGAGAGCUCUCGCACUGGCGCGAGCGACCCGAUUAGAUUCCCGUCAGCUAGGGUUCGGGAUCUCCCAACAAAGCGCAACAUUCAGAAAGAAUUAUCGCAGGCGAGCUACUCUCACACUGGUGAGGGUGUGCAACGAAAUAAAAUUGAGGUAAACCGCCCGGCUAGAGGGUCGCGAGGAAGCAGUGAAGCAGGAUCAAAAGAUCUAAGACAUGCUCUAGAGAGGAGGGAGCUGGAUUUACGUCAGGAGCUGAUAAACAAAAAAGGUGGAGUAGAUGAGAAGGUUGCUGGCCAGGAAGAGAUGCAGAGAUCAGAUCCUAUGGACUAUGACGCUCAUCCAAAGGCUCGAGAGAUAAGGAAGAGGGGUACAUUCACACGCAGGCCAAGACCCAACGAAGGGAUCUAUCGGCCGAAGGUAAGGGCGGAGCACCUCCCCAGAGAGUCACGUAAAAGGAGACUGAAGCAACUCUGGGUGGUGAAAGGUGAUCAGGACAAGCAAGUCUCACAGGAUACUUUCAUUCGGGAAACAAGGCUAAAACCAAAUACUGUUUUUGAACGACUCGAUGCUCCUAAUGAUACAUCGGCGGACCCUGCGAGCCAGGGCCGCCGGGAUCAAUGAAUUGCCUUGCCUGGAACUGCCGUGGUUUGGGGUUGGACCCGACAGUUGGCGAAUUAAGAGACCUGGUAAGGUCCUACAACCCAGUGGUGGUGUUCCUCAGCGAAACUAAGAAGAAAGCACGGGCUAUGGAGAGGAUUAGAUGGAGCUUGGGGUUCCCUAAUGGGAUCUCUGUUGAUUGUGUGGGCAAGAGUGGGGGUUUGUCGCUUUGGUGGAGAGAUAAUGUGCAAGCCACCAUCAGACCAUGGAGCCAGUUCUUCAUUGAUGCAGAGCUUUGCUUUGAUGGGAAAUCCUUCAGAUUCACAUGAUUCUAUGGAGAACCCAGGACAAAGCUUAGAGGCAAAUCAUGGGAAGCCCUCCGUUAUUUAAAGGCACAAAAUAAUUUACCUUGGUUAUGUGCAGGAGAUUUCAAUGAAAUACUCACUCUGGAGGAACAAAAGGGGGGGGGGGAAUCCAAGACCUUUUUCUCAGAUGGAGAAAUUCCGAGAUUGCCUGUCCGACUGCGGACUGCAAGACCUUUUUCUCAGAUGGAGAAAUUCCGAGAUUGCCUGUCCGACUGCGGACUGGCGAACAUGGGAUCCACGGGUUACUAUUUCACAUGGGAUAAUAAGAGACCGGAUGGGGAUAAUAUCCAGGUUAGGCUGGAUCGAGCGUUGUGUAAUGUUGACUUCAUGUCCUUAUACCCAGCUUCGAGGGUGGAAAACAUUGUUACGGAGGAGUCUGAUCAUAUGGAUGUUCUUAUCCGGGUGUUGGAGACUGCUCCGGACACUGGAAGGAGAAAGGAUCGGCCAUUUCAAUUCGAGGAGAUGUGGACAAAGCAUGAUGGGUAUGAUCCAAUGGUGGAACAAGCAUGGCGACAACAGGGACAGUGCAUGGGGCCGAAUGAACUAUGCACGAAACUUGGACACAUCUCAAGGAAGAUGCAACAGUGGGGUAGCUCGGUAUUUGGCUCAGUCACACGACAAAUCAGACUACUCAAGAAUCAACUGAAGGAUGCGAAAGAAAGAGCCCUAUUAUCAGGUUAUACUCAGGAGGUUCGUGACAUUGAGAGCAAUUUAAAAGACAUCUUUGAGAGGGAAGAGGUUAUGUACAAACAGAGAUCAAGAGUUGCCUGGCUGAAGGAAGGAGACCAAAAUACUAAGUACUUUCAGAACAGGGCAUCACAUAGAAGGAGGAAGAACACUGUUAGGGUUUUGAAGGGAGAGAAUGGUGUGAGCUGCUCGUCGGAUGAGGGUAUGAGGGAACUAGCUGCUAGGUUCUAUGAAAAACUUUUCCAAACGGAGGGGUGCAACCAGACGGAACACAUUCUGGACCUCUUUCAAAACCUCAUCUCCCCGGCUAUGAAUGAGAAACUUACGGAAGUGGCUACGGACUGUGAAAUAGAGAUUGCUCUAUUCCAAAUGGGACCGACAAAAGCACCUGGACCGGACGGACUACCAACGCUAUUCUAUCAACGUCACUGGGCGUUGAUAAAGGAAGAGGUUUGUAGGUCGAUUCGUGAUUACCUUGAUGGAACUGAGCCGGUGGAAGGAUUAAACGAAACGGUUCUGGUGUUGAUCCCCAAAAUCAAUUCACCGGAGCUUCUCUCACAGUUUCGGCCCAUCAGUUUAUGCAAUGUUCUGUAUAAAAUCGCGGCAAAGGUCUUGGCUAACAGAUUGAAAAUUAUUCUCCCGCUCCUUAUCUCUGAAGAGCAAAGUACGUUUGUGCCGGAACGCCUCAUUACGGACAAUGUGCUAAUUGCUUAUGAAUGCGUGCAUGCUAUUAGAAAGCGGGAGCGGAAGAAGCCACUUUCUGCAGUCAAGUUGGACAUGAUGAAGGCCUACGAUAGGGUGGAGUGGGAUUUUCUCCAGCUAGUUAUGGCCAAACUUGGCUUUGCUCCAAAAUGGAUAUCUAUGAUCACGCGAUGCAUUAGUAGUGUUCGCUUUCGUGUCAAGCUAAAUGGGGGACUAUCAAGGAAUUUCCAGGCUACAAGGGGACUCAGGCAGGGGGAUCCCCUGUCCCCAUAUCUGUUCUUGUUCUGCGCUGAAGGUUUCUCGGCACUGCUUAAACAGGCGCAAAAUGAGCAGUGGAUCCAUGGUGUUCAAUUUGGGAGCACUGGCCCCCAUGUCACCCAUCUUUUAUUUGCUGAUGACAGUAUUGUGUUUCUGGAAGGGUCAGAGGAUAAUCUAAACACACUCAAGGAGAUUUUGCAACAGUACCAACAUGCCUCGGGAUAGAAGGUAAAUCUUCAAAAAUCGGCUAUCUUUUUUGGCAAAGGGUGUAGGGAGACAGGUAAGGAGGCUCUUAAGCAAGUAAUAGGAAUUGCAUCCGAAGCAUUAAGUGAAAAAUACCUUGGUAUCCCCACAGUAGUGGGCAAAUCAAAGGAGGGAUCCUUCCAGUAUGUCAAAGAGAGUGCAAGGAGUAAAGUAUCAGGAUGGAAGGGGCAAGGUUUAUCCAAAAAAGCACGAGAAAUUCUGAUAAAAUCCGGGCUUCAAUCCACUCCAACGUUCACCAUGAGUUGCUUCCAACUAUCCAAGAAAAUGUGCGGGAACCUGACAUCAAUCUCUUCAAACUUUUGGUGGGGAGCAAAUCAGGGCGUGAGGAAGGUGCAUUGGAUUGCCUGGGAUAAAAUGUGCUUACCUAAGAGGGAUGGAGGGAUGGGUUUCAGAAAUUUUGAAGCGUUUAACCAGGCUUUGCUCGCUAAGCAAGCAUGGCGGUUACUCCAAUUUCCCUCAUCGCUAUGUGCCCGAGUUCUUAAAGCCAAAUACUAUCAAGACUGCUCGAUCAUGAAUGCUACAUGUCCAAGUGGGGCCUCGUUUACCUUCAAGAGCAUAAUUCAUGGUAGGGAACUCCUGAGAGAAGGCAUCAUCUGGCGGAUUGGCGAUGGCACGCAAAUCAGUAUUCACCAUGAGAAUUGGAUUCCUCGUGAAGGUAGCUUAAGGCCUCUCGGGCAGUCCUAUAUACCGGGAGUAACGCGAGUUUGCGACUUGCUUACUACCGAUGGAUCUUCAUGGGAUUAUGAGAAACUGCACCUGAUGUUCUCGGAGGAUGAUGCAUGCGAUAUAAAGCAAAUUCCCGUCGGGGGACUGAACUGCAGCGACCAUCAAGCUUGGAACUUCACCAAAUCGGGUCAGUUCACUGUCAGAUCGGCCUAUCACUUGUGCAUGAGGAAGAAAUAAUCUAUUGCCGGACGGCCGGAGCCAUCAUCAUCGCUAUCCAGACACCAAAGUUGGUUAGCACUAUGGAACACCAAUGCACCUGGUAAAGCUAAGGUUCAUAUGUGGCGGCUGAUUAAAAACGGGCUGGCAGUUGGAGCGGAGUUGCAACGCAGAAGGAUAAAACCAGGGAUCUUAUGUAUGGUAUGUGGCCGAGAGGAAACCACUCUGCAUAGAUUCUGGCGAUGCCCACAUUCUGCUAUGGUUUGGGAGGUGCUAAACUCUGAGAAGGGUGCCCUGGUGACUUUGCCGCCGGUCCCGGAUGGAGAUCACCGUGCUGUAGCUUCCUGGCUGCUAAGUUGGCUAGCACAGGCAGGCGAAAGCGAAAAGGAACUAACAAUCCAGGCAUUGUAUGGACUUUGGCUAGCUAGAAACGAGGCAAGAGAUGACCAGAGGAUUGCUGAUCCAAAAAGUGUUGCAAACAACAUCUACCAACACACUAUGGAGUGGUUAAACAUCCACGCUCGUCAGCCUAGGAAUGUUACUCCAACGCUGGUGGCGAGAUGGAACCCACCUGAACGAGGAUGGUUGAAGGCCAACUCUGACGGAGCUUUAGCCAAAGCGCGCAAUCGUGGAGGGGGGGGGGUGUAGUUCUUCGUGAUCAUGAUGGAGCCUAUAGAGGAGGCGCCUGCUAUGUGUUCAAGGAUGUUUCUCAUCCUGAGGUGGCGGAGGUACUUGCUUGUCGGGAGGCGGUGCAGCUGGCAAUCCAAACGGGAGCGCUGAAGGUGCACGUCGAAGUUGACAGUAUGGCAGUAGCGGCUAUGGUGAACGAGCAGGCCAAGAAUUUAAGUCUGCUGGUACUAUCAUGGAGGAGAUUAAGUUGAUGGGUCGUACUUUGCAGGGAUUCAAAGUGUCUUGGAUUAGACAUACGGGUAAUAAUGCUGCACACUUACUUGCUAAAGAGGGCAUCUCUAGGGAUAGUAAUAGUUUCUGGCCUAAUGACCCUCUGAUUGUAUUCUUCAUGUAAUAUCGGAUGAAAUCCCUGUGGGAGGAACUUAAAUAAAGCUGGAUGGAGAUUCUCAAAUUUUUUUUGUCCAUAUAUGUCCGGUCGGACAGCCAGGACAGGGUCCGAAGAAGGGAGGGAGAAAAAUAAAACGUAAGUGUAACUCCAACGGGCCGACCCAAACGGACGGUGAUUUUGUCCCUUUUUUGUACGUUUGGAUCGACCGCCGGCUCCGCGUCCGCCCACUUUUCUUUUUGGGUCGGCCAUGCGCCUAAUGCGGGCGAUUCAUUUUAUGUCCGCACAUUAGAUUAAAAAUGCUUCAUGUCAACGCCCAAGAGUUCAUGCCAGCGGCUGACAUACAUUGCCAGCCUCCAUAAAACCACUACGUAGUUCAUGCUGACAAACUUGCCACCGGCCAGCACAUGCCAGCACACAAAAAGCCGCGAGAAUUCGACCACGCCCGUGGUCAUGAUAGCACACUUGCCGACAUACAAGAAAGCAUGACGUGUAUGCCUUCGUCCGCUUGCUAUUGCACUUCGGCUUAGCCCCGACAGAAGUUUGGUUGGCGAGCUCCUCCUCGAACAAAGGCUCCUCGUCGAUGUCCAUGUCAUCGUCCUCCUCCUCAAGGCCGUAGUCCUCCGAGAACUCAUGAUCGAGCGGGAAGCCGUCUAGGCCGACCUGAUCUUGCAUGAAGGCGUCAUGUAGAUCAUUGGUGGCUUGCGUGAACGACGCUCGACCUUUAUGACUUUGGGUCUCAUCGGGAUCGUACGCACCAGCCGCCGGUGCAACUUCGAAGGUCACGUUUUCCAGGAAACGGUUGGCCGUAUCAUCAUUGACGGCCGCCAGCAUUCCGUUGGAUAGAUUGCAGGCACCGGUGAGCAUGUCGGCUGGUAUUUCGCGCUAGUGUUUCCUCAUGCCUCCGGACGAUGAUCCGCCUACCACUGGCGCUGCGUUGAGGUCGAUGGUCACCGACGCGGGCGUGGAAGGAGGCAUGAUGGUCACCUCCGGCGAGCAUUCCUCGGAGAAGCGGCUGCCUUGCGAGGUAGACGUGGAAGCCGGGAAUCGAUUGCGUGCAAGACGCGAGCGGCGACUCUGGCAUCAUCAUCUCAGGAUAUGUUGACGAGCCCGUACUGACCACGGCCGUGGCAACGGCAGUGUUGACAAGCCAAUGUUGGCCAGGGUUUACCUCUAGGUACAACAAGGCCUCCAUUGUUGCCGCCUUCACCCGGGCAUUGGUUUCUUCCUGCUGCGCGGCGGCGGCGGCAGCUGCCUCGCUCUUGCAUUCGGCGCGUGCCUUCGACCCUUCCUCUUGGCCGACUCCACGGUCUUCUCCUCGGGCGUCAACUCCUUCUUCUUCUUCUCAGGCGGAGCCCCCGCCUUACGGGGGGCGCGGGCCUUUCCUUUGCCUUCGGCGGCGACGACGGACGUCUUCAUUGAGGCAAUGGCGGCGGCGGCCUCGAAGUCGUCAUCCAUGACGACGGGAGCGGGUGCGGGAGUGAGGGCGAAAGUUUGGGGAAAAUGGAGGAAAAAAGUGGCCGCUUUGUCGCCGACUUGCAGGCCACGGAGGGAAGUAGGCGCACGCUGCGCGCGUCCGUUUUAUGUCCGCGAAUAUGCAAAUCAAGCGCAAAAUUAGGCCGGGAGUGGGUCGGCAGGCAGACAAAAACGUUUUGUCCAUUGGGGUCGGCGCGUUGGGCCAACUUUUUGUCCGCGCCGACCCAAACGAACGGCGACACAUGAAAUGGGUCGCCCCAUUGGAGUUGCUCUAACCUAACCUCCGGCCAAUUCUAGCGCAUGACUCCAAACAGACGCCCGCUUUGACCUGCUUUUGUCCGUUUGGGGCGUCAAUGAGGAAGCCCAUGUCUGGAUAGGGACGUUGUCGGAUCGGUGCACCCAACGGACAGCCGCGCCCCAAAUCAUGUCGUGGUGGACAUGAUAUAAAAAAUAUCUCAUCUCCUCUCUGACUUUUUUCAUGCUCUCUCGCUCGCUUGCUUGCUGCGAGCGGAGGGGGCCUGCUCCGGGCUCCAAUGAGUCGAAUUGCUCUGCUCCGGGCUGGGACGAUGAGGGAGGAGGAGGAGCCCAGCUGGUUCGCUCUCUUCGACGAGGACCUGCCGGCGCCCGACGAGCUCAUGCCGCUCUCGCAGUCGCUCAUCACCCGCGAUCUCGCCGCCACCUUCGACAUCCCUAUGCACGGGGGCGGCCCGCUCAGCCGCGCGGCAGAGCACCGGCGUCGCGGAGAUGAACGGCGGGGCCUCAUCGAUCGCCGGGUCCAGUGGCGACAACGGGGGCUGCAACGACGAGGAUCCGACCAGGACUCUCAAGCGCCAUCACCCCAUGUGGACGCCACAGCUGCACAAGCGCAUGCAGCGCCUCGGCAACGGCGACGGCGGGGGAGGCAGCCACGAUGCUGCUCCUCAUGCUCUGUGAAAAAGAGGAGAGAAAAGGAUGCGUGGGUGGGCCCCAUGAGUUUCAAUGACAGACGGGCCAGCCCUCACAUGCAACAGACACAACUCGGAUGAGGAGUGCCUAGAAAGUGUGUGCGUGUGUCCGCUUUGGCCUCAAAUUCAGAUCAAAUUUGGUUCACAAAUGGGAUAGAACGGACAUGAAACAGACAAUAUGGAUCCAGGCCGUCGCGCGCUGAGCCAUGAGGUUUGUCCAUUUUGCCCCAAACGAACAGGACCGGACGGGAUGGGGUUGUGUGCUGGAGUUGGCCUCCCAAAUCGUCCCAUGUGUCGAGUGGCGAAUCUUGAAAGAAAAUGAAGGGAUGGCUUAAAGUUAACGGUGUGUAGAAAAGUCAAAAAAUACCAAUUUUUUAUUGUAAACAAGGUUAAAAUUUUGACAGAAAUACUAAUAAUUGUUUGUUUUCAAUUUUUGGAGGGGGGCUUUUUUUUCCAAGGUUAAAAUUUUGACAGAAAUACUAAUAAUCGUUCCAAGGUUAAUAUACUAAUAAUCGGUUCACCCACCUAGUACUACUUUUUUUUCCCUUUCUUCUUCUUCUUAUUCUCUCCCUUUCAAUCCCCACCAAUCUUAUCGGACAUAAGGUUGACAAGAAAAAUAAAAUCCAAGACCUGAAAUUGGAGGAUCUAGGCAGCUAUUCAUGAGAUAUGACCAUGUAGCAAGGAGAGGAGAGUUGGAGUCUUGGAGAGACAUGCAUGGAGGUUUCCUAACAAAAAAGGCCACCACACCACACAUCAGUCUGGCAUUGCUAGUGUACGUGCUGCCAAGUGGCUUGUCCAUGCUCGCCACUAUUUCAACAAAUGGCAGGGCAGGCUUUCCCCCCUGGUCAAGGCCAAUGGAGUUGCCCUUGUCUUCUUCCACCUGUUGUUUGCGAGAUUCCAACAGACAAUGGCGCAACCCUUGAUAGGGCCGGCCACCAGAGGCGGAGGGACAAUUGAUAUGGAUCUGAAUCGUCUGAUCUGAUCAACCACAAACACAACCGCACGCACCGCAGCUGCAUGCUCUGAUCACUCCCGCAGAAAAAACCACGGGGAGCAUUUACUUCCCUGCGAAUUAUAAGAUGAGGAGAGGAAAUGUCGCCCCGAUCAUCAUGACUCACAAGGAGCAUCGUGCAACUCAAAAGGGGGAGAGAGAGGACUGAGAAGGUUGAAAGUGUGCUGCAUGCAUGCAUGCGUGCAUGCUUGGGAGUGUGAAACCAGGGGCACACGGUACAGUGGCAGUGCAGGAGACAAGCACAACUGCCUCCCUACAGCUAGCUAGAGGCAUGCCGAGGUUAGCGAAAGAAAAAUGCUGAUCGAUGGGGGUGGAUUGAGGGGUGACCCGGUAAAGCGUAUUAUGAUUGAGAUUUUCAUCAUUUCAGCUGACAAAAGGAACCGAUAUGAUAGAGGCUGGAAAGGCUGCGCGUCGCUAUGUAGGAGUACCUCACAAUGCAUGCAUGGAGCACUCUGACGUGUUCAAGAUAGUAAUCAAAUUAUAUAUGCUCUAGUUUUAUUUAAUGUCAACACACACACUCAUGUUGUUUUUAAUGAUGUGGCAUUAGACGCCGCAGGCCAAUAAGAUCAACUACACACACAUAUAGUAACUAAAUUCCCGGCGUUCCUUUUCUAAGCAAAAACAUUAAUUCAUGUCAAACCAAGCGCAAUAUGAAGGUAAAGAUCGUUUGCUGUUAAUUCAACCGAGUAGCAAAUGCAUGCAUGCGUUUGCAUUGACAUCGUCAAAUAAUCAAAUAAUGUAUGGAUGUGUGCAUCUAUUGAUGUAGAUACCAGGAGUGUUAUCCUCCUUUUCCAAAAUAAAUAAAUGCAUGCAUGGGUACUUGUGAAUAUGAAAUGUGGCAAAGCAUACCAAUUGUGCAUGCCAAUCCUUUGUCCAGAAGGCCGUUAAUUAACUACUCAAUUGUGCAUUAUCAAAACCCAAAACCUCAGCCUACUUAAGGACUAGCUGGAUUCUGCAUCAUAUGAUAGAUAUAUAGUCCAAGCUGACCACAUCGACUAAAUAGUGCAUUCAAAAUUCCUUUAGAUGCCGACAUCCCAAUUUAAUCUCUACACAUAUUCGGCUGUCACACAAGGCGAACAGAGUAUUAAAAUGAACACAUGUGAUGUAAAUGAAAGCACAACGCAUGCAUCCAUGCUCCAAAUGCAUCAAGGUUGCAGACUUGGUGUUACACAAAGACCAAGAGAUAUGAAACAAAAACAAAACACCAUUAUUAAUUAGUAAGAACUAUAUUUAAUUAAUAAAUCCAGUCAGAUCAUACCAGAUUAAUUUACAAACCUAGGAGUUGUAUUACUGGAAGUGGUGUUGACCAUGUUGCCGUUGAACCCAUCAAAACCAUUGAUCAGUUCAUCACCAGCGACAACCCUUCUCAGAAUACCCAUACCUCUGGUCUGGCCAUGGCCUGCAAACACACCCAUAUAUAGUUAAAUUAGUGCAUGUGUCUUAUCACACUACAAAAUACAAACAUUUGUGUACAAGUUAGCUAUAGUUGUGCCUUAUGGGGCACACAGCUAGCUACAGAUGACACGCACUUAUCCCAUUCCAAUAAUUCACCACUGUGUGUGACAUGACCUUGGAUAAAUUAACUCAAGCCAUGAAAUUAAUUCCAAGGGCAUGCAACGAGGUGUGUUAAGGAUCUAGGCACCAUGUGUUUUACCUGCAACGCAUGAUCGGUCUGUGCCCUUCACUGUUCUAUACAUCUGCAUGCAAGAAAACAAGUAGAAAAAUAUGAAGAUGGUAAUUAAUUAGCUUAAUCUAUUAUGCUUCCAUUUGGUUUAUAUUUUCUCAAGGACAUAUAAUUCUAGAAUAAUUAGUUAUGGGGUGUAGAUAUAUUUAGGGCAGAAGACUAGAGACAAAAAAGGACAAGAGGUACUCGGUAUCAACUAACAACAAGAAGCUACUAUAUGCAUUCCAUCCUUUUGUUUUUGAGUGANNNNNGGAAGAUAGCACACUGAGAAAAGGAAGUUUGAGCUAGCACAGUGAGAAACUUGCCUGCAGGUGGCUCUUAACAUGAGCGAGUGUAAGAUCCUUCACGUUCAUCAGUUCCAAUACUGACUUUGGUGUUGCUCCUACAAGAUGUUGUAUCAAAUAAAAAUGGAAGCGAGUUUUAGAGACCAGCAAGGGUUAAUCAUGCAUAGAUGGAGAUUAAAAUCAGUACAAACAGACAAGUUUGAAUGAAUUUGUAUGGCACUCUUAUUCUUUUGAUGACAGCAAAGAACCAUAGGAUAUAACCUUCUCGGAAAAUCAAGAUGUAGAAAACACUAAAGAUCAAACAAAAGGCACCAAAGGAAACACCAUGCAGCCUCCCCAAAGGCAAUUGGCAAGAGGUCAUCUGAUUAUAUCCGCUACUAAUUAAUCAAUUACCCGUUCAGGCUGAAGAACCCACGUUGCUCAAAUACCAGCAAGGAAACAAAAUCAUCACAUCAAACACUCACAUCUACUGGUUUAAUAGUAAUUAGUAAAUACCCUAUUGUUAGUUAAACAAUCUUGAGUUUGUAAAUGAACAUACUCUCAUGGCCACCAAGGAGCUCCACUGCACGCACAAAGUGUGCGUGCAGCGCUGUGGUCCACCGCAUCCUAGGAGCCCUCGAGCUCCUCUUCCGGCCACCAGCUGCUGGCCGUGCCACAGCACCGCCGGCGGCAGGACAGGAGCUCUUUUUGAAUCCAUGGGCGUUGUUCGGCUGGUGCAGCACCUCCUCCAGGCCACGGUGCCUCUUUGCCGCGGCCUCAUGGAGCCCCAGCCGCACCUCGCCUUCGUUGCCCACCGCCGGACAAGGCGACGGAGGGCUGUGAAGGGAGAGAUCAGGAGGAAUUGCCGUGGUAAUAGAACAAGCCUCGGGAAGAGGGGGUGGAGGAGGAGUGUUCAUUGUAGCUAGCAAUGGAAUCUUGUUGUGUCCGUAUCAGAAGGAAAAGAAGGAUUGGGUGAUUAGGUCAUGAGUGCAAUAUCAUUUUUGUGUUGGGAUUUGUACAUGUUGAGAGAAAGAGAGAGAUGGUGGAAAGGGAAGAUGCUAUAGGGAUAUAGAUGGAGAUUUUUCAAUCAAUGCUAUGCUGCUAUGGUGAUAGAGGAGGGGAGAGGGGAUGGCAUUUGGCAGUGCCCCAGGUUGGGAAUAAGGAUGGGAGAGAGGGGCAAUCAUGAAAUGGGAAAGGGAGACAGAGCGUUUGGAUCGUGACAUGCUCUAACGGAAUGGUCGUAUUUAAGGGAUGUACACAACCCUUCCAAAAGUUUAAAAAUGGUAAUAUUGUCCUUUACAACUAAUUACUACUCCCUCGAUCUUCUAAUAUAAGAGUGUGUUUUUAACACUAGAGUGUACUGUCAAAAGAAAACUUUUGGUUCCUAGGUGUAUAUACAUCCUAUAUAAAUAAAUUAACAACUCAAUAAAAAGUUAAAAUGUUUUGAAAUAAACUUGACCUUCCAUUAUACUUAUGAAAAAGAAUCACAAAAGAAAAAGUACACUUUUACUUCUAUUAAAAAACAAUUUUUUGAAAAAUAGUAUGAAUAGUGACAUAUAAUAAUAAAUAAAUUUUGUCCUUUUGCCAAGAAGUCAAUACUGGUGUUUUUUCAUGAAAAUUUAUAUACUGAUGCAAAACAAAAUAAAGUUUAAUCUAAAAUACUUAUGAACUAAUUUAACUUUUCAUUUAAUUAUAAAAAAGUCUUUAUAUAGGGUGCAUAUAUUCAAACCAAAGUGUAUUUUCCAUUAAAAAUGCUUUUAUAUUAUGAGAGGGAAAGUACCUGCUAACUGGGAUUAGAGUAAGCUGGCUCCUAUACAUUACUCAUGUGUUCAUGUAUGGACCCAUAUAAUCGUCACUCCUUCUGAAGUAUGUAGUGAGACUCCUGCUUCGUUGGAGUCUUUUUUUUUUCGAGGCCUCUCAAUCAGGAGGAUGCGGAUGCAUACAAUCAUGUAUUACUAGUGGCUGGGGCGUGCCAUUGGCAUGCCUCCUGAUUGUUCAUGUGCGUACUUAUCUAGCUUACGCACUUCUAUGGGUAUAUGUUGAUCCUUGAUAGCAUUUAUAUAUAGCAAAAAGGAUUUUCAAACAAGUGAAAGCCUCGAUGCUUAUGUGCUAGGAAAAGAUCAGUCCCAUAAAAUACGACUUGCUACUUUUGGAUGAACACAAGUUCAUGUACAGGCAUGUGACCGAUGUCGAUUUGAUAACACAUUCAUUAAGAACAAUAAACGUCUUCUGCUACUCUUAUGUUGAACUGUUGCGCAGCAAAGACUCCUGCGAGGAGUCACCAGGUCUAGGAUAGACACCAUAGCAAUAGACAAAAGGGCAAGGCUAGUAUUCGUUGUACAUAAGACUACACAAUAUUUUUUUAGAAAAAGAGGCAACGCCCCGGCCUCUGCAUCGAGAGAUGCAUGCAGCCCUUUAUUAAUUAAAAAGAAACUAAAUCCGGAAUGAGUACAACAAUGCUGAGAGUAAAGAACAAGAACAAAUCGAUACAAAGCGCCCAAAGCGCGCAAGCAGCGAAAGUAUAAUAAGUAGAUGCCUAGCCACCUAUCCUAUUAGCUUGCCGCCAUCCAAACCGGUUGAAGAUAACCUGUGCUACCAUCUCCCAGCGGAUACACCCAGUAACCAUAAGCUCCCUGGAAUCCGCAGGAGUGAGUAAUGACCACGUGCGGGUCAGUGCGGUAGCCCUGUAUAUAACCUGCAAAAAAUGUAUAGAUGUGCAUCUGUUAAAAACUAAAUCAUUCCUGCAGUUCCAAAUUGCCCAUAGUAAUGCGCAAGCUCCAACCCGGAUACUCUUUGCCAAAUGACCACCAACUCCCUGUACCCACGUCCCAAACAACGUGUUGACACUAGUGGGGGGGUGAUAUUAAAAGCAAUGUGUAUAGAACGCUACAAGAUUUUAGCCAUCGGACAUUGGAAAAAGAGGUGCUUGAUAGUUUCCUUGUUGUCACAAAAGUUGCAUCGCUGGUUACCUUUCCAUUUACGUUUUGCCAAGUUGUCUUUCGUGAGGAUAACACCUUUGUGAACGAACCACAUAAAGAUCUUUAUCCUCAACGGAACUUUGACCUCCCAGACAUGCUUGGAUCUUGGAAUGUACACUGAAUCGAUAAGAUGAAGGUACAUAGAUUUUACCGAAAAGGAUCCAUCCUUAGUUAGCUUCCAACGAAUAGUGUCGGGCCUAUCCGACAGUUGGAUUUGCAUUAAUCUUCUAACUAAGUGUAGCCAUCUGGUCCAUCUUUCACCGACCAAAGAUCGACGAAACCUGAUAUUUAGAGGCGUGUUGCUCAAGACUGCCGCAACCGACGCUUGUCUGCGUUGCACAAUAUUGUAUAGCUGCGGAUAUUCCAGCGCUAUGGGGCACAUCCCCUAACCAUGUAUCCUCCCAGAAUCUAGUUGAUUCACCAUUAGCAAUGACAAACCUAGUCUGGUUAAAAAACACGUUCUUACACCGCAUCAAUCCUUUCCAAAAUGCAGAAUCAUUGGGUUUAACGGUCACCUGAGCUAAGGUCUUAUGUUGCAAGUACUUAUUCCUUAGAAUUUGCACCCACAUGCCUUCGGUUUCUACCGAAAUUCUAAACAGCCAUUUACUUAGCAAGCAUAUGUUUUUAACCUCUAAAUUCUCCACCACUAAACCUCCUUGAUCUCUAGGUCUGCAAAUUAUGUCCCAUUUAGUAAGCUUAUACUUUGUUCUCACUUCAUCACUUUGCCAAAAGAAAUGUGACCGAUAGAAAUCUAACCUCUUCCUUACCCCUUUAGGUAACUCGAAGAAGGAUAAGAGGAACAUCGGCAUACUGGUUAAUACUGAAUUAACAAGUACUAGACGUCCUCCAUAAGAUAGAAGCUUGCCUUUCCAGCAACUUAGCUUCUUUUUGAAUCGGUCUUCGAUGCAUUUCCACUCCUUGUUUGUAAGUUUCCGGUGAUGGAUAGGCACCCCCAGAUAAGUGAACGGAAAAGUCCCACACUCACACCCAAACAGUUGGUUGUAAGGAUGCUGUUCCGCCUUUGCCCUUCCAAAACAAAAUAUUUCACUUUUGUUAAAGUUAAUCUUUAACCCAGACAACUGUUCAAACAAGCAUAAGAUGACACAAUAUGGUAAAGACCUAUAACUUUUAAAAGAUAGAAGUAUAAAUAAUAAAAUAUACUCUGUACAUUACCAUACAUGAAAUUAAUAAAUAAUAAGGUCAUGUUGUUGAUGAUUAAAUUUGUUUCAAGCACAAACACAAUAACUGAACCAUUUGACCGUCUCAUAUCAGGUUUGAUCAUAAGUUUGCUUUCGUAGUUCAGGGCGAGUUGUAACAUCAUCCUCAAUGUGUGCUACCAACUACCAAGUUCUCCCAACUUUCGUCCACCAAAAGCACAAAAAACAACUUUUCGUUUUCUAGUAUAAUGCACCUUUUAAGUCUAUAAACCUUUUACGAUCUUAUCAGAGAAGCCUGGUGUGGCAGAGCUGGUUAUAAAUAAUCAAGAACUUGUGAACUUAUAGUAAAUUCGUAAACAAAAAAUACUUUUUGAAAAGAAGAAACAAUUUGACCUUUGCUAGGCUAAACAAAAGAUAAAAGAUCAUGAUAAUAUUUAAAUGACAACAAAGAUGGUUAGGUACAUACGUUUUUUGAUAGGUCACUGCCUAUCUCCAUGGUACGCAAGCACAGAGGAAUUAUUUCAGUUUGUAGGAGAAAGCCGAUAACCUCAGUAUCAUCAACAUGCAUGCAUAAUAAGAGGGUCAAAAAACUUCUUGCAAAAGCAAGAAGAAAACAUUUGGUAUUUAGAAACACAUGCAACUAUUCCAAAAUCAAGAAGAAAACAUUAGAUAGAAAAUUGCUUAUUUAUAAGUCAAUUGUAGUAAGCAGCAUCUAACCGUUAGUAUGCAAUAGAAAUAUGAUUGACAACGGAAGUGUGACAAUCCGAGACCGACGUUUCAGAAGAUUCCCCUUCUAUUCCGUUUUCUUCGUGUGUUUAUUUUAUUUGUCGCAUCAUCAUCGCAUCAUGCUGUUGGGGAACGUCGCAUGGGAAACAAAAAAUUUCCUACGCGCACGAAGACCUAUCAUGGUGAUGUCCAUCUACGAGAGGGGAUGAGUGAUCUACGUACCCUUGUAGAUCGUACAGCAGAAGCGUUAGUGAACACGGUUGAUGUAGUGGAACGUCCUCACGUCCCUCGAUCCGCCCCGCGAACAAUCCCGCGAUCAGUCCCACGAUCUAGUACCGAACGGACGGCACCUCCGCGUUCAGCACACGUACAGCUCGACGAUGAUCUCGGCCUUCUUGAUCCAGCAAGAGAGACGGAGAGGUAGAAGAGUUCUCCGGCAGCGUGACGGCGCUCCGGAGGUUGGUGAUGACCUUGUCUCAGCAGGGCUCCGCCCCAGCUCCGCAGAAACGCGAUCUAGAGGAAAAACCGUGGAGGUAUGUGGUCGGGCUGCCGUGGAAAAGUCGUCUAAAAUCAGCCCUAAAACCUCCGUAUAUAUAGGUGGGAGGGAGGGGAGGAGGCAGCCUCAAAACCUAAAGGUUUGGCCGAAAUUGGAGGUGGAGGAGUCCUACUCCAAUCCUACUUGGAGUAGGAUUCCACCUUCCCACUUGGAAACUCUUUCCACCUUGUGUUUUUUCCUUCUCAAACCUUAUGGGCCUUAGUGGGAACUUAUUCCAGCCCACUAGGGGCUGGUUUAUAUCUUCCCAUAGCCCAUGAGACCCCUUGGGGCGUGACACCCCUCCCGAUGGUCCCCGGCACCCCUCCCGGCACUCCCGGUACACUACCGAUGAGCCCGAAACUUUUCCGGUAAUGCACGAAAACCUUCCGGUAACCAAAUGAGGUCAUCCUAUAUAUCAAUCUUUGUUUCCGAACCAUUCCGGAAACCCUCGUGACGUCCGUGAUCUCAUCCGGGACUCCGAACAACAUUCGGUAACCAACCAUAUAACUCAAAUACGCAUAAAACAUCGUCGAACCUUAAGUGUGCAGACCCUGCGGGUUCGAGAACUAUGUAGACAUGACCCGAGUGACUCCUCGGUCAAUAUCCAAUAGCGGGACCUGGAUGCCCAUAUUGGAUCCUACAUAUUCUACGAAGAUCUUAUCGUUUGAACCUCAGUGCCAAGGAUUCAUAUAAUCCCGUAUGUCAUUCCCUUUGUCCUUCGGUAUGUUACUUGCCCGAGAUUCGAUCGUCAGUAUCCGCAUACCUAUUUCAAUCUCGUUUACCGGCAAGUCUCUUUACUCAUUCCGUAAUACAAGAUCCCGCAACUUACACUAAGUUACAUUGCUUGCAAGGCUUGUGUGUGAUGUUGUAUUACCGAGUGGGCCCCGAGAUACCUCUCCGUUCACACGGAGUGACAAAUCCCAGUCUUGAUCCAUACUAACUCAACUAACACCUUCGGAGAUACCUGUAGAGCAUCUUUAUAGUCCCCCAGUUACGUUGCGACGUUUGAUACACACAAAGCAUUCCUCCGGUGUCAGUGAGUUAUAUGAUCUCAUGGUCAUAGGAAUAAAUACUUGACACGCAGAAAACAGUAGCAACAAAAUGACACGAUCAACAUGCUACGUCUAUUAGUUUGGGUCUAGUCCAUCACGUGAUUCUCCUAAUGACGUGAUCCAGUUAUCAAGCAACAACACCUUGUUCAUAAUCAGAAGACACUGACUAUCUUUGAUCAACUGGCUAGCCAACUAGAGGCUUGCUAGGGACGGUGUUUUCUCUAUGUAUCCACACAUGUAAAUGAGUCUUCAUUCAAUACAAUUAUAGCAUGGAUAAUAAACGAUUAUCUUGAUACAGGAAUUAUAAUAAUAACUAUAUUUAUUAUUGCCUCUAGGGCAUAAUUCCAACAGUCUCCCACUUGCACUAGAGUCAAUAAUCUAGCCCUCACAUCACCAUGUGAAUUACAUUGUAAUAAAUCUAACACCCAUACAGUUCUGGUGUUGAUCAUGCUUUGGCCGUGGAAGAGGUUUAGUCAGCGGGUCCGCUACAUUCAGAUCCGUGUGCACUUUGCAUAUAUUCACGUCCUCUCCCUCGACGUAGUCACGGAUGAGGUUGAAGCAUCGUUUGAUGUGUCUGGUCUUCUUGUGAAACCGUGGUUCCUUUGCUAAGGCAAUGGCACCAGUGUUGUCACAGAACAAGGUUAUUGGAUUCAGUGCGCUUGGCACCACUCCAAGAUCCGUCAUGAACUGCUUCAUCCAGACACCCUCCUUAGCCGCCUCCGAGGCAGCCAUGUACUCCGCUUCACAUGUAGAAUCUGCUACGACGCUUUGCUUGGAACUGCACCAGCUUACUGCACCCCCAUUAAGAAUAAAUACGUAUCCGGUUUGCGACUUAGAGUCGUCCGGAUCCGUGUCAAAGCUUGCAUCGACGUAACCUUUUACGGCGAGCUCUUCGUCACCUCCAUACACGAGAAACAUCUCCUUAGUCCUUUUCAGGUACUUGAGGAUAUUCUUGACCGCUGUCCAGUGAUCCACUCCUGGAUUACUCUGGAACCUACCUGCCAUACUUAUGGCCAGGCUAACAUCCGGUCUAGUACACAACAUCGCAUACAUGAUAGAACCUAUGGCUGAAGCAUAGGGGACAGAGCGCAUAUGCUCUCUAUCUUCAUCAGUUGCUGGGCACUGAGUCUUACUCAAUCUCGUUCCUUGUAGAACUGGCAAGAACCCUUUCUUGGACUGUUCCAUUUUGAACCUCUUCAAAACUUUAUCAAGGUAUGUGCUUUGUGAAAGUCCUAUCAGGCGUUUUGAUCUAUCCCUAUAGAUCUUAAUGCCUAGAAUGUAAGCAGCUUCUCCUAGGUCCUUCAUAGAGAAACUUUUAUUCAAGUAAUCCUUUAUGCUCUCUAAAAACUCUACGUUGUUUCCAAUCAGUAAUAUGUCAUCCACAUAUAAUAUUAGAAACGCCACAGAGCUCCCACUCACUUUCUUGUAAAUACAAGAUUCUCCAACCACUUGUAUAAACCCAAAUGCUUUGAUCACCUCAUCAAAGCGUUUGUUCCAACUCCGAGAUGCUUGCACCAGUCCAUAAAUGGAUCGCUGGAGCUUGCACACCUUGUUAGCAUUCUUAGGAUCGACAAAACCUUCGGGUUGUAUCAUAUACAACUCUUCCUUAAGGAAACCGUUAAGGAACGCCGUUUUGACAUCCAUCUGCCAGAUUUCAUAAUCGAAAAAUGCAGCUAUUGCUAACAUGAUUCUGACGGACUUAAGCAUUGCUACGGGUGAGAAAGUCUCAUCGUAGUCAACUCCUUGAACUUGUGAAAAACCCUUUGCCACAAGUCGAGCUUUAUAAACGGUCACAUUACCGUCAGCGUCCGUCUUCCUCUUAAAGAUCCAUUUGUUCUGAAUGGCCUUGCGGCCCUGAGGCAGUACCUCCAAAGUCCACACUUUGUUCUCAUACAUGGAUCCUAUCUCGGACUUCAUGGCUUCCAACCAUUUGUUGGAAUCUGGGCCCACCAUUGCUUCUUCAUAAUUCCCAGGUUCAUUGUUGUCCAACAACACGAUUGAUAAGACGGGAUUACCGUACCACUCUAGAGCAGCACGUGGUCUCGUCGACCUGCGUGGUUCGACAGAAACUUGAACUGGAGUUUCAUGAUCAUCAUCAUUAACUUCCUCCUCAACCGGCGUUGCAAUGACAGAGGUUUCCCCUUGCCCUGCGCCACCAUCCAGAGGGAUGAGAGGUUCGACAACCUCGUCAAGUUCUAUCUUCCUCCCACUCAAUUCUCUCGAGAGAAACUCCUUCUCGAGAAAAGCUCCAUUUUUAGCAACAAACACUUUGCCCUCGGAUUUGAGAUAGAAGGUGUACCCAACUGUCUCUUUUGGGUAACCUAUGAAGACGCACCUUUCCGCUUUGGGUUCCAGCUUUUCAGGCUGAAGCUUUUUGACAUAAGCAUCACAUCCCCAAACUUUAAGAAACGACAACUUUGGCCUUUUGCCAUACCACAGUUCGUAUGGUGUCGUCUCAACGGAUUUUCAUGGUGCCCUAUUUAAAGUGAAUGCAGCUGUUUCUAAUGCAUAGCCCCAAAAUGAUAAAUGCAAAUCAGUAAGAGACAUCAUAGAUCGCACCAUCUCUAAUAGAGUACGAUUACGACGUUCGGACACACCAUUACGCUGUGGUGUUCCAGGCGGUGUUAACUGUGAAACAAUUCCACAUUGUCUUAAGUGAGCACCAAACUCGAAACUCAGAUAUUCACCCCCACGAUCAGACCGUAGGAACUUGAUCUUCUUGUUACGAUGAUUUUCCACUUCACUCUGAAAUUGCUUGAACUUUUCAAAUGUUUCAGACUUGUGCUUCAUCAAGUAGACAUAACCAUAUCUACUUAAAUCGUCAGUGAAGGUGAGAAAAUAACGAUAUCCGCCGCGUGCCUCCACGCUCAUCGGACCACACACAUCGGUAUGUAUGAUUUCCAACAAGUCACUUGCACGAUCCAUUGUUCCUGAGAACGGAGUCUUAGUCAUCUUGCCCAUGAGGCAUGGUUCGCACGUGUCAAGUGAAUCAAAGUCAAGUGACUCCAAAAGUCCAUCAGCAUGGAGUUUCUUCAUGCGCUUUACACCAAUAUGACCUAAGCGGCAGUGCCACAAAAAUAUGGCGCUAUCAUUGUUAACUCUAACUCUUUUGGUCUCAAUGUUAUGUAUAUGCGUAUCGCUAUCAAGAUUCAAUAUGAACAAUCCUCUCACAUUCGGUGCAUGACCAUAAAAGAUGUUACUCAUAGAAAUAGAACAACCAUUAUUCUCAGACUUAAAAGAGUAACUGUCUCGCAAUAAACAAGAUCCAGAUAUAAUGUUCAUGCUCAACACAGGCACUAAAUAACAAUGAUUUAAGUUCAUCACUAAUCCUGACGGUAACUGAAGUGACACUGUGCCGACGGCGAUUGCAUCAACCUUGGAACCAUUUCCUACGCGCAUCGUCACUUCAUCUUUCGCCAGCCUUUGCCUAUUCCGCAGUUCCUGUUUCGAGUUGCAAAUAUUAGCAACAGAAGCGGUAUCGAAUACCCAGGCACUACUACGAGAGCCGGUUAAGUACACAUCAAUAACAUGUAUAUCAAAUAUACCUGAUUUUUCUUUGCCCGCCUUCUUAUCUGCCAGAUACUUGGGGCAAUUGCGCUUCCAGUGACCCAUACCCUUGCAAUAGUAACACUCCGUUUCCGGCUUAGGUCCAGCUUUGGGUUUCUUCGUCGGAUUGGCAAUAGGCUUGCCGCUCUUCUUCGAAUUUCCCUUCUUGCCUUUGCCGUUUCUCUUGAAACUAGUGGUCUUAUUCACCAUCAACACUUGAUGCUCUUUACGGAGUUCAGACUCUGCGACUUUCAGCAUCGCAAACAACUCGCCGGGAGACUUGUUCAUCCCUUGCAUGUUGUAGUUCAACACAAAGCCUUUAUAGCUUGGCGGCAGUGAUUGAAGGAUUCUGUCAGUGAUAGCUUCUUGCGGGAGUUCAAUCCCCAGCUCAGCUAGACGGUUUGAGUACCCAGACAUUUUGAGCACAUGUUCACUGACAGAUGAGUUUUCCUCCAUCUUGCAAGCAUAGAAUUUAUCGGAGGUCUCAUACCUCUCGAUCCGGGCGUUCUUCUGAAAGAUAAACUCCAGCUCCUGGAACAUCUCAAAUGCUCCAUGACGCUCAAAGCGACGUUGAAGUCCCGGUUCUAAGCCAUACAAGACUACACAUUGAACUAUUGAGUAGUCCUCCUUACGUGCUAACCAAGCGUUCUUAACAUCCUGAUCAGCCGUAGCGGGUGGUUCAUCUCCUAACGCAGCAUUAAGGACAUAAUCCUUCUUCCCAGCUUGUAAGGUUAGCUUAAGAUUACGAGCCCAGUCUACAAAGUUGCUUCCAUCAUCUUUCAACUUAGCUUUCUCUAGGAACGUAUUAAAAUUCAGGAUGACUGUCGCGUGAGCCAUGAUCUACAACACAAAUAUAUUCAAAGUGGACUUAGACUAUGUUCAAGAUAAUUAGAGUUUAACUUAAUCAAAUUAUUCGCUAAACUCCCACUCAAAAAGUACAUCUCUCUAGUCAUUUGAGUGGUUCAUGAUCCACUUACACUAGCUCAAGUCCGAUCAUCACGUGAGUUGAGUAUAGUUUCAGUGGUAAGCAUCCCUAUGCUAAUCAUAUCAUCUAUAUGAUUCAUGAUCGACAUUUCGGUCUCAUGUGUUCCGAGGCCAUGUCUGCACAUGCUAGGCUCGUCAAGCUUAACCCGAGUGUUCCGCGUGCGCAACUGUUUUGCACCCGUUGUAUGUGAACGUUGAGUCUAUCACACCCGAUCAUCACGUGGUGUCUCGAAACGACGAACUGUAGCAACGGUGCACAGUCGGGGAGAACACAAUUUCGUCUUGAAAUUUUAGUGAGAGAUCACCUCAUAAUGCUACCGUCGUUCUAAGCAAAAUAAGGUGCAUAAAAGGAUUAACAUCACAUGCAAUUCAUAAGUGACAUGAUAUGGCCAUCAUCACGUGCUUCUUGAUCUCCAUCACCAAAGCACUGGCACGAUCUUCUUGUCACCGGCGCAACACCAUGAUCUCCAUAAACGUGUUGCCAUCGGGGUUGUCGUGCUACUCAUGCUAUUACUACUAAAGCUACUCCUAGCAAAAUAGUAAACGCAUCUGCAAGCACACACGUUAGUAUAAAGACAACCCUAUGGCUCCUGCCGGUUGCCGUACCAUCGACGUGCAAGUCGAUAUUUCUAUUACAACAUGAUCAUCUCAUACAUCCAAUAUAUCACAUCACAUCAUUGGCCAUAUCACAUCACAAGCAUACCCUGCAAAAACAAGGUAGACGUCCUCUAAUUUUGUUGUUGCAUAUUUUACGUGGUGACCAUGGGUAUCUAGUAGGAUCGCAUCUUACAUACGCAAACACCACAACGGAGAUAUAUGAGUUGCUAUUUAACCUCAUCCAAGGACCUCCUCGGUCAAAUCCGAUUCAACUAAAGUUGGAGAAACCGACACUUGCCAGUCAUCUUUGAUCAACGGAGUUACUCGUAACGAUGAAACCAGUCUCUCGUAAGCGUACGAGUAAUGUCGGUCCAAGCCGCUUCAAUCCAACAAUACCGCGGAAUCAAGAAAAGACUAAGGAGNNNNNNNNNNNNNNNNNNNNNNNNNNNNNNNNNNNNNNNNNNNNNNNNNNNNNNNNNNNNNNNNNNNNNNNNNNNNNNNNNNNNNNNNNNNNNNNNNNNNNNNNNNNNNNNNNNNNNNNNNNNNNNNNNNNNNNNNNNNNNNNNNNNNNNNNNNNNNNNNNNNNNNNNNNNNNNNNNNNNNNNNNNNNNNNNNNNNNNNNNNNNNNNNNNNNNNNNNNNNNNNNNNNNNNNNNNNNNNNNNNNNNNNNNNNNNNNNNNNNNNNNNNNNNNNNNNNNNNNNNNNNNNNNNNNNNNNNNNNNNNNNNNNNNNNNNNNNNNNNNNNNNNNNNNNNNNNNNNNNNNNNNNNNNNNNNNNNNNNNNNNNNNNNNNNNNNNNNNNNNNNNNNNNNNNNNNNNNNNNNNNNNNNNNNNNNNNNNNNNNNNNNNNNNNNNNNNNNNNNNNNNNNNNNNNNNNNNNNNNNNNNNNNNNNNNNNNNNNNNNNNNNNNNNNNNNNNNNNNNNNNNNNNNNNNNNNNNNNNNNNNNNNNNNNNNNNNNNNNNNNNNNNNNNNNNNNNNNNNNNNNNNNNNNNNNNNNNNNNNNNNNNNNNNNNNNNNNNNNNNNNNNNNNNNNNNNNNNNNNNNNNNNNNNNNNNNNNNNNNNNNNNNNNNNNNNNNNNNNNNNNNNNNNNNNNNNNNNNNNNNNNNNNNNNNNNNNNNNNNNNNNNNNNNNNNNNNNNNNNNNNNNNNNNNNNNNNNNNNNNNNNNNNNNNNNNNNNNNNNNNNNNNNNNNNNNNNNNNNNNNNNNNNNNNNNNNNNNNNNNNNNNNNNNNNNNNNNNNNNNNNNNNNNNNNNNNNNNNNNNNNNNNNNNNNNNNNNNNNNNNNNNNNNNNNNNNNNNNNNNNNNNNNNNNNNNNNNNNNNNNNNNNNNNNNNNNNNNNNNNNNNNNNNNNNNNNNNNNNNNNNNNNNAGACCCUGCGGGUUCGAGAACUAUGUAGACAUGACCCGAGAGACUCCUCGGUCAAUAUCCAAUAGCGGGACCUGGAUGCCCAUAUUGGAUCCUACAUAUUCUACGAAGAUCUUAUCGUUUGAACCUCAGUGCCAAGGAUUCAUAUAAUCCCGUAUGUCAUUCCCUUUGUCCUUCGGUAUGUUACUUGCCCGAGAUUCGAUCGUUAGUAUCCGUAUACCUAUUUCAAUCUCGUUUACCGGCAAGUCUCUUUACUCAUUCCGUAAUACAAGAUCCCGCAACUUACACUAAGUUACAUUGCUUGCAAGGCUUGUGUGUGAUGUUGUAUUACCGAGUGGGCCCCGAGAUACCUCUCCGUUCACACGGAGUGACAAAUCCCAGUCUUGAUCCAUACUAACUCAACUAACACCUUCGGAGAUACCUGUAGAGCAUCUUUAUAGUCACCCAGUUACGUUGCGACAUUUGAUACACACAAAGCAUUCCUCCGGUGUCACUGUGUUAUAUGAUCUCAUGGUCAUAGGAAUAAAUACUUGACACGCAGAAAACAGUAGCAACAAAAUGACACGAUCAACAUGCUACGUCUAUUAGUUUCGGUAUAGUCCAUCACGUGAUUCUCCUAAUGACGUGAUCCAGUUAUCAAGCAACAACACCUUGUUCAUAAUCAGAAGACACUGACUAUCUUUGAUCAACUGGCUAGCCAACUAGAGGCUUGCUAGGGACGGUGUUUUCUCUAUGUAUCCACACAUGUAAAUGAGUCUUCAUUCAAUACAAUUAUAGCAUGGAUAAUAAACGAUUAUCUUGAUACAGGAAUUAUAAUAAUAACUAUAUUUAUUAUUGCCUCUAGGGAAUAAUUCCAACACAUGCGCAUCAUCCGCAUUGCAUCGGCAUCCCGUUGCCGCCAGUUUUCAAAACUUGCAUCCGUUGUUAGUUGUCGGUUCUCGUCGUUGUCCGUUCUGAGCCCGACCACACACGCACGCACCCGCGGCAUCGUCAAAACCUGUUUUUAAAAGUGUGUGUAUAAUAUUCUCUGAUUGAGUUGAAACUUGUCGUGCGGUCUUAAUAUAUUAUAGGUAGGCCGCCUGCCAAUUUUCGUCGCAAUCGGAGUCCGUCUGGUACCCGAACGGUCGACCGUAGCGGCACCGUAUUCGGUCUAUCGUCGAACGUUUAAUCGGUGUUUUAAAAUUACGUUGUCGGGUGUCCACUUCCCUCUCAUCUUAGCUAACACCCCUCUACACGGCCUACACCUAAACCACCUAACCCUAGGACGUUUCCGGAGUGUCCGAUCUCAAUCGGAAGGUCCGAAACCGCUAAACCUAGCUUGUUUUUCUAUAAAUAUGAGUCUCCCCUCUCUCCUCCUCGUUUUUCGUGCCACCAGCAACCCUAGCCGCCACCUGAGACAGCCUCUCCCUCCUACCACCUCGAGCCAGGCUCGCCUGGGCCCGAGAGAGGCCCGCCCGAGCCCAUCUGGGCCCGAGCAGCAGCGCCCCUUGCUGCUAGAUCAGGAGGAGCCCCGAUCCAACAGCCUCGCCUCCCGUGGGACCUCGCCGGCCGGCCACCGGAGCACAACCGCCGCCCCUCGUCCUUCCCGUCAGAUCCGCCGCCGGCCCCGCGUCGCACCUCGAGCCUCGUCGCCCCGCUGAUGUCCUCUGGUGGUCGCCGUCGUCUGCCCCGAAAUCCGCCGCCGCCUCAAGGCCACCCCGGCCGGAUCCGGCCAGAUCCGGUCCGGGGACCCCAUUCCCAAGCUGCGCCGCUCCUUCCCCGUUGGAUCCCGCCGGGGACCCGUGCCGCCGCCGCCUGUGAGCCGGCCUGCCGCCGUUAUGGCCGCAGCCCCUCCUGUUCGUGCGAGAGGACGGAGGAGAGCCGUCCCGUGACCGGCCUCGCCAGCUCCUGGGCCCCGAGCCGGCCCAGGUGGCCAGCUCCGCCCGGACC
rnacentral:lncRNA from 1 species